rnacentral:lncRNA from 1 species
UUUUUUUUUUUUUUUUUUUUGUCGAUACCACAGAUUAUUCUACACUAGAAUGGAGGGGGAAAAUCUGAAAAGGUCCAAAAGUAAUUCGGAAGGAACUGAAUCACCUAUCAUAUCUGACUAAAUGCACUACACGUCGAUUUGAAUUUUCUAAGUAGAGCCACUUUAGUAUGAGAACUUGCUUCCCACCUCAUCAAAUUUUAAUGCAUUGGCGGCGUCUAUGCAUAUCAAGUCGGUCAAAAGUGGAGAAAAUUGGCGAAUACAACUAUUCAUCAAAACGAAGACGUACUUUUGCACAGAGGAGAACAACCCGGAAGGAUCCAAAAUAAAAUAAUGCACUCCGAAAUCAAAUCCGCAACUACUAAAAGACGUCUGACUUUUGUCGCCUGGGAUUCUUUCUUGUUCAGCGUUCCAUCCAUUUAUAGCAUUCUGAUCACAGAUUUGAACAAACAGAUCAUGGCAUCCACCACCCAAUACCCUGUACUAUAUUAAGUUAUUAACCAUCCUCACGAGUCAGAUCAGAAGCCCCCACCGCCCUCUUCCUUUCUUCCCUCCUUUUUUGGGCACGUCAGAUAAAUGAUUUGGGAUGGUGGGAGUACAAUACUGCUAGUAAAAAGUAAUUUGCAUUGCAUUUUUUUUUUAGAAAAAAUUUAUUGUAACAAUUUGAUAUAUGUGAAAUAAAAAGGUGAUUGAAAAAUAUGUUCACGAAAGAAAAAAAAAAACAUAAGAAAAAUUGCAAUCCAAAGAAAGCCAAUUAUGAAAUCCUAGAAAAACUUUUCUCCUUCAUUCUUUUAUCCGUAGAAGUAGUAGUAGUACGUUUUUCCUUAAAUAUUUCAUUCGUUUCCCGCUUUUUUCUUUUUCUUUCUUGAAAAAGGAAAAAUAAAUUUUUUAAAAAAAGAAGAAAAAACUAGUACACAUAAGAAAUCAACAAGCGAAAAAUAAGAGGAAAAGACAACCUAGAAUAGAUCAAAAUUCCAAAUGUCAAACACAAGUUCUUCCUGUUUCACUGCACCCGGGACCCACAGGACAGGACCGAAAUCUCCAUCAUCUUACUUUACUUUUCAAAGUUGGUACCAGGUCCAGGAUAUUAUUAGAUUGAUAAAUCACAAAUCCUCCUUUUCUGGCUUUCCACUCUAGCUCAACUCUUCUGCUCCAGUUUAAAGCCAUUUACAGCAGAAUCAAACCCAAACAGAUGAAUCCCGACCGCCUUCAGCUUUUGAGUCUUUACUCCUCACUCCUUCACGCAAUUCCCAUGCAUUCUCAUUUGCUUUCCCACUGCCAACGGAAAAGCUACUAUAUCACCUCGGAUUACUAUUAGCAGCAGUAUAAUUUUUUUUAGUUUUGUCCCUUUUUUAUUCCCUUUUGUUUAAAUUUUAGUUCUACUGGUAUGGCAGUUUCUGACAUUGAAGCUGUGGUUGAAUUCUUGAGGAAAAAUGGAUUUUCAGAGUCUGAAUCAGCUCUUAUGGAGGAUAUUUGUGACAAAUCCCAACUGGGAUCCUCGGAUUUUCAGAGAUUUUUGUUCCCAAUGGUGCCUCCACUUCCCCCGGUUAAAAUUCCGGCCCCCGCAGCUAGGUGGUUGCCUCUGGUCCCUGGUGGAGGCGAUGCUGAUGAUGGUGGUGGUCAUCAGCUGAGUUCUCCUUCUUCUGAUGAUGAUGAUGAGGAGUUUGUCAGCUUGGCUUCUUCUACUACUGAGUUGUGUUCUUCAGGUCGUGAUUCUAAUUUUUUAACUGCUGCCAGUGAUCUUGUGGAUUUUCCUUUCUUUGACUUAUUAUAAAGUUCUUCUUAAUUUUGCCAUGUAUAAUUUUAUUGUUUCUCUUUUUAUAUUGAUAUGUGUUGUCUGUUUUAUUUGGGAACUGGGAUCUUUGGGAGAAUUUUGUCUUUUUUUUUGUGUAAUUUAGUUUGCUUUUAAAUCGAUUAUUAGCUUGUAAUAUUCUUGUUCUUGUUUUCUCCAUUAAUUGAUUGAAGAAUAGUUUUUGUUCAGUAGUUGACAGCUAGAUUGCUCCUUGCUUUGUUCCCUCUGCAUUUCAGAGUUUCUCUCUUUCCCUCUCCUCCUCUCUCGCUGAACUCAGUAUGUGGAAAAAUUUAUGUCUUGCUCUGUCAAUUAUGUACUGUAGUCAUUAAAGCAAAAGCAUACCAAAUUAGGCAAUGAAAUCAUGCGUUUCUGCAGUCUAAUCAAGGACUUUAGGUAAAUUCCCAAUUUGAUUUUUCAUUACUACAUGAGAGGGAGUAUUUUCUUGCUUGUGUUUCCUCUUAUAACUUCGCAACAUCCACUGAACUCCUCCUUUAAGUUUAAAAAUUUUUCUCCAGUUCUGCUUGGCUAUCCAGUGCAAUUAAUGCAGCAUUAUGUAGCUGGUGUCUAUUUUUUUCUUUUCUAAAUCAGCAUUUUUCUUUUCUAAAUCAGCAUUUUGUUCCCUGGCAUUUGUAUGUUGACCCGAGCUUUAUAUUAGCAUGCAAGUCAGAGGUCUCAUGAGCCCUGAACACCAAAAACCUGUGACUAUUGCUAUUCUUUCCUAAGAAAUGGCGGUUCCUUUUUCUUUUGGGAAGGGGUGUGGAUGUGAAGGUAGAAAUGGUGAAUAUUUGGAGAUCGUAUCUGAUGCAUGCUUUUUUCCUUUUGCAGACUUCACAAAUCCAUACGGGAUUCAUACUACCACAAGGCCGAGUUCUCAAGCUUCAUCUGAUGGGAUGUCUCAAUUUGGUACUGCACGAGAUUAUCAUGAGUUUGAUAUGCAAAAUGACUUAUACUGGUACAAAGAGAAAGAUGAAGACUAUGCUAUGCCUCCCCUCUUUGGGAUCUCAGACUUUGAUGCUGACCCAAGCGAGGAUAAGUUUGUCAUGACUGUAGAGACAGGGAAGCACAGGGAGAAUGAGCUUUGUCUGAACCAUAUAUCUGAAGGGUUUCAAUCUGAAAGUAGCACUCAUUACUAUGAUAGACAAUGGCCAAUAAACUCAAAGGAGAGUGGACAAAAUGAGGUUAUUAAAGAUUAUUAUGAUUUGGAAAGAAAUAUACAACUUGAAGAAAAUUUUAAGAAGGGAGAGGAAGGUUGCACGGGUUAUCAAUGUUCAGGCACGCUCUGUGCUUGCUGUGGUGGAGCAGGGAUAAAUCAUAUUGAGGAUCCUGCAGAUUUUGGAAUUCUAAAUCUUAGUCCUAGUCAGGAGGCAUCUAUUGGAUGUGAUGCAAACUGUUCUGUCAAGAAUAAUACAAACUAUUCUGUGAAGAGUAGCUCUAUGAAUGGCUGGGUUGGAGAACUGAAAAGUAGUGAUGACUUUCAAACUCACAUCAUUGAGGAAGAUUACCACCUGGGUGAAAUCGAAUCUAGGAAUCAUGAAAUGGAUGGAAAUAUCUGUGACCCUGAUCCCUCAGCUGAUGAAGAGGUUGGCACCCCGUCUGAUGAGCUUCUGAUGUAUGAGACUAAGGAAGAUGAUUAUGAAGUAUUCAGUCUGAGAAUCAUACACAGGAAAAACAGGUUUGUAAGUCCUUCAUUGUCUUUUUUCUAGAUUUUGUCUUUGUCCCCAGAUGUUGAUGCUGAGCUUGCAUCCUCUGUGUUUCUCACUUUGAUGAUGAAGUGCUAAUCCGAUGUGAGAAAUGACAUAAUGUAGACUUAUUCAGCUAGUGCAAAAAGCACUUGGAUUCUGUAUUAGUCCUUAAUUGAAUCGAUUUUUCUAAUCUUAGUUUCCUGGUCCUGUAAUGGUUGUUAUAGUUUGUCUUGUGCAGGGUUGAAUUGUAGCAAACAGUAGUACUCAUUUGUUAUGCCAUCCACAGGACUGGAUUCGAAGAAAACAAGGACUUUCCCAUUGUUCUAAAUAGUAUUGUAGCUGGUAGAUAUUAUAUCACUGAGUACCUUGGUUCAGCCGCUUUCAGUAAGGUUGCUCAGGCACAUGAUCUUCAUACUGGAAUGGAUGUUUGCUUGAAGAUCAUAAAAAAUGAUAAGGACUUCUUUGAUCAGAGCUUAGAUGAAAUUAAACUUCUGAAGUUUGUAAACAAGCACGAUCCUGGUGAUGAGCACCAUAUAUUGCGCCUUUAUGAUUACUUCUACCAUCAGGUGUGCAUCAAAGACAGUUUCUCAGUAUUCUUACUUUCUUAGAAUCUUGUUAGAUUUAUUUACUAGCAGUUUUUCUCUGAAAAGGCAUGGCAGAUUAACAAAAAUGUCUCUCCCUUUCCUUUACUCAUCUCCGUAGUGAUAAAUCAGUAUGAGUUUUCAUCUAUUCUUAGAUACCCAUAAGAGGGAUUUUCUGCAUGUAUUUUGCCUUUUAUGUGGUCAAAUAAAGAAGUUUUCCCUUACAGUUCAACAUUUAUAUUUCAAAAUCGCUAAACACAAGUGGUAUGAGUUGUUCACUUUUUUCCUACCUCCAGAGAUAAACAAAAUGAUGUUCAGUUGAUCCUCCAUGCGCCAGCUUUGAUAUUUACAUGGUCCAUAACCAUUGAAUUCAUGGUCUAUAUUUGUGUAGUGCUUGCAGACAUGAUUUAACAUCUUGGUCCAGUUGAUCUGCUUCACCUUAUCUGUUUGUCUUUCUUAAAUAGGUAGACUUCCUCCAGCAUUAUAUACUGAAAACCUAUUUGGAUUUUUUGAGGCCAUAAAUGAAAGACUUCUGAUAAUUAAUCAUCUGGUAACAUCGCAGUUGGUAAUCUUGAUUUUCAUAGUUGGAUCUUUCUUUAAAAGUUGAGAUUUUUUAUGUUCUGACUUUAUGGAAGCAGUUUAUGCUCCAUCAUACUACCAAAGGGCUAUCACAUUUAAGAACUUGUCUUCUGAAAAGUCUCUCAAGGGGUUAGAUGUCAACUAUUAAUUUAGUGCAAAAAGGGACAAUAAGUUACCUAAAGAAUGGGGUUUUCCGAUAAGCUGUUCAGCUUUUGUUAUUAAAUCAUAAUCAAGAGCGCAGAUAGUACUUCCUUUUGGCUAGUUUAGUUAAGCUCUUUCAAUGCCCAAAACAGGUCUUUACUGCUCUUUUUUUCCUACUACGCACUGUUAGUCAUGCAUUUAGCUAAAUUUGAAAAUACAUCUAUCAUUCAUUUUAAAUGGAGCUAUCUCAAUGGUUCUUGUUAUCCUCUUUGUGAUUACCUAUAGGAACAUCUAUUCAUUGUAUGUGAACUACUACGAGCAAACUUGUACGAGUUCCAGAAAUUUAACCGAGAAUCUGGUGGAGAGGCAUAUUUUACAUUGAGCAGGCUGCAGGUUGGUUUUAUUAGAGCCAUAAUUUGAACUGAUUCAACAAUCAGUGAACUUCUUUGCAGAGGAUAUUUUCAAGCUGAGUUGGAGAAAUCCCAAAAUGAAUAUUUUCCAAUUUUUACAGGGCAUUGCUCGGCAAUGUUUGGUGGCAUUAGAGUAUUUGCAUGGCUUGGGAGUAAUCCACUGUGAUCUGAAGCCUGAAAAUAUUCUUAUUAAAAGUUAUCGAAGAUGUGAGAUAAAAGUCAUUGAUCUUGGAAGCAGUUGCUUUCAGACGGAUAACUUAUCCCUCUAUGUUCAGUCUCGUUCUUAUAGGGCUCCUGAAGUCAUCCUGGGGCUAUCAUAUGACCAGAAGAUUGAUCUUUGGUCACUUGGUUGCAUACUGGCCGAGUUAUAUUCUGGGGAGGUAUUUGUUUGAUUCUUAUUUUAUCUGUUUGGCUGCAUUUUGUACAUUAUGUGGUAUGCUCAGAGUGGGUCAGCAAAGAAAUUUCUUUUACUUUAUUCUGAAACUUUCGAAUUCUUUUCCUUGUGACUGAAAAUUGGAUUGUGUUUUGUGCACUUGUUCCUCACAGCAUAACUGUUUUCCCAGGUGCUUUUCCCCAAUGAAGCAUUAGCAUUGUUGCUUGCACGUAUUAUAACAGUGCUUGGGCCUAUUGUCAUCAACAUGUUACAGCGGGGACAGGAAACACACAAAUAUUUUACGAAAGAAUAUGACCUUUACUAUAUAAAUGAGGUUUGUUACUUGCAAUGCUAUCUCCAUCUACAGUGUCAUGUGUUACCCUUUUAUAGCAGAUUUGGAAAUUAUUGAAGUUUAUAGUCUCACUGAACUUUGUCCAGUUUUCUAGAUUAGGCCUGUUAGACUAGUGCCCCUUAAUCUAGGCGUGGAGGAAGAGGCCUUAGAACAGCUAAUACAUCCUCAUUCUUUCAGUUUGAGAGGAACUUUAUGAAACAUCAUCUGUUUGCGCUAGAUUGUGAUCCAAGAAGUCUUUGAGAUGCAAAUCUUUGUACCUAUUAGAAAAGUGGUUCUUUUUUUUUUUUAAAAAAAAAAGGGCUUUAUACUUUUGAGGUAUAGAGAAGCCUAGGUAUGAUGAGGUCAAGUUCCAUGUCAAACUUGUGACUUGUACAGGACAACAUAACAGUUACACGGAAAAGAAACAAAGCUGCAUAUAGUUUGUGGUGCAGUAAAGUCGUUUAGGUAUUGACCUACAAGAACAUAGAUUUGAUUCCAUCUUCUCCCAUCUUAGGAACCCAGUUAACACAAGUAAGGGUGGUCACUCAAUGCGGAGACAACAAAUUAAAAGUAUGGUUCUAAGCAUGUUUUCAGUCCUAUCAGUUGGUCAAUGGUGGAUCAUAGAAGUCUUUGAUGAACGAUAUGUGGUCAAAGACUUCUAUUAUCCGUCAUUGACAGAUAGGAUUGCUUGAAACAUGGGGUUAUUGAUUAUUCAUUUUUCCCCUAACUUUGUUCUAAAACUUGUUGUGACUUUGCAUAUUGACGUGGUCGUAGGAGACUAAUCAAUUGGAAUACAUAAUUGCUGAGGAGUCAUCGUCAUUGGAGCAUCAUCUGCAAAUUUCUGAUCCUCUAUUUUUAAAUUUCAUAAGCAAAUUGCUCGAGAUUAAUCCUGAGAGGAGGCCAACAGCAAGGGAAGCAUUGGGCCACCCCUGGCUGUCUCAAGACUUGUUAUCCUGUCCGGAGUCCUGAAAUAGUUGGUCAUUUAUCUCUUGCUUGUAUCUUUACUCAGCACAAAAGGCUCACUUCACUUACUCUGAUUGGGUCCGUAAAUAUGUGGUUGCAUUUCCAAUUUGUAUAGCGGGUGUUGGACAUAAGUGGUUUUGCUUGGUUCCUUGGGAGUUUUUGCUUAAAAAGGCGGCAGGGAAUUGCUUUUGGGGAACGGCAAGGUGUUGAUAUUAUUCUUUUUUAGAUCCUGUAGUUUCUCAUGCAUAGAUCAUACUGUCAAAGCUACAAAGGAUUUUGAUGUUCAUAAUGUAUUCAUCCACAGCUUAUUAGAUUUAUAUACUAUAUCUUCAGCAAAUAAGAGUGCGCUGGAUUGAAUGGCAUUGGCAACUGAAUUCCCACUUUUUUGUUGGAUUAGUUGUGACCACCUUAUUGUUUGUGGAGUGAACUUGAAAGUAAAAGUCAAGCUACUGCUGGAGGCACCUGUGGUUAAAAAUCAGAAUGGCUGUAUCUAAGUUGGUUCUGCAUUAAUUAUGAAGAACUGGAGCUGCAAUAAACAAAUAGCAGAACAAAUCUCUUGCCAAGAUUUUACGAAUGCUGUUUUAUAUAUAUAUAUAUAUAUAUAUGAUGUUUUCACAGUGGUAUAACGAUUUUUGGGACGGCUUAUGACUUUUCGAAGACGCAAAUAAGUAAGAACCAACAGGGGUAUCUGUUUCAAAAGAACGUUGUAGAUCGAGAUCCCAAGCACGAAGAUAAUUUGAUUUGAGGAAUGCCCAAAAACCCAUUAUUUAGAGAACAAUUUGUUGAAGUAAGGCUGUGAGCCCGACAUUUAACAACACGUUUCUGUAGUUUACUGUUUGGAAGUUGGGGCGGCGAUUGAAUCUGAAGUUUGCAGUACCAAGGACAUAGAAUUAUUAUUCAUAUCUCCGAUGAUUUUGGGAACCUUUCUUUGAAAUUUGAAUUGAAACAUUCCUAUUCAUGAUUACAUAUUCUAAGUUUGGUAAAAGUCAACGUUGCCUUUUUUCUUUUUCUUUUUUUUGAGUCGGCUUCAAACUUUAAAAGAAAAUAGGGUGCACUUGAGGGUCAAGGUUCUCCUAAUCACGCUAUUAAUAUCCCAACCAAUUAAAUUGGAUAAAAAGUAAACAUGCUGUUACAAAAUUAGAAUAGGUUUCUAAUUGACAAAUAUAAUCAUAUGACGCCUGUAGUGUUACUUUCCAAAACUGUUUCAGUUAUUUUACCACAGACUUUAAUUUUUUUUUUUUUUUUUAGUGUAAGCAGGAAGACUCAAACCCGAGACCUCUUACUUACACUCCCUCCCCCCGUACCACCCAACCCAACUCUCCCCCCUUUUUUUUUUUGUUUUUUGUUUAGUGUAAGCGGGAGGAUUCGGGCCCGAGACCUCUUGCUUACACUCCCUCUCCCGUACCACAGACAACGAACAACUGAUCAGUUAAGAUUGUGCAAUAGAGUUAGGGGUGUAAACUGGUCUAAUUAAGUCAAACAUUUUAGUGUUUAAAUUUGUUUGAUUAUUUUAAUGAAUAUGAAACUCUGUUUAAGCUUGGUUUCUUUAUUUAUUGAAUCUAGCUCGAACGAAUUUUUAUCGAGUCAAACUUGAAUUAAGUUCUAGUUGAUUGAAAUUUUUACAAUAUAAUAUCCAAUUUAAUACUAAUCAAACUAAGCUGGAAUCGACCUUGAAAGUUGAUAGAAUAUAAAAUUAUGUUCAAAUUUAUCUUUGACUAGUUGGCGAAUCAAAUUUGAAUGAACUCUUAUCCAACUGAGUUCAAUUCGAGUAUUUAGUAGUUUUGUCCAUCUUUCAAUUCUAAAUAGAGUUAAUCCCACUUCUUUCUCCUCACUUCCUAAAUCUCACAUUUUUUCUACUUAAGGGAAAAAAAAAAUUGUGUGAUAGAGGAGUUAAAAGUAAUUAAAGACAAACAAGAAGUAAUUGGUGCAAGAAUACAAUAUGAUGGGCACGCUUUAACGUAACUGUUUUUUAGAAUUGGUGCACAUUGAAGUGUUGACUACGUGCGAUUCCAUAGUUUGACCACAUUUUUGCAUUAGCGCACAGUAGUGCUGAGAACUUAAAAUAUUACAAAUUUCACAGUUUCUAGAAAUGAAAAUAAGUUUUAUUUCUUCUUCAAGCUACAAAGUACAAUUGCUGCUCAUAUAAAUAAGAAGAAGAAAAAAAAAUAGUGCAAUUACAUGAUUAAGGGUUGAAGCUGAUAUGCAUUGGCUUCAAAUUAAAUGACUUCAUGGUCAUAGUAGUGUUAACUACAUGUGUGAGAGAACUUAUAUGAGAUAAUCAUCUCUCGAUUUAAGAUGGAGUAAAAAGUCUCCUCACCCGCAAAAUACUUUAGUCCUCCAAAUUUAUGUCAAAAACCUCCACCGGAUCAACUUUAUCUAAUUGUUUUUUUUUAAAAAAUUGUUGUACAAGAUCCAAUACAAUUUAUUUGGACUGUCAGCAGAACUGAAAAAUUGCCGAGUAUCCAAUGGACAAACAAUCAUUGGACAGAUCCUCGACAAUUGUAAGUAAGCCGGAUAAAUAGACUUGUAAUUAGAGGAAAGUAUUUGUGCUACUAGUAAGCAGACAGUCUUCUUUUUUGACCUACAAUUGUAACAACGACUGCUAGUGCUAGUAGCCUAGUACUAGUUUUUCUUCUUCCGGGAAGCCCCCAUCAAACAAGUUUGCCGUAAAAGAAGAACAGAAAACGAAGCAAAUUGUCAGAGAAAAAAGGCUGCAUAUAUCAGAAGCAGUAAGUAAAUGCUGGAUAGUGAAUGCUGAAAUGACUGGGCCCAACCCAAGUAUGCAGUAGCUGAUCAAGAAACAAGAGUUCUGUCUUACCGGGUUGCAUCCUGAGGCAAGUAAACGAUAGUAGUGCCUGUUUUUUGGGGGCUGGGGGAUCUUUAAAAUUCUGAAAUAGCAUCGGUUAUGGGAGGAGGAAGGGACAAAACCCUCCAACGAUGGAAAGAUUGUCCCUUCUCUUCUCCUCUUAUUGGCGGAUGCAGUCCCUGACUCCGCCUUUUUUUUAACUUUUUCUCAGACGCCUCUUUUUUAUAGUGAAGCGCGUGAGCUCAAAUGAUUUUUUUCCUGAUUCUGAAAAUAUUUUGUCCUUUUCUUUUUAAAUCAGUUCCAAUUGAAAGGUACGGGGCUACAAUUACUUUUUGUAUUUUCGUUUUUAGUUCCUUAACUCAAAGUAAUUUACUCAAAGGAUCAUAAUUCCAUAUGCUAUACUUUUCCAACUUCUAUUAAAAAUCCAUAUGCUUGGUCCUUGUCAAACAACCAAACAAUCUGUCUACUAAGAAGAAAAGUAUCACUUGAGUGCUAAUUUAAGAAGAAAUCAGCAAUGAAAAUUCUUCACUUGCACGUGUGACUAAACAAAGCGGGCAAUUUGAAAUCAAAUGAAAACGAGAAAUAGCAGUGCAUAGCAUAAACGUGAAACAGGGUCGAAAUUAUUCGUAAUUCAAGUCAAAUUUGACUAGUGUAAUUCAGGAGAGUUAAAUUCAUUCAAAUAAUUAAAUAUAAAUCCUAACACAAUGUAAAAGUCAUCCUAUUAAAACAUAGACAUACUACUGGAAUUUGAUUGGACAAGAACUCAAAUUUAAUCAAGCAAAACACGAACACAAUUUCGAGGAUGUUUAAGGAUUCAAAACUAACCAACUGCUCAUCACCUGGAUUGCAGUUGAAGAACAGAAAAGAAAGAAAAUUUUAAAAAGAAUCAAGAAAAGUAUUGGAGUGGUAAAAUGAAUCAACUACUACUAGUAUAGAACUGAAACAUCCAAGUUCCUUUCAUCCCCCCAAGACACCCUCCCCAAACGCGUGCCGUCAACUCUCCCAUUUUCCCUUUCUUUUUUUCCUUUUCUCUCUCUCAAUCAACACCACAACCACUUCGUCGAGGCACCACCUUGACCACAACUCCGUCGGCACCUACGCCACCACUGAAAAUUAUGGACUGAAUUCCCAAAACUCCUCACCACACUUCUUAUAUAUAAACUCCUACUUAACUGGAAAAAUAAGAUACUAAAUAUAAAAGAACAAAAAUCAGUGAGCCAAAACUCAAAAGCCUUGUAUGAUGGCGGAGCUGGCUCAAUCCGCCGACGUCUACGCGCCGAAGACUAUACAAGUUUGGAGAGCACUAUUAAACUGGCUGGCUUUCUUCUUCCAGAUCUUCGUUCAGAUCAUCAGAGGCACGCCGUCGCUGACUCAGGUCCUGUCUUACGUUGGCCUGCGCCACUCCUCUCUUCUCUCUUCUUCAUCGCCUCAGUUCAAGCCUUUACCUGUCGUCGAGUUACAGGAGCCUGAGCAUCCUCCUCCUCCCCUUUCUUCCGCCGUUCAAAUUACAUCCGGCGCCACCUCUGAUGGUGGACUUCUCGAUAAGCUCACGGUAGAUUCAUACUAGUUCCAUUUUGUGACUUGAGAACUUCAAUGCAUUUAAUAUGGAAGAUAUAUAUAUAUAUAUAUAUAUAUAUAUAUAGGUGUUUUAGGAAUUUUUAGUGUGAUCUUUCUCUGGGGAUUUAUGGUAAUUUUGCCUAAUUCUUGUGUGAGCGAAGUUAGUUAUUACUGUUGGUUGGUCUGGAGCAUGAUAUUUUUAUUGUGUUGGGGAUGAAAUAGUUAACACUUUGCAGAGUUCUUACUGGAUCUUUUAAAUCUAUCAUUUGUUUCGGCUGACCUCUUUUUACAAUCCUGAUGAGGCACAACAUGCAUGAAUUCAGAAAGAGAUGCCUUUGUGUUUGAGCUUGGAGUUUGUAGAAACACUUGCGUAAAUGGGGUGAAAGUAGAGUUAUUCUUGAGAGCUGUUUCUAAGUAAAACCAAAGAUUGGAUUUUGUGGACUGGAAAAAAGCAGCCCUGAGAUUUUUUUUUUUAAGUAAAAUUUUCCCUAAUCUGGAACCUGAAAGGGUAUAAAUAAUUAUACUCCUUAUAUUUUCCUGCUGUUGUCUGCUGUAGAGUUGUUGACUUUCUUAGCAGAUAUUUCUUUACAGUCUUUGCCUUUCAGUAAGAGUUUCUGUGCAGUUGUGAUGGAUGCUGUUUUCAGUAAGUGCAAUAGGGAGACGUGGUAAAUGCUGUAUUACUAUAUGUUUUCUGUACUUAUUUUGAGAAAUUUCAAUCGCCAUGUUAAGAUGGUUGCUAUGGGAAUAUACAUAUCGAGAAAAGGGAGGAUGUAUGAGUUGUUCUUGUUGCUGGAAACCAAGAUAGGAGAAUUGAACUUUGAGCUUGGUCUGAAUAAUUAUGCACACUAUUUGUGACUUCUUGAGACUUGUAUUUGAAUAAGAAUAGAUGUUCGAGGAAAAACUGAGUCAAAGAUUAUUCCAGUUGAAUGGUUGUGUGAAUUACCUAGAUUUUUCUUGCUUUCGGAGGACCUUAGGUGGCUCAAGCUAUGAACUUCUGGUUGCAGGUGGUUCUGGACUUGGAUGAAACUCUAGUUUGUGCAUAUGAGACAUCUAGUCUGCCUUCUAUGAUACGUAGUCAAGCCACUGAGGCUGGGUUAAACUGGUUUGAACUGGAAUGCGUAUCUUCCGAUAAGGUGAUCGUGCAUGUUCAAUUCACACUAAAAUAAUUCAGAGCAAAAUAUCUGAGGUGAAUGUAUCUCAUUUUGGUUAUGCUUUGAUUUCAAGGAAAUUGAAGGCAAGCCUAAGAUUAACUAUGUGACGGUGUUUGAGCGUCCUGGAUUGCAUGAAUUUCUCAAACAACUCAGUGAAUUUGCCAACCUUGUAUUAUUUACUGCUGGCCUUGAAGGUUUGUUCAAUACAGGGCAAUUUCUUUGAUUUUCUAUGCUUUACUCUCCUUUUCCAGUUAAAUCCUUUUUUUACUGUUUUGGGGAUUUUUUUUUUUGGGGGGGGGGGUUAUUAUUGUUGUAGUUGAUUGCAUUUAUAUAUAUAGUUGCUUAAAUUAACAGUGCUUUGUGCUUGCACCUUGCAGGGUAUGCUAGGCCUCUUGUAGACAGAAUAGAUGCUGAAAAUAGGUUUAGUCUCAGACUUUAUCGACCGUCAACCAUUAGCACGUAAGUGUAGUAGUGAUCUCAUUCGACGUGUCUUGGGUAAUAUGUUUAUUAUAUUAUCUUGGGUUAAAGUUACAUUAAUUUAUAUGGGAAGAACUUUUGAUUGUUCUUAAAUCUACUAGUUAUACUUGAGAGUCAAGUUGAUGUCUGCACAUAUGUUUGGAAGUAUCAAAACAAGUUGACUUCUGUAUAUAUGUUUGGAAGUAUCAAAAAAGUAAUAUAAGAGACUUUUACUCUUCUGGGAAGAAAGAGUUAAAAACUUACUGGAGGAAAAGAAAAUGAAGAAGAAAGAAAUUACUAAAGCUAAGAACACAUAUCUAGCUGGCAAAGAAAAAAGAGACCAAAAAAAAAUCUGGCUAUAUAUUGUGGGAUAUCCAUCCAGGCUUAGUACAAAACGAGUACUCUUAUAUGUAAUGUAACAUGAAACAUGAAACAGUGUAUCUUGGACCUCUUUGGUGAACUCCUCUUGGUUUUCUUCUCUAAACUAGUGGAAUCAAUGCUGUGGUUAUAAUCCUCGACCACUAGUUAUUAAGUUUUCUGUUCUUGACUGUUAACUCUUUGGGAGAGAGGUCCUCUUCCACUUUGAGCUUUUGGAUGAAUUCCAUAUGGGUGCUUGAUGUAGCUGUUGUGAUUCAUAGGUCAUAAUAAGGUUGAGUUACAUUGAAAGUUAACCAUUUAACAGAAGACCUAAUUGGGCUAACAUAUCAUGGUCAAAGAUGACCUAGCACUAUUUCUUUUCCUUCGGAAAGUCACAUCAAAUGUGGAUGACGGCCCAAGAUAAAAUAGCUUUACAUUUUGAAUCAAAGUACGCGUCUACGGUUUGAUAUUGGCACCAGAUUUUCUCUGUAAGAGACGUCAUGUAAACCAUAGGUCUGUGACCAGGAUAAUGUGCUCAUUGAUCAGUGGUUAAAUAUAGGGUAAAGAACACUCAAAUUGGGAUAAGGUAUUCUCUCUGUUUUGGAGCUUGUUUAACUGGUGAAUUGUUGGGAGUUAGUAUAUUGUUGGGAUAACGGUAUUCUUUCUGUUUUGAAGUCCUUUGACCUUAUUGAUAUAAAAAUGUCUGGUGGACAUUGUAAGAGAUGAACAAUUACAGGAAAAUGGUCAUGUAGGAAGAAUGGUUUCUGUGCUUCGAGCUGUUUUUGCAAUUACCAGACCCCAUAGUUUUCGUGAUUAUUGUUAUUUAGAUUUCUUGUUUUCUGUUUAAUUGCAUAAUUACUUUCUAGUAUUGGUGAGGUUAAUUUUGAUCAUCAUUUAGAGAUUUAUAUUACAUUCUUAAAAUUUGAUGGAACUGGAAUAUUCAAGGACAAAGCAGCUGAGCUAUUUCCAGAACAUGUUGUCAAGAUAUAUUGUAAGUCAGCCCAAAUUUUUUAUGAAUUGAGCAGAUUUUGGUGAUUAUAUAUUGAACUAAAGAAAAAUGGUAAUAAUGGUGGCUCAGAAACUGUCACUGCUCUGAUGCAUAUACACAUCUACUUGAGGGGGUCGACUGAGUUUCCUUGGAGCUAUAAAUUUCAGAUUUCCCUGAUUUCUGAAGUGUGGGGAAUGGAUAUUCAAGCAUUUUGUGUAAAAGCAAUUAAACAUUUUGCAUUUGCAGUUACUUCUCCCUCCCCUUCCAUUUAAAGAAUUUUGAGCUAAAAUCCUUGUGUGGGCACUCGCAUGUCACGUGUGUUAAUACAUACUAGAGACAUGAUGUUGUGAGUUUGUAUGGAUCUUAGUUAGCUCACAGUUCAUUAGUCUGCUGUAUGUAGGGAUGACAUCAGGUAACAUUAAGCUAUGUCAAUUUUAUUUUAUCUUCUUUGAUUUUAUAUUAUUUUAGCACUUGUGUUUGGGUGUUAGAGAGUUCUAGUUUUUCGGGUAGUAAUUGUCUCCUCCAAUGAGAAUCCACAGAGCACUGAGAGGUCAGUGAUUUGUCGAUAGAUAUGGAAGAUCUAUCUUGAUAUGGAGCAAGCCUGAUGGUGAAAGUUACUAUUCUUUGCAGGUCAACAUUCUUAAGCGAAGUUCACUAAGCCGAUAGUUGACAAGAAAUAGAGCAUGGUUUUUGGGGGCAGUCAUUAUUUUUCUCUAGCUAAGAUUUUUUGGCAUGGUAACACAACUAUUCGAAAAAGUUCUUGAAGCAAAUUUCGAUGGUAUCUAUCUUACUGUGCCACCAUUAUUGUAUGAACAAUGUAUUGGACUAAGUUGACCAGUUUGAGAGUCCUCGUUCAUGUUCUGCUUGAUGCUCAAACGACUUCAGACGCUCUUUUAUUAAGGAAUUAAAAGAAUAUUAGUAGCUUUCUGAUUUCAUUUAUUAUUUGGUGCAAGUAUUCUAUCAACAAGAAAAUGCUUUACAUGGGGGGAAUUGCUACUAGUACAUUCGGGAUAUUGGUUGGUUAAAAGUUUGGAUCUUCUUGUUGAGGAUCCAUAGUGUAUUCAUGCUUUUUUGCUGAUGUUGAAGAUUGAUCGUGUUUUCAUGUUUUGGAUGCUGGAUAUGUUGCAGGGAAUAUAGAGAGCAUGUGAAGGAUUUGUCAUGUGUAUCAAAGGAUUUGUGUCGAAUGGUUAUCGUUGAUAACAAUCCAUUCAGUUUCUUGUUGCAACCACUAAAUGGUAUUCCAUGCAUACCAUUUUCAGCAGGGCAACCGCAGGAUGAACAGGUACCAUUGAUUACAGUAGUUGGAUAAAAACUUUUGUCAAACUAUGUCCACUGGGUGAGACGCACGCUAAUUUAAACAUGCACAUGCUCAUCAGCUUUUGGAAGUUAUCCUUCCACUUCUCAAGCACCUUUCUCAGCAGAAGGAUGUAAGGCCAGUGCUGUAUGAAAGGUUUCAUAUGCCUGAAUGGUUUCAAAGACAUGGGAUUCCUGCAUCUUGGUGGGCAAACUAUGAAGGCAUUGUUAAAAAUUGAGAUAGUUUAUUAUUCCUGGAUGCACCUGGAAAGUAAAUCUUUUAGAAGGGCAACAUCUCUUCCCACGAAGAGUGAAGUUUUGUAUAGCAGCAUUUUGUGCAGAGCAGCAGCUUUGAAUUUUUCACAGCCGCUUCACAGAGGUGUCUCCAAUGGAUGAUGCACAUACUGCGAUUCUGGAAACUAAAGAUUCUUGUGUAACUCUGUUCAUAGCUUUCAAUUCAUGUGGGAUCUAAUGUACUUGUCAGAUGUUGUACACUGUAUUCUAGCCAAUAAUUAUUUGCAUGUUAGCAGUAUUCUUCUGUACAGAACCUACCAUUGGAUGCUACUUUUAGUUGUCAAGAGUUGUUUAUUUAGUACAAGUUAGCUUGUGCCGUUGAAACCAGAUUAUUGUUGCAUUCUCACUUAGUCUUGCAGAGAGAUGUAAUUCAUCAUCUGUCUGCUUGCCAACUCGAUUAGUAAUAGAAGGAUGCAUCCAAUGGAUUUUGGUAUGCCUAACUCGUCUGUUCGCUUUGUGGGAAAGGUCAGGUAGACAUUGAAGAAUGCCAUGUUUGCUGCAUGAUUAAAAACUUGUUCACUAAGUCAAGAGGAAUAAGGAUAGAUUUUCUGGACAUCGGCAAAUUGUGAAAUGAUGAUAUCAAAUCGAUUUAAAGAAAGUUUCAGACGAGAAACUGGUGUCAUUAGUCGCCUGGCUUCCAUGUUUCGAUAAUCACCAUACAUCUUCAGUUUUCCAUCCCAGAAAAGUACAUCAUUUCUUGAAGAAACAUAAACUGAUGGAUUUCUGCCUGGAGUUGAGGGUUGCCAGCUAAAUACCGAGCAAAUGAAGAAGUGGUAUGCAGCAAGAAAACAGCCCACCGUGACCUGGUGAUCCCCGGUACAGUUAGCUAGGCUAUUGGGAAAUAGGCUCGUAAUUAACAAUAACUGAGGAUAAGGAUUUGCUAAAGAGUUCGACAUCAUGAUUGUGUCUCAAACCCAGACUAUCACAAAAUGGUUGAUUAACCUUUCUACAACAGCCCCAUGUUCCUUCCUAAAAGCCCUUCAUGUUCAGCCAGAAUCGAAAGCAUGGACCAAUACAUUGUUCAAGAACUUCUAACACGCUUUUGUUUUACUAAUCGUGUUUAGGUGGACCCCAACAGAGCGCUGGCCUGUUAUUAAAGUUGGCAAAUUAACAGAACAUACCAUAUUUCUUUAAUUCAAGAUCAUAAUCUGUUUCAUAAGCACGUCUGAACAAUCUAAUCUGUCACCCUCAAAAAAAAAAAAAAAUCUUAUCUGUUCAAGAAGCGAAGUUUCUUUGAUUUUUGAAACAUCCCAGAUCAUCGCGAGGUAAGAACAGAAUCCCAAGCAGAUAGUUUUUUACCAACACAAUUUUUUAAGUUAAAAAAUGAAAUAGCCUUAUGCAUUGUCAUCUAAAUUAGGUUCAUCAAUAUCAUGGUACAGCUGCAAUAACUAGUCAAUGUUGUUCUUGAAGGGUGCAAGGUAAGUCCUCGUGGGAAGUUUCUCUCUCACAUGAACUAUGAAGGCAUCAAAUAUUAUGGUUAUGGUGGUUGGUCUCAUAGUUUGUAUAUAAUAGAAGCCCAAUUGAGUUGUUAAAAGAAGCAAAUGAUUGUACAAAUGGUAUGACUAAUCGAGCAGGGAUGAUUGCCAUCAAAAGGCAAGUCUGUCCUAUGCUAAUUGGAAUUGGUGACUAAUUGAUGAAGAAUGAGCAUCGGAAAAUAAAGAAAAAAAAAAAGGAAAGCUUGAUUCAUGUUUUAGUAUUCCAAUGGUCAACACGGAAAAUAAAAUGAUGAAAAAAGAAACGUCCAAUGUACAUCAUUUGCUUUUCAGAUCAGGAACUCAAUUAUUUUCUCAUUCAAUGUAUAUUUUAAGAAACCGAAAAGCAGAAAAGUAAGAAGACAUAAAAGAGCAAGGGUCAUAGCCAACUGCUCCAACAACUCAAAGUUGCAUACUUCUCAGAGUUGUAUUCCAGCAAGAAAGCAUACAUAAUUUGACCCCAUUUGCAUUUUAACACCGCUGUUCCAAGAAAACCUCCAAGGAGCAUGGAUGUCGUCACGUAAAGCAUAUAGCCACCACUAAUGUUCUUUGCUGUAAUUCUUUUUUCUUUCGUCUCUUAGAUUUUCUAUGGUGUACCAGAUCUAAUUAAAUUACUUCCCUGAAAUUGCUGCAUGGCAUGUACUACCAAUUAACAGUCCAUUUGUUUGAAGCCCUGCUUUUAUUUAGGAAGUUAGCCUUCCUUGCAUCUUUUAUUUUCCCCGGAAGCCCGGGUCGGGUGGCAUUGAGAAAAAAGAACAACCCACAGGAAUGAGGAGGAAGGCUUUUUGUGCUUGGGAGGUCUUGACAAAUUUCAGUCAUGAAAUUCAAAAGCAAAGGACAGGAGCAGUUGUAUAGAUCCUCAAGAGUUCUGGAUUAAGAAUUACCUUUUUCUUUGACGACGAUUGAUUGGAAAUAGAGUGGAUCCCUAAGGGUCAAAUUUGCUCCCCUAGUUGAAUAUUAGUGAAGAUUAAAGUAUAUAUUGAACUAUUUGCUGUUCAGGUUCUUGAUAGUGAAAGAAUUCACUCAGAGUAUUUCUAUCUUUGGCUUAUUUUAUUCUCUUUUAUCCUUAUAAUUGAAAUUGAAAGGGUAGCAUUAUCCUGACAAAAUUUUUACUUUCAACCUACAAAUAUGUGAAGCUAUAAUCUAUAUAUUUUCUUACAUAAACAAAAAUUCAAAUUAAGACAAUUAUUAUUAUUUUAAGAAAGGAUAACACUGUCGAUUACCUUAAUGCAUGUAGUCUAAAAACCAAAGAAAACAAUCAUAGAUGUGGUCUCAGACUUCAUACACGGCAAAGACCAGAGAUGGCAAAUGGACAGCAAAAUGAUUGGUUCCAUGGCAUCGCAAAUAAAGCUAGAGGCAAUUGAAUUUGAGCCCCCUUAGUAGUUGUUCCAUCCCACAUAUAUGCUAAUUGUUAUUGUUUUUCAGGCAAUUGGGUGGAACGGGCCAUUUGCUGAUUUUAACACUGUUGUACUCAAUCGGGCACGGUAGGAGCAGUGGUGGGUAGCCGGUACUCCAUCUCUUCCCCUAAAUACCAUACUCCACUUGAACAUGAACUUGGCUCCUACCAAAGAAUUUAAGUCCUGAUGGGUGUAACUUGCCACAAUAUAUGUGAUUUCCUCGACUCAAAUCUAUACGGAUGCAUCUAGUUCGAUUGUGAUUCAAUUCUCGUCGAUUCUCUAAUUAAUCCAGUUGGACCCUUCCUUCAAUUAGAUUAGAGUAAAAAUAGGAGUAGAAUAAAUAAACAACGAAUGACAAAAAAAACACGGAAAAAAAAAAAGAACAUGGCUCCUUAUUAAUGCGGAGAGCACUUAUUUUGGAAUGACAAUAAAUGAUUUUCACUUUUUUUUUUGGAAUUUAACCUGAAUUUUCCACGAGUGGAAGAAUAUAAACACCAAAAGGAAACUGUGAAAAAAGCUUGAAGAAGAAAUAUAUUUACUUGUAAUUCCAUGUUGAUUUGUUGAAUCGGCAGGAGUAAUACGCAGCCUUCUUUCGAACGUUCGUGUUGAUUUCUCAAGUCUUGAGUCAUGCAAUUCAAUUUCAAUUCGUUAGCCAUCUCUCUCAUUUGCCCCGGAGAAACGUUCCAAGAAAUUCCUCUUCAUCGGCAGUUUCCAUUUGCCAAUGACCCGAUCAAAGGAGAUGAAAUGUAAUCCACUGGCUUGCUGGAUUUUCCUAGAAAUCCAGUGUACCUUUUCUUCCUCUUAUCUUUCAGCUGUCCCUCUCAAACUUUUUGCCCCUCUCCCACCCACCCCCCUCCCCUUUUUUGUUUUUUAUUGUUGCAGGGAAAACUUUUCUGUAACUUAAUUUAUCAUAUUUAACAGGGAGGAGAGUCUAAAGAACGGAUAUAUAGAUUUGAUUCGAUUAAAGAGGUGUUUUGAUACUUUUUUUAAAAAAAUUUCACAGUAGAUGAGACUCCUAAUCUACUACACAAAGAGUGAUUUAAUCCCUGUUUGAUAACCACUAAGCCAAAACUUGGUAGUUCUCCCACCCCCUUUUAAAAGCAACAUUCUUUCGAUUUGCCAGUAGACCAUUUACAUUGAUUUAGAGUCUAUACACAAGUACUGAAUCAACAUAUAAUCACGUAAUAAAUAUUAGGAUUUUAUUUGAGUAAAUCUUAUAUAUACUAACGGUGUAUAUACUAUCACAAUUGGAUAUACGACAGAUAUAUAAAAUUUGAGUUUCAAAUUUAAGUUCGGAUUAUAUGUCAUGCAUCUAACGGUAAAAGUGUAUACACUGUCAGUGUAUGGAAGAUUAAUCCAUUUUGAGUAAAUCUUGUAUUUAAGUUUCAAAUUCAAAUUCGGAUGAUGCGUCAUACAUCUCACGGUAAAAGUGUAUAUACUGCCAGUGUAUAGAAGAUUAAUCCAUUUUGAGUAAAUCUUGUAUAUACUGACGAUGUAUACACUAUCACGAUUAGAUAUACGAUAUAUAUAUAAAAUUUGAGUUUCAAAUUCAAAUUCGGAUUGCAUUCAAGAGUCAAAAGGAUGCAUUUUGUAAAAGAUGCACCAAAUUUAAGCUAGUUUCUUUUAGCAGCCACAAAGCUGAGGCCAUCUAUAUUCACUUUUAAUUUUUUUGAAGGCAUGAAGCUCAUGUUACAUCAGGGGUGAGACCAUGCAAAGAAACUCGUGUUAUUUGAAUUUGACCGCUUAGUUCCUUACAUUUGAAUUUCAACUUUAGUAAGUAUAACAGCCCGCCAUUUAUGUUCUAACUUAAGCCCGUAUUAAAUCAUUAAAAACCCCCCAAUUAACGACACACCCUAAAAUUGGUCAAUACUAGUAUUUUGACCCGUGCUAUGCGCGGAGUUAUAUUUCACUUUGAUUUCUGCGAAGGUACAAUGCAACACACCAUAAGUGAAAAGAUAAACAACGCGGGCCUGUAACACUGACCAGUGACCGCCACCUAAGCCGGAAUAGUAUUUACCAGGUAGUUUACAAUUGGAAAUAUUUUUUUGAUUGUAUUUUUUACACUUGGGAAUUUCGUAUGACUGCAAGGCUAUUGUAUUUUUUUACAUAAUAUGUGUUGAGAUAUGCCAAUUUCUCUACAGAUUUUUUUAGAUUGUUUUUGAUAUUAGAAUAAUUUAGUUAAUAAAAGAAUACGUCUUGUUAUUAGGAUAUAUGUUAUUCAAAGAUCAUAUUGGUUUUUUAACAAAAUAUUUUAGUUAAGAUUUGCUAGUAGAAAAUUAUGUUUUGUUGAGAUUUUAUAGGAUAAUUAUUAGUUAGAUGUUUUGUUAAUUUGUUUUACGUAAGUUGAUGAAUGAAUAACAUAAGUUCAUUUUCCAGCUUCAUACAAGUUUCUUAUAAGUCAUUUUUUUGCAACACUAAUAAAUACCUUUUUUUUUUUACAAGUUUCAUACAAGAUUAUGUUUCUCAAAAAUAUUUUUUUUGUGUACAUUAACUUCAUACUACAUAAAUACAAAUACUUUUGUAAACGCACCUCAAAUAUACCACACCAAUAACAUCUAAUACCAAUCAUAAUUACCUCAAAUCCAUUUACUAAUACCGAGAGAAACACAUGCCUACGUGGAAGCCCCUAACUUGUCUCGUAUCGCACAUGAGUUUCAGCAAUGUGGACCCACAUGCACCACGUGUCCGAAUAACAAUGCAGUUCUCGUACAACAUGAAACGCAGCUUAACAUUUUCCCCCUCAGAAUUUUAUGCAGUUGAACAAAGAGCCCCUUCCAGUCUUAAAAACAGUAGUGUAGCAACAAUUCUCUAUGCUUUUGCAAUUCCGGCCUCUCUCUCUAGGCCUCCCACCAAGUCCCAUCCCCUCUCUCUCUCUCUCUCUCUCUCUGCCAAAAAAAAAAAUGAGGGGGGACUGGAGGGCCUUAACCACCCUUUAGAUGAGUCCCCCACCUUCCGCCGCCACCAUCGCCACCGCCAUCAUCAUAACUACCAUCCUUAUAUUCACCGUCACCAACCCACCUCCCUCAGCCUAUGCACUCGGAGGCUCUGCCACCACGGUGGCCGUCAGCUACGGCUCGGCCACCACCAUCUGUACCUUACUCGCCGACCAACCCACCCAGCAAAUUCAAUGCUGGAGGAACGGCCAGGUUUUCCUAUCCAUCUACGCCCCCACCGUUUCUUUCGACUCCAUCGCUGGCGGUCUUGACACCGUCUGCGCUGUCCGCUCCGGCGGAUACAGCCUCCUGUGCUGGAAUGUUGCUAACUUCACCCCCAAAAGACUCUACCUCGGGUCUUCAACCUUGUUAACAAGCAUUACAAUUGGGGAUACUCAAAUUUGCGCCUUAACAAACGGUGCUACUAACGUCCGUUGUUGGCGCGGGGAGUCUCAUUCAGCAAGUUCGCCAAAUGGGACGUCGAGUUUCAGUUCAAUUUCAUCUGGGCUGGGCUUUUCUUGUGGAGUUGUGGGGAAUACUAGUAGGGUUGCUUGUUGGGGCAGUAAUACAAACACGGAUAUUCUAGCUUCAAAGAUAGAAACACAGUUUGCAAAUAUGUCGAUGAAGAACAUAUUUGCAGGUGGACAGCAUGCUUGCGGGAUGAAUACAGGUGGAGUGGUUAUUUGCAGAGGGAAUAACGACAGUGGUCAGUUAAAUGUGCCCGCUAAUUUCGGGUACGAGUACAAUGCCUUAGCUCUUGGUGCAAAUCAUACCUGUGCUAUUAGGUCACUAAACCACACAGUUGUUUGUUGGGGAGGAGGUGGAGAAUUUUCUAGCAGUGUUACGGAAGAUACCUCAUUUGAGUCAAUUGUUGCGGGGUUGGAUUUUACUUGUGGAUUAGUUACGAGUAAUUUUUCAGUGAUUUGUUGGGGGCCUGGAUGGCCUAAUAACUUGAAUCCUGCAGGCGUCGGGCUUCCAUUGCAGAGGACUCUUCCGGGGCCAUGUGUUCGUAGUAUUUGUAGAUGUGGUAUAUAUCCUCAAUCUCAAACACUCUGCUCUGGUAAUGGUAAUAUUUGUUGGCCUUGUGAUAUUAAAAUUUUAGCUCCACAGCCACAACCAUUAGGUCCAUCACCAUCGCCGCCUCCGCCUUCAAUUGGUCCAUCACCGUCCUCGCCCUCUAAAGCGCUGAGGAGGGGUUUAUUGGCCUUUGCCAUCGUUGGAUCAGUUGGGUGUUUUGCUGGGAUUUGUACUGUAGUUUAUUGUUGGUGGACUGGUGUUUGUUUUGGGAAAAAGAAAAUUCAUAAUUCAGUGCAACCUACUAUUAGUGCUGCUAGUGCUCCGCAGCAAUCAAACAGUAGUCCACCCUCAAGAUCAUCCACUCUUAGGCGGCAAGGAUCACGCCUGAUGAGGCGACAGAGGAGCGGAACAUCGUCAAAACAUGCGGACAGGGCAGAGGAGUUUUUGUUUCAAGACCUCGCUGCGGCCACCAACAAUUUCUCCAUGGAGAACAAGAUUGGUGCUGGGAGCUUUGGGGUUGUUUACAAAGGCAAAUUACUUGAUGGGCGCGAGGUUGCGAUUAAACGGAGCGAGACAGGUCCAAGAACGAAGAAAUUCCAAGAGAAAGAGAGCGCAUUUGAAUCAGAAUUAGCAUUCCUGUCGCGGCUUCAUCACAAGCAUUUGGUUAGGCUCGUGGGGUUUUGUGAGGAGAGGGAUGAAAGGCUUUUGGUUUACGAGUACAUGAAAAAUGGCGCGCUUUAUGAUCAUCUGCACGACAAGGACAAUGUGGAGAAGAGCAGCAGCGUGGUGAAUUCUUGGAAAAUGAGGAUAAAGAUUUCACUGGACGCUGCUCGGGGCAUCGAGUACCUUCACAACUACGCAGUUCCACCCAUAAUUCACAGAGAUAUCAAGUCAUCCAACAUAUUGAUCGAUGCAAAUUGGACUGCCAGAGUCUCUGAUUUUGGAUUAUCACUAAUGGGUCCAGAAUCGGAGCAAAAACAUUUUAGGCCGACCAAGGCAGCUGGGACAGUAGGCUACAUCGAUCCAGAGUACUUCGGUCUAAACGUAUUGACAGCAAAGAGUGAUGUGUAUGGUCUUGGGGUGGUAUUAUUAGAACUCUUGACGGGGAAGAGGGCUAUUUUUAAAGCAGGCGAAAACGAUGGUGCACCAAUGAGCGUGGUGGAUUAUGCAGUACCGGCAAUUAUGGCUGGGGAAUUGACCAAGAUUUUGGACCCGAGGGUCGGGCCGCCGGAGCUCAACGAAGCGGAGGCGGUGGAGCUGGUGGCGUACACCGCAAUGCAUUGUGUGAAUUUGGAAGGCAAAGAUAGGCCGACCAUGACCGAUAUCGUUGCUAAUUUGGAACGAGCAUUGGCUCUGUGCGACGAUAGUCAUGGCAGCAUAUCAAGUGGUCCAAUAUCCAUUGUUUCAGAUUGAACUCAAAAACAACUCCAGGUCACAAAAUUUUCAGUUUUUUCUAUUUAUUCUUUUCUUUUUUUCCCCCCGGUCAUUAGUAACCAAUUGAUGUGGGGAUUCUUUGUUUUGGAGUGUAAAGAGUAGGAUAUUUGUUCUAACGCGGGACGUAGCCUAGAAUUUUAUGAACGCUGACAAGCAAAUAGAAAGAUCGAUAAUUUAUUUUCAUGGAACAGCUACACUACUGUAUAUCCUCAAUUUCUUUUCUGUCUAGAAAUGCUCAUGUAUCGUUUUUUUUUUUUUUUUUUGGGUAAUUUGGACUUGGUCAGCCUUAGAGGGGGCUUUUUAUCCAAGGUUUUUAUGGUUUCACAAAUGUCCUUAAAUAAAUAUUAGUAUAUUAGAACAUGGGAUGAUAUGUAUAUAUAUAUAUAAAACAAAAGAAGUCUAAAACCGUAACAAAAGUGGUCCAGCGGGGCAUUUAAAACUUGCACGUUGGGCUAAUUUACUUCCUACUGAGAAUUGACUUUGAAAAUUCCAUUAAAAGCGGUCAAUUAAAAUCAAGUAGUCGCUCCAGAUGAUGACACCUGUAGGGCGGGCUCUCCUGUAUCCUCCUCCCAAGGCGGACCCACCCUGAGUUGUUUUGUCCUCCUCUUCCUCCUGCACUGCACGUUGAGUUUCUAUCGACUGUCUCCCAGGAAAUGUGAACUCUUGCUGGCUGUGUUGCUGCUCUGGCGCCGCCGCCUGCAAAACAUGUUUACUCGGUCCUCCUAAGUUUUUUAGUAGAACUUCCAAAUGUUCGAGAUAUUUUAAUUUUAAUUUUUAUAUGCACCAAGAUUUCAAGAUAACCAGUGCAGUGCACGGAGGGAUGGAUUAAGUGAUACGAUAAAAAGAGAUUAUAAAUGAGACAUUUCGAAUUCAAAGCUUUUCAUUUAAAUAAUAAUAAAAAAAAGUCGGACAUGAAAAUAACUAGUACAUGACGUCUGUAUUAGUACUGUCUAAUGUUCAUUUGGUAAUUUAUUGGAUACCUUUCUUUUUAUGAAUUGUUAGUUUACACUAAUAGCUAGUACAUGAUGUCCGUAUUAGCACGUUUGUCAUUCAUUUAGCAAUUUGUUAUGGAUAAUUUUUUUUUUUAUAAAUCGUUAGUGUAUAAUUUUUUAAUAUUGAUAAAUUUAAAUCAGGUUACAUGACAUAAUUCAAAUUGAAAAUUUAAAUUAUACACGACGUCGCAUACAUACAUCUAAAAGUUACUCCCUCCGUCCCACUUUGAUAGUCUUGUUUUCCUUUUUCGUCUGUCCUAAAUUGUAGUCCACUUUCCCAUUAAGAAAUGUAGUAAUCUUUCAAAUUGUCUAAAAUACCCUUAUUAAAUAUCUUGUUAUUAAUACAUUGUUAUUAAAUACUAACCCACUACAUUGAAUACAUUGAGCUUUUCUAAUACUAACCCAUUAGCUGUAACUGAUAUUAAUUGGCACUCUUCGUGAUUAGCAUAAGGGUAUUUUAGGAAAUUAUUAAUCUAAAUUUAUGUUUCCAACUAAAUUAAUUACACUUUCUUAAUCUGUGUGCAAAAAAAAAAUCAACACUAACAAAACGGGACGGAGGGAGUAAUUCAUAGCAAAACCAAUUCUUGAAAAUGAUAGAAGUAACUAACGUUCACCAAAUUACUCCGGUGCAAACAUUCUUGGUAUUAAAAGUCGGGACAAUGAAUGGUUGGCGGUUGAGAGGUGGAUUUGUAAAUGGGCGGCCGCAGACCAGGCCUCCCCAUGCACUAAUUCCUUGCUUCCAAUUUGCUUGCAGCUCUUUACAAACAUUUUUUUUUUUUUUUUUUUUAAAAGAAGAAGAAGAAGAAGAAAUCCUUCAUUUUUAUUGCGGGGCGUAGAUCUCAACGAUGCACGUGAGGAGGAUGUGAUUCUAUUGAACCCGUGCUAGUGAGUCGUGAGAAGGGGAAGAACAAUCAAUCUUCACAGUUACGGUGGAGUGCGCCGAGGUUCUUUAUGGGAGGAUCCGAAGAAGCGAGAGAAAUUUGUGUUACAAAUCCAACGUAAGAAUCUACACUGCUGAUAAAUUAUCUGCAGUGAUAGCUACUAUCAUUUUCACGCCAGACACAAGAUAGAACGUCGUACCACAUUCCCAAUGUAAAAUUGGAGCUCGUGAUAUGAAUACGAUUGUGGAUUUUGUCAAAGAAAGACUGAACAUCUUCAUUUGCCCUGCCCGUGUCUUGAAUUCGUGAACACCCCAUAAUUAUUAAUUAAACAACUUUUUUGACUUUUCUUUACUUGUGACGUGGCUUCUGAGUCAAUUGGUCCAAGAACUUGGUCUAACUCAUCUUCCUGAAUCCUGAGUCAGUCGUCUACUCCGAGUUCGAACCCUCUCACCUCGUCACAGCAAUAUUUUGGCAGCAAGAACCUGGGAUUUAGCAUAAGAUAAAAAAGUCAUCCAGAUUUUUAAGUUGUAGAUAAAAAUAAUUGUGUUUUUUCUGCACAGAAAUCUUCAAAGCUUCAAUCCUCUGUCUGGUAAAAGCUCUACUACGGUUGACAACUUUUGAGAUGAGUGAUUUGUGCGUUCACUUUUUUGACCCAGAUAAGGAAGGAUUAAGGAGGGAAGGCAAGAAAAUUUCUCCAUUCUCAAGCCCAGAAGUCCUACCUCUCAAUUUCCCUUCUAAGACACCUUUGGGUCAAAGCUUACCGUUACAUGAAAGAGAGAGAACCUCUAGAUGGCCUUAUUGAGUGAGUAGUAAUAAUUUUGGAACUCGGGCAAUGCAUCAUUUGAUUUGGGGUUCCAAAUUCGCCCAUAUGAUAGGGAUUGGGGGAUUGAAAUGUUGAAAUCAGGAAUGCACUGGUAGUGUACCCCUUUUUUUUAAAAUUUUGUUUUAUUUAUUUAUUUUUUUAAAAAAAAGGUCUGUCCAAGUAAUUGAAUUGAACAUUUUUCCAUUUUCAUUGUCGUUUAAAAUAGCUGCAUGAAGCCAAAGGGAAGUUGUUGCGCUGCAGAGAUCCCCAACCAACCAAUGAUUACUACAGUGUAACGUGUACACUGUACACGACGACUCCUGCUCUUUCUUCGCGGUCAAAAUUUUUGGUCAUCUGAUGAUCCCGUCCACUUUUUGUUUGACUUGGUGAAUUUUUUGUUUUUUUCAAAGCACGCUCAUAUUGAUACCAAAAAUAGAGUAUUGAAUAUUGACUGAAGUAUGACAAUUGACAGGUCGGGGUAACCAACAGAACAGGGUGGGGUUAGCUUUGCUCAUCCCAGGCAAAUUGCUCGUUUGUACCACCUAAUACGAUCGAGCGAGCGAAAUGGACAUGCUCACGUAAAUGGACAGCAUCACAAGGAAGCAUAUAUUUUCUUUGUUCUUAAAAAAUUUAGAGAUUGCAACACCCAAUCUCCAUACGAGUCCCUUUUUUUCAUAGUGCAGAUUAGUAUAUACCAGUUCUUUUGUACGAAUAGGAUAAAUUGUUGCCGUUGAAGAAAAAAAAAAAAGUGAGGCUGGCUUGCUUAUCCCGAGCAAAUUGUGCGUUUGCAUUUCUGAAGCGGUCCAAUUUCUGUUUAUCCCAACCAAAUUUCUUUUUUAAGAUUUGCCAAAGCCGAGAAAGAGCAAAGACGAAAAGGGAAGGCAAUUAACAACAUCGACCCCCCCCCCCCCCCCACAGAAGCUAGAAGCACGUCCAAGCCUCGUCGUUCAUCCCUUAUAGCAGCAACCCAGACAAAUGGAUGAAGAUAAGGAGAAUCAUGGGAGGAUGAGGCCUAGUUGGUGUUGGUGGUACACGCUUUGAUUGUAAGUUCCUGUGGGGUGCGUCCACUAGAAUUGAAUCAUUAAAUGAUGCACGCCCCGCUAAGCCAAACUCUCCAUAUAUUCGGGAGGGGAAGAUGAAGAUGAGAGAUGUCGGUCGGGCAUGGGGUUAUACAGGGCUACUUUGUGGAGACCACGCGGGGCUAGAGCUUUUACUCCAGCCACCGCCGUGUGUGCGCGCCUCCGCCUCUCUCUCUAUUCGGAAGAUAUGCACACACCUGUUCCUGUUCCUGCUCCUGAUCGCCCCUUCUGCCGCCCCUAUUUAUUGUUAUCCAGACUUGUUCAACAUCCACCAAGAACCUUUCAACAAUCUUCUUUUACAAGUAACAUUCCGCUAGGGGCCGUAUUCUAUUACUUCCAUGCCUACAACAAUCAAUCUUCCUGUUAACUGGCAAACUCAAUACGCGAUCAAUGGGGUUAACAAAGUUCUUCAUGUGACUAAAUAACAAAUGGAUAAAAUCCAAGAUUCUGAAACAUCCUCUAGCCUAGUAAUAUAUGCUCGGUAAGUCCUACACGGUGCAGCUUUAUUAAAAUCAUUAAACAGAAAAAUGAAUUCUUUGAUGACUGAACCCACUCUCACUCUAUACUUACCUAAAACCACACUCCUUGACAACUGAUAGUAGUAUUACUACUACGUGCUAAUCAGAUUCGAGGGUAUAUUCUUCUUUGCCGUUGUAGUUCAGCUUCAUUCAUCCAAUCUGACAGCCACAAAAGGCCAUUGUAUCCACAGUAUGCUACUGCAAUCAGCGUUACCAAAAUGAUGACAAUCAAAAGCACCUUUCUCGUAGCACCACUAAUAACCUGCCCAGCAAUAACAGAAAUCACCCUUAGUAAACCUACAGCAACAACAAACACAAAAUGUCUCAUUACUUCUCUCACGAUGUGACAAACCUGCAGUCUGGAAGCUUUCUUGUCUUCCUGAACCCGCUCCCUUCGCCUUCUUCGUUUUGCUACGGGUUUCUCACCAUCUGGUUCCUUUUUCUGUGGAAGCAGAAGAAAAGAACUAGAACUUAAAUAUCAAGCAUCAGGCACAUGCAUCACAACAUUUCCAUCAUGGCAACAACCUAUACACAAUACAAGGUGUCUAAACUCCAUCAAAGAACAACUUGUCAACAAGAAUAACAUAAUCAAACUUUAGGAUCUCCCAUUCUUCUCUAAAAAUUUAAUCUUCUUGAAUUUCACAUAGCAGUCCCAAAAGACUGGCAUAUUUGUUGAUGCCAAAAGAAUAGCAAAUGUGACAUUAUCACAUAAAUCAACAUAUUUAACAGGAAGUCAGGAAUUGCCUGUGUCACUACAGAUUUACGAAGUUGUAACUCAGAAUCAGUGAUCUUCAUUUUACUCCUGCAAUCCGGAUCACAAGGGAGAAGUCCAAGUCCAAAUUGAGUUUUAGGCACAUCUUUGGGAUCAGACCCAGCAUUCCUGUAGGCUUCUUGCACGUCUUUGCACGACCACUCCUUCUUCAAGGUCUGGCAUCCGCACCGAACAAUAACCUUAUGCAAGGAAGAUAAAUAGUGAAAUUCAAACUACUGGUAAAAGAGUCUCAAAGUGAAAAUAUUCGGAAAAUCACAAGGCAGUAAGGACACAAGCACAUGGAAAGUAGAAUGAUGAAGUAGUGCGCUGCAAAAUUAAACUACAAAACUGUACUAGACAACUAUAAACAAAUUUAACUUCAGGAUCAUAAUCUGAAUUUUGCAGAUUGUUUUGAUUUUACAGAACGAGAAUCCAAAACACAUAGCUACAUAUGAGGAGAAAUUUCCAAAAGUAGGAGAAAAUGAUUGUUCAUCCACGUAACAUAAAAUUACCUUUUUGGAGCACUUGUCAGGUGAUGGACAUUGACCACGAUGACAGAUCUCUGGACAUAGAUGCGUACAGUUUGGUAGCUUUCUGUUGCGCCAAAAUCAAAACUUUAACAUCACUAAAUUAGUUCAUAAACUUGAGGUUUCAUUUGCAUACCUCUCCCAAAUCUCAACAAAAGGAUUUGAUAUUAAAGAAGGAUUGAAUUGCAUAUAAUGCCUAAAGAAUAUUCCACACCCUUAAACAUUAAAAGCAAACACAUUCUAAGAACAGAGACUUAAAAUGUUGGAAAACUAGCAGUAAUUGAAAUCUAAAAUCAUAACAACCAUCCCAGGUGGUACUGUGGUAGCAACAAUUCUCACUACAUGACUGCAUUGUAGCAUAAUACUAGGGUUUUUCCAAAGAUAAGAAACCUUCAGUCCAAAAUAUAUUCACCUUUUAUUUUCACACAACACAACAGUACUAAAUCUACUAAUCAAAUAAAGGCAUGCUUUUUUCACACUGAGCUAUUAUAAAUAGAGAUAAAAUUAAAGCCUAUGUUACAGGCUGUACUUUCUAUUUCACAUCUCCUUUUCUUGCCCCCAGAUCUUUUAUGCUCAAAGAGUUCAUCAUAACUCCACUAAUGAAUAGCAAGCUCAAUUGUAGGAAGAAAAAUAGUCAUUUCUAUGAAGGAACCAACUACUACUUGUCGCCUAAACUGGCUUAUGUGAGCCAAUCCCCGAUGAUUUACUGCUGUUUUCUACAGAUUACAUGCAAUUGUUAUUCUUCUUUUUAGGGACAAUCUAUCAGAAGAUUGUACUAUAGUCUUCUAAAGCUUUAUCUAAACCAGUCUAUCCAUUUGUUUCUUAUAACUAGGCCUUAAAGAAAUUUCACCUAGGAAAUACUUGUACAUUUUUGGCAAAUAAUUUCUUUUAACACAAAAAAAAAAAAAAACUCAUGCAGGGAAGGGUAAUAAAGUAUAAAAACCCAGAAACAAAGAUGAACAACAAUGAAAGAUAAUGUUCCUGCUGGUAAAAGUUAAACUUCGAUAAGGUCUCUUCAAAAUGUCAAUUACUUUUGGGUCAAGCUACCAAAUUUCUCAAAGCAAUAUUAGGUGUUAAUGUUACAUUAUUUCCAUAUUUAUGGGAUUUUGGAUAGCAAUGCAUAGUUAUCAGGACAAAGAGUUCGUACGUUAAAAAGAAAGUUAAAGGGGACAAUCACUUCUAAAUGGAUUAAGUGUAUUAAUCACUUGUCAAUAUAGCCCUUUAUACAGUUUUUUUCCAGUUCUUUUGGAACUUUCCGAUGUCCCUACUUACAUAUACUUAAAGAAACACAGAAAAGAAGAAAAAAGGCGCUUGGAUCUGUACCCAUGGUUCUUUCUGCUCCAAUACUCAUUUAUUAGCAUAUGAAAAAAGAAGAUACAGUCUGCUGUAUGCCCUGAGGAAAAAAUAAAGGAAAGGAAGAUAUAUUACCUAUGACAUGGUCCUCCGCAUGAACGAACAGCCACUUGCUCCCUUUCGUCCAAACUAUUGUAAUAUAUGCACUUAAGAGCAUGAACCAUGGCACCGCAGUGGCAUGCACGCUUUAUUAGUGAAUGACACGGAGGGCAUUCUCCAGGAUGACACACCAAAGGGCAAGGAUGUGGACAAGGAGGGCUUCUCUCCUGAACGGUUCACAAGUAAAAGAUAGACAUACUUGAUACUAAAAUUAUUUGAAAAUACUGAAUUAUGAAUCUGUAAAUGCAAUAUUCAAAAUGUGAGGGAUCUUGUAGAAAGUUAGUUGCAAUAGCAACUAGUUAAGUUUUGGUGGUGAUCAAAAAGCUGAGAGCAACGAUUGAAAGUCUUACCUUUUGGCAAGGAAGAUUACACUCUUCACAUGAUUCAGCCAGUACAGAACUAUAUGAUUUCGAAUCGCUCUUCAAGGCAUGGCAUAUCUUUGUACAGUAAUGGUUGCCACAGGAAAGAAGAGUGCCACAUAAGUUGUCGCAUGAAAACUCUGCUGGAUUUGAGCAGAUCAUCUAAAAGGUGGAAGACAAAGAUGGUCAAGACUUUUCAAGAAAAGCAGACACGUGACACAACAAAGAGGUAAGAACAAGGAAUGCCCCACUUCUCCUUCCCAUCCACAAACACGCGCACACACACACUUGAAGGAGAUAGAAAAUAAAAAAUUCAAGUAUAUAUAAGUUCUGUGCGAACCAUCCUCUCUGCUCCUAUGUGAUUGCCAACACAUGAUCUCCACACCAGUUCAGGACAAGGAGGGCACAAUGUACCAGGAAUAUGUUCAGCCUCAUGACUUGACUUCUUUUUCUUUGGUUUCAAUGUAAACUCUGGAAGGGCAGGAGGUCUAGGGCCAUGGCACCUUUAAAAAGCACUACCAUCAAUAAUGCAUUGUAGUUUGAGAAAAGUGUGACUAGAAAAAGAGGUAUAACAAACUUCAGUAGAAUUGAAACCUUAAUUUGCACUUGUGCCCACAUGAGUAUUCUUCAUCACAGAUCAGACGACAAGGAGGGCAAGCUCCAUAAUGACACUUGUGUGGCUGAAUAAAUGUCGAAAGGAUUAGAAAUCAAAACUAGGCCGAAGAUAAUAACCUAGUAACACACACACACACUCAACAAUUUCACAAAAGUAGUACAAAAGCUUUGACUUCAGAAGAAAUGAACAAAAUACACAAGAUAAAUGGAAAGGAAGUUUCUACAAUGGUUCCAUAUCAAAUAUCAGUACAGUGAAUAAUUACAAACCUUGCAAAUUAACCUGUGGGUGCACAAUGGAGCUACACGACAUCGUUUGGGACAUUUAGGAGGCUUUUGCUCGGUCUCUGUGCCACAUGGAACCUAAGUAUGAAAUUCAAAGAAAGUUGUUAAUCAAUGUAAAGCAACAGAUUUAACAGUACAAGUAAUGCUCAUAAUUCUGCAUCAAUUGCAGAAGUUAAUCAAAAUGAGAUGUUACAAGUAAAAGAUGUUCAUAUUCAAAUCUACUUGCUUCACAACAAUAUACUGUACUUUCAAAAUGUUUCCCAACCAAAAAAUUAUAGUAUUACUACUUGAGAAAGAAAAAGUUUUAACUUUUCUCCCAUUUUUGUGCCUUAGCAAGCACCACAUCCGGAACGCUCCCAAUCCACAAACAUGAAACAUAAUGUACAUCGUAUAGGCAAAAAAGAGAUUGCACUGCUUUGUUAUAUGUUGUGACAUUUUCGGCAAUAAACAUUGCUUGUAAAGUUUCAUAUUAAUUGCAGAGGGGAAAAAGUGCUCACCUCAAAAUGUGUUUCCCCACAUGAACAUGAAAUCAUCACCAUCAGUGGACAAGGAGAACAGGCACCUCUAAAGAAGCAAAAUAAAAAUCAUUGAUAAUUUGUAACAUUAGUCUGGGCCAACAGAAGACCUAAUUUAUUUGAUUAGCUUCAUAAUUCUGGAAUUCACAAGUAAUUAUGUGGCACAACUACAGGCUUAACAUCCACAACUCGUUAAUUCUUUUAAAGGCAUUUUGUGCAAUAUACUGUACUCAAUAUUCGUUUCCAGGCUAAGCCAAAUUAAACUGUUUCAGUUGAGUACAAAAUUAUCAUUUGCAACCAAAUGUUGCAUAAUAUGAUGGUCCUUCAAACAUCCUAACCUUUUUAAGAGAAAAGGACAAUCUUCUCUUGAGAAAGCAAUUUUAAUGAUUCCUCAAAAUAUACAAGUGAACAAGUCUUUAUACUAAAUGUUACAAGAAAUUAAAAUGUGUAAUUGCUAAAAAAUAUAUUAUGUCUCCUUAAUCUUUGAUAAAAUGAAAAACCAGUCAGCAGAUGUAAGUAGGAUUCUACAUGGAAGCAAACGAAGUACAGAGUUAUGGUAAGUUUCACAUCACACAAUUCACCAAGAAGUGAGAUUUCAAGCAACGACUACAAUCUAAAGGAUCACAAGAUACCUAUGGCACGGAGCAGGGCAUUUGUGAUUCCUACAUCGAAGCCUCCUGUCACAAAUCUGCUACACCACUGGUCACACAUUUGCUGACAAUUAACUUCAAGAGACAGACUAAUACAGAAACUUUACACAAACCUCAGAACAAGGUGGGCAGUCCCCAUCACAACAGCGACGCUUGCAAGCAUGACGCCCACAAUCCCGCACUUUCUGGCACUUCCUUUCACAUGUUAAAUCUUGAUAACAAGGAAUCUGCUCUAAAAUCAAUUUACCAAUCUCAAUCCCAACUUCGUUGAUAAAAGAAUUUAUCUCAUUUUACCAAUCACUUUAAGAAUUACCUGUUUCCUUGCGCUUCCACACCUGCAGGACUUGGUUACAACUGUCCUGCAAGUCUCAAUGCAAGGCCCGCGAUGACAUCUUUCUGGGCACCUAUGGAAUCCACAGCUCAACAGCUUAUCACAAGUUGCUCCACAGAGAGGCACAGCAACAUCACAAGCCAUCCCUUCAUACACUCUCUUUCCACAAGGACAAGUCCUCUUCCCCUGGAGUGGACACUCACCACAAUUACCUUUAUGACACCCUCUCUCACAAACAUGCCUCCCACAGCCAAGCAACUUCUGGCAUGGAUUUUCACACCUAAAAAUCCUCUCACAACACUCUCUUUCCAGCUCCACCUUCCCGCAUUGGCACUUAUAAACCCCUUUUUUGCGACACAUCGGACAGUCACCAUCAUGGCAAAUUUCACCACACCUAUGGCUUCCACAAGCUAAUGUCUUUCUACAAACGCCUUUACAAGAAAAAUCCUUAAACCCGCAACGUCUCACGUCCUCUGUAGCCCCACAAUAACACUUGGUUUUAACCAAUUUCGGGCACGAGGGGCAGGGCCCUGGGUGACACAACAACAAGCAUUCGUGCCCACAAUUGUAUGUCAACGGCCUACCACAGAUUUCUCCACAAGAAUGAGGUAAAAUCCAGGGAUCAUGAGGUGGGUUUUCGAGUUUUCCACAAAAACAAUAGUAAUACUUGGGGGUCUGCGAUUUGGGAUACUCGAUCCGGCAUUUGGGGCAAUGCCAGCGGAGGGUGUCAUCGUUAAGAGUGGCGGCGCGUGAGGCAGCCCGUGCAGCUGCAAGAUUUGAGGAUUGGUGGGCCCAGGAUUGGAUACAGAGGAGGUGGAAGACUGCGAAGCAGCGGGAGGAGCAGGACCAGGUGGGAUCGGUGGGUUUGAUCCGUUCAAGGCAUAUGAGGCAUGAGAGAGCCCCAGAGCGAGAGGAAGUAAGGAACGAUUGGAUCUUUAUCAGGUCUUGAUGUUGAGGGGAGGAUUGGUGACCGGUGAGUUCGAGGUAGGAUUUGAAGAUGGUGGAGGAGAGGUCAGUGUGUUGGUGCUGGCGGGAACUGGUGCCGGAGUCGGAAUCUGAGUCGGAGGACGGUGGAGAAAGUGGCGGUAGGAGGGUGGUGUUGGAGGUCGCCAUUACGGGACUUCCUGCGGAAAUGAGGGUUUGGGAUGAAAUUUGCCUGUUUGCUUGUUGAAAUUGGGGCGCGGAGUUUUCUAACCGUCACUUCCGCGCGGCACAUUUCCCUGCAAUGGCCAAUUUGUGACGCGCGUCACCCUGCAUUUCGUUCCCUCUUUUCCUGGUGCUAACUUCUUCUGCAUAUUAUAGCGGGGCAAUUUCUAUACUGUAACUUGGCUCUUCUUCUUCUUCUCCUUCUUCUUCUUUUUUAUUUUAUUUUGGUCUCGACAAAAUCCCUUCAAUGUUGCUUUUGGGUGAUAAAUGGAAAGCUUAAAUAUAACUGAAACUGUCCAUUAGAAAACGAGGAAACAGACCCCUCCUCCACUUUGAUGAAUUCCCGUCAGGUUAUGGUACAAGUAGUUUUUAGUGCAUUAUAUAGCGAACACUUGGUUCGUUGGUUGGCAUAUUUCUUUUCUCCCAUCUUGCUUUUCCUCUUUAAGACCAGACGGCUAGACGCUAGACAGACCUGGUAAGAUACCAGGCGAUAAAGGUUAGGAACCUGGUGAUAAAGCGAAUCCCAGAAAGGAUUUUGCUGUUCAGAACCAUGAUCGACUUAGUGGCCUUGCAGUGUUACGUUACAGCUUCAAGGACCUUCUUAGAAAGCCUGUUCUACAAGCUUUUGUAAAUCCAAAGUAGAAAACCACUAAAGCAUGAGUUUUUAAAGUGUUUCUUCUCCAGAAUGAGUAAAUAUCCCAACCGAUUUAUGAUGGAUUUUAAUUCAUUUGACAACAGAAAAAGUAAAUAAGAAUCCAUAAAAGCUGUAGGGCGAAGCAAGGCAACACAUAAAACUGUUUUGCAUUAUCAACUGAUCAAUUUAAGCAAAGUCUGCGUACUAUUUACAAUUUGACAUCUGCACCAUAGGAAGAGCGUAGAAGAAAUGAUGGAACGAGCAAGACUGCUAUAUAUUGUUGGCUUUGGUUCUGGGCUUUGACAAUAUACAGAUACACAUAACCAGGCAUUGUUUACACAAUCUUUUAUUGCAUUGCACAAAACCAAUGGAAUAGGGAAAAGAUCUUAUAAUUUACACAGAUGGGUAUAUACCAAGGAGGCGAGGACUGAGGAGCAAAAGCCAGAGACUUGCCAUUGCAUCAGAUGAACUGAAAUCGCAUCAGAAGCUUUACCGACCUGUAUGGCUCCCCUUUUUGAUUAUGAAGAGGAACAGCUCGGAUGCCUUCUCUUAGUUCUGAAGCAGGCAAGCAUGUUUGUCCUCCAAAGUCAUCCUUAUCAGACAUAUCAUACUCAUGAACUUCAAUCCGAAGCAGAGCCAAUUCAGGAACUGUUAGUGGGAAUUCAAAGUGUUCAUUCCAAUUAGGUAUCCAAUUGUCCUCCAGCGUCCUUGUUUUCUUCAUCAGAGUAUCAGCAGGAACUCCAGCAAUCCCUACCUGCAUGGAGAUAUAUUUCAACCUACUCAGACAUCAAUAACGCAAUCCACAAGAGUAAAUAUGUAACAGAAGGUUGUUCACAAAUAAAGCAAAUAGUUCUCAUUAUUCUCGUAUGCUCUUGAGCACCUUUACCAUUUUUCUUCUCUUUGAACAAUCUACUAUACUCUUAGGCCUUGUGCUCAAGAAAUAUGGCAAUAUAAAUAUCUUUUGCAUUAAAAAUCUAGUGAAGAAAUUAACUAAUCAAUAGCUACUACUACUAAAAAAAAGACUACAAAGAAGAAGGCUAUUGCUACAACACAACUGUUCAGCUGAGAGCUGAAACCUAAAUGCCUUUUUAAUCAAACAACAGUUGUUGAAACAGUUAAAAGUUGGCAAUGAACUAAGUUUACCAGAACAUGGAGAUAUAUACUCAGUCCUUACUUACCCUUGCGUAGAAAUCAGGAGGGGAGUAAGUGUCAAAGUGUGUAUGACGGAAAUCAUAAUACCAUCCCUCACCCAUGAAUACUGUCACCUGCCCAAUAGCAAGGGAUCAGGGUUGAAUGCGAAUCAAUAAGUUUAGUCAGGUUACAGUUUCAAUGGGAAUUCAUGCACAAGAACACUCUGAUAGGAACAUUACGACUCCCUUUCUUUUUUUAUAAUUGACGUUUAAGAAAUUUGCUCUAGUGUACUUUUAUCUAUCGUUUUAUUAUCCCCAUACAAUAUUAAUUAUUUUUUCACAAUUUUACCCUUUUAUCUCUCUUUUUCAAUACAGGGUUCUUAAUUACUACUCCUAGUAAUUAUUGCUUCUCUCUUUGUAACAACCCUAGUAAUUGGACAAUUAAUGAGGGUACAAAAGGAAAGUAGUGUACAGAUUUAAGCAAUGAAAAACUUUUCUUAAUUGGUGUGCAAAACCUUAAACGUCAGUUAUAAAAAAAGGGAGGGAGUAUAUUUUGGGAACACGAGAAGAUAUUUGCCUAUUUAUGCAAUUACAUUACAGAUUAGAAAAUUUAUUUUAUUUUUCUUGAAAAUUUGUCAGACAGCUUAUACUGAUGUAAAACUCAUCUCACCUUCAGUGUAGUUUUAACUGGUAAUUUGGCUUUAGGGUCAAAAAUCUCAUUACCAGUCUUCAAUAAGAUAUCUGGUUUUCUAACAUAUCCACAGCCACCAUUGGCCCUGAACAUUCCACGCAUCACCCAGAGUGAUCUUCCAUAACCCUGUUGAAGAAAAUUGUCACUGAAAAUUUCCUUGAAAUAGACUUUGGCCUAAUUACUAUAAAUUAAAAUGAAAGGUGCCAAUAAAUUUACAUUGUAAUAUGCCAACAUCGAAGAACAAUAUGACAAUCAAGAUAAAAUGAUAACCUGCAUGUUUAGUGCGACCAUCUGUGCCCCAUGCAUCCAUCCAAUGAGGGGAUUGUAAUUAGAUGAGUCAAAACGUAUUCCCUUUGGGUAUACUCUCAACAAGUUCCUCUGAGUAAAACUGAAAGAGGAAUAUAGAAAAGCCUGGACAGCUUAUUAAUUGGAAAUGAUUACUUAAUUCAAGCGCAAGGUCAAGAAUUGAAGCCUAAAGAGAGGUAUUAUGGAUUAUGUUGUCGAUUGGAGCAUCAAUGCAGCAAGAUUCAAGGAUGAAACAGUACAUUUUACAGGGCCUAGAUGAUCGAACUACAUACCAUGACUAUAAAACCCCAUUAAUGAAGGCAAAAUAAGCUGAAUACAUGUGUAUCUGAGUAUCCAGCAAGAACAAUUGUUCUAACUAUGACGAUCUAUAGUAAUCAGGAUGACAUCUCUCAGGAUUACUUUUAUACCAUUUACAAUGCAGGGAAACCCCUAGAGAAGUCAAGCAAAAGCUACUGCACGAAGUAUGCACUGGUUGUAUGUUGUAGACAAAGUAACAUGAUCAACAUAGUACCUUAUAAUUUCUUUUGCAUGAGUUACAGCAGCCUUCUCAAGUUCUAGCUCACUUAAACUAAGGCGUCUCACUUUGUUAGGAUCGAGCCUCAGCCAAUCAUCCAGUCCACCCUUUCCCUUUCCAGCAUGGAUUGCAAUCAAACGUUUAUAUUCUGGGACUGCAAUUUGCUGAGACUUGCGAUCUACUUCAUCAUCGUCAUCGUCCUCAUGAGCUUCCUCUUCAUUGAGAUCAUCCUGCAACAAACAGCUUAUGUAGAAAAGUUUAAAUUGAAAACAACGCACGAAGCUGUAACUCAAAUUGUGAUUAUCAGUUAAGUAAUUGGAAUGUUCAGUCAGACCUCAUCAUUGGUCCUAGAUUUAUUAAUUGAGAUUUCUCUUCCCCAAGGUUCUGCUUCAGCUGAUUGUUUUCCUUCCUUCACUUCAUUCUGUUCUCCACUAAGGUCUUUUGCCUCUAAGUACUCCUUAGGUGGUUUAGUUGAUAUCAUAACCUUUCUUUUCAAGGAUUCUGGCGAGGGAAACUCUCUUAGACCGUCUGAUCCAGGUACGAACAGCAUAUCUCCAAAUGUUUCAUUAAUCAUCUAAGAUUUUUUAGACAUUGCAAAUGUUAGCAGUAGAGCAAUGAAAGUACUAGUUACUCUCUGUCCAAAGUGCAAUUUUACACACCUCAGCUACUUUAGCUUGAAGAUGCCGAGGAAGAUGGUCUUCAAGUGUGAUAACAACAGGAUACUCGGAUGCAGAGAAUGCAUGCUCUUUAAUAGACCUCAAGCAUUUGAUGAGUUGCACAGGAGUUGUCAGCGUCCUGUAUAAGAAAGUAGAUAUCUUGGCUAAUUACAACUUCAUUUCCAACUUGGAACCAAUUAAUGUCCGACUCAAAAAGAAUCCAUACACAAAUUGAGUUAAUUUCUUCGAUGAAGAUCAGUACCUUCCAUGCAGGACAUCAACAUCAUCUUUUGUGGAAUUAGGCCAUAUAUCCAAUUCGAUUACUCUCACACCAUUCUGGAGUGCAUUUAUUAUAGGGACAUCGCUGCAGUCACUACUUAGCUGAUUCCCAGUCAAAUAAGAAUUAUGCCCGGUAUAUAUAUAGUAAUGAGACAAUGGAUCAUGCAUAUCAUGAUGAACCUGUUUUGUUUGAAACAAAAAACCCACCUCAUAAUCAUUUAAAAAAAAAAUCAACUCUGAUGCUUAGAAAUUGAUAUAAAUGGAGAAGAAAUGGAAUUACCCCGCGACGAGGAUCAAUAGGAGGAUUAAUAUCUCCAAAAAGAUACUUGAAAAAUUGCUCAAGAUUAAGACCGCUGCGAUGGAAAAUGUUGAGGUGUUUAGGCUCAUGAAGGCUAUUUAUGAUGGCUCCAGCAUCCUCCACCGUGGCAUUCUCUUGCUUUUGAACUUCAACCAAGAAACGAUGGAGGUUAUCAACGCUUAUGGUCCCGUUUUCGGAGUAGCGGUCGAAUAUGGACUUGAUUUCAGCCGGGGCCUCUGCAGAAGCCAGCUUGAACCUUCGCCGGCAACAAAAGCAUACUCUGUAGGUCUGUUUAGACAUGCGAUUGGAUUUUGGAUUUACGUCAACUAAAAGUGAAAGAAGAGAAGAGGAGUAGAGUUGAUUAUGGAUGUUGAGGAUUGAGGAUCUUAGGUGUUUUUUUUUAUCAAGGAUGGGAUUUGAGGAUAGCUUUGCUUGUGAAGAUGGGAAGGCAUUUCCGGAGAUUGGACCGGGCAAAGUUCACUGUCGAACUCGGAACCAAAUCCAACCAACCGAACUUUUUCCUACAGGGAAAAAAAAAAAAAGAAAAGAAAAGAAAAAGAUAACGAUUCUGGUUUGGGAAACCUUUCAAUCGUUGGAUUUUGUUUGUGGAUAAAGGUCGGGUUCUGGUAAGGUUGCAAUAUCCUGCAAUUCUGGAACGUCCCCAACCUUUACGCUUUACUUCUUAUUGGUCCAGCUCUGGUGGUGAGCUGUGAGGUCAUUGUUGAUUGUUUCUCCUUUUUGUCUCCAUGCAUACAGCUGGUUGCCCCGCUGGGCCGGCCACCAUUGGAUCAAAGAAAAUUGUGUCUAAUUCAGUCAAUCAAUCAAUGAGGCCCUCCACCUCAUUAUCGAGUGGAGGAGUGUCACCAAUGAACAACCCCAAUUAAAUCCCAUUACUUGCAAAGAUAAUCACAUUUCAUUUCACGUAUUUUUUUGUCAUCUAAGGAGUAAUAAUUAAAGAGUAAAUUUCAUAUGCACUAUAAGUAUACACACUAUCACGAAUAAAUGGAUGACACGUAAUCAAAUUUUACACAUGUAUUAUAUAUUUAAUAGUGAUAGUGUAUAUAAGAUUAAUUCAUGAUUAAAUCCCAUUACUUACAAAGAAUAUCAUAUUCACGUACCCCUUUUGUCAUCUAAAGAGUAAUAAUUAAACAUUAAAGAGCCUUUUUUUGGGAUAAUUUCAGAAACCGUCCCUAAUAUUUUUGACAAUUUCACUAAGCACCUCUAAGGUUUAGAAAAAGAAACUUAUUCAUCUCUAAGAUGUUUUGCUUGCAGGGAAUUGUCUCUAAUUAGUUGUUGCAAGAUACGAUAUUUGCGCAGUGAAGAAAUCUUCUGACUAUUUUGGCCUUUCAAUUAUGUUUAAAUUGUCUGCUCACUUCUCCUCUUUUUUUUUUAACUUAAAAUGCAACAAAAAAUUAAACUGACAAUAAGAUGAUAGAUAGUUAAAUGAAAAAAAAAAGGGGACAAUUUUCAUUCUUUGACUCUUUGAAUUAGAUAUGAAGCAGGAUAAAUUUGUGCCUCAACAGGAUGAUAUAAAUUUGUGGCGAACUGGUUAUAAAGUUACAACUCACUGAAAUUCGCAGAGAAUCCGGUUCCCUGGCAUUGCCACCCCACCAAUCAGAGAGCAAUGCCCUUUGUGUUUCGCUGAUGUCUACAAGAAAAUGUUUACUUGAACCAUUUUUUUUUCAAAAAAAAAAAAAGAAGUUGUAUCUUGUUACUGCAAUUGCAGCACUCCUCUGUACAAACGAUCUGGUCGCGCAAAUCCAACUCUACUACAACAUUAAGGAUGGAAAAGAAGCGCGUCGCGGGCGGGCUUGAAGGAUGCAGUAGGGUUCAUAUAAACUGGAACCGCAUCAGAAGCCUUACAGAUCUAAGUUUCUCUCCUUUCUUAUCGUAAAUUGGAACUGCUCGGAUCCCCGGUCUCAACUCCGAAACAGGCAAGCAUGUCUGUCCCCCAAAAUCAUCCUUCUCCGACAUGUCAUGCUCACGGAUUUCAAUCCGAAGCAAAGCUAACUCAGGAACUGUCAAUGGGAAUGUGAAAUCCUCAUCCCAUAUCGGUCCCCAGUCAUCCUCUAUUAUCCUCGUCUUUUUCUUGGCCUCAUCUGCAGGCACUCCUACCAUCUGAACCUGCAGUUCAUGAGGAAAUUAUCUUAGGCUCAACCUAUUGAACAAGAUUUAAUAUGUUAAGGAGGAAACAAAACAGAAGAAAUAGAUGAACGCGUCAACAGAAGCAGCAGAUUGCAACAAUAUAUCAGUUCAGCCACUCAUUACAUGGGUAUAAGCUCGCCAGAAGUUCCAUUUUCGAACGUCUUAAAAGUUACCAUCGCAUCAAAACAGGAAAUAUCAUAUCAUAUCUAUCAGGAUAACACUUUUAAACCAAUUUUAGUCGCUGACCUUUGUGUAGAAGUCUGGCGGUGAAUAUGAAUCAAAAUGUGUGUGACUGAAAUCUAAUCGCCAUCCAUCUCCCAAAUACACGCUUACCUGUGGAAAAAAUGAUUAAGCUGUAAUUAAUAUAAGUCAUCGGGCGGUUGGAGUUUGCAAUAGCCACUGUCAGAAAGGUGCUCACCUUUAAAGUUUUCUUAACUGGCAAUUUUACUUUAGGAUCAAAUAGCUCAUUCCGCGGUCCCCUUUUCAUGAGAAAGUCAGGCUUCUUAACGUAACCGCAACCUCCAUUAGAUCCGAACAACCCAUGCAUCAACCAAAGUGAUUUUCCAUACCCCUGUUUGUUUGGGUUAAGAAAGAAAAUGAUUUCACUAAAUCCGUUGGUGAAAAGAAUCCUCAACUAAGAUGAAUACAUGCCGACACAAAUGUGGUAAUCAUAAUCAAAUUAUGAAAGUCGAUUGCUUGCUUGUGUACUGUUUCUGUGAUGCAUGUUACCAUUGAUGCAACAGAAGUCAUUGAUGGUUUAUCCCUCGCACAAACUGCUUGUCCAUGCUGACAUGUGAGCAUGGAGCAGUGUAUAGAUGCUGUAUUAGCAGAUUUGCAUGACAUUCUACUUGGAUCACUAUUUACGACAAAGACAAUAAGGAUUUCUGGAAAUGCCAGAGAAGUUAAUUCAAUAAAACUUUUAAUGUAAUUAAACUGCCGGGAAGUGUUAUGUUUAAGAUAAGGACAGUGAAUGAGUGCAUGACCAAGCUCGGAUUGCCAUUCCAGGAGUUUAGGAACACAAGAUUUGAAAACUGACCUGCAUAUUGAAUGCAAGCAUUUGAGCUCCAUGCGUCCAGCCAACUAAAGGGUGAAAAUUGGACGAGGUUACUCUUGUUCCCUUUGGAAACACCCUCAGAAUAUUCUUCUGUGUAAACCUAGAAUUCAAAACUGAAUUCAGCUAAAACAAAAUGUUGGUAGAAGACCAGAUGGGACAGCUAUUGUGAACGUCAAAAGCAAUCUAGCAAUCUUCAACUUUUACUUCAAGUGAAUACCUCACAACAUCAGUUCCAUAUAAAGAUGCAGCCCUUUCAAGGUCUUGUUCAGUCAAACUAAGACGCUUAACUUUGUCCAGCCCAGUUACUAAUGCGUGCCUCAACCCCUGUUUUGCCUUCCCAGCAUGAAUAGCAAUGAGACGCUUGUACUCCGGUGCUGCUAGUUGGGAUGAUUUUUGGUUUUGGAUGUCUCCAUCUUCAUCAUCUGGAUCACUAUCGUACUGAAAUCAUAAACCAAUAAACAUUGCAGAUGAAAUUUUGAGUAAUAUUCAACGGAUGACAAGAAAGAUUCUAUGAAAUGUACCUUUGGGUCGCCCUCCAACGUAUCCUUCAUAAAAAAAUCAUCUUCAGAAGAAUCCUUUUCCGCAGGUGAAGAAGUUCCUUCUUUCUGAUUCUUUAUUUCAAGGUACUCUUUUGGUGGUUUGGUUGAAAGAAUUAUUCGAUGCUUCAAUGCUUCCGGAGAGGGAAAUUCUUCUAAGCAUCCCGACUCCGGGUAAUACAGCAUUUCUCCAAAAAUUUGAAUUACCAUCUAGAAGCAGAUAGGUUAUAUCAGUUGCAAUGUUGAUGUUUUCUCAGUCUUAAAAAAAAAGGAAGAACAAAUAGCGAGAAACUCCAACCUCUGCAACUUUAGCCUGAAGGUCCGGAGUGAGGUGAUCCUCCAAAGUAAUUAUUACAGGGUAGGGAGAUUUGACAAAAGCAUGCUCCCUAAUAGACUUCAAGCAUUUAAUGAGUGGCACUGGAGUGGUCAGCGUCCUGAAAAUGAUCAACAAGGUUAAAUUUUCUUACAUUGCCAUUUCCGGUAAGAGAAAAUUUAGAAGUGUCCCUAAAAAUAGACGCAGCAAAAUUGAAAUGUGAAUAUAUAUCAGACAAAUAGUUUCUGGCACAGAUUUCUAAAUGUGGACAACUAGAGCAAAGCAAAUGAUAGAGAAACCCAUGCUGGUUAUUUUGGGAACACGAGAAGAUAUUUGCCUAUUUAUGCAAUUACAUUACAGAUUAGAAAAUUUAUUUUAUUUUUCUUGAAAAUUUGUCAGACAGCUUAUACUGAUGUAAAACUCAUCUCACCUUCAGUGUAGUUUUAACUGGUAAUUUGGCUUUAGGGUCAAAAAUCUCAUUACCAGUCUUCAAUAAGAUAUCUGGUUUUCUAACAUAUCCACAGCCACCAUUGGCCCUGAACAUUCCACGCAUCACCCAGAGUGAUCUUCCAUAACCCUGUUGAAGAAAAUUGUCACUGAAAAUUUCCUUGAAAUAGACUUUGGCCUAAUUACUAUAAAUUAAAAUGAAAGGUGCCAAUAAAUUUACAUUGUAAUAUGCCAACAUCGAAGAACAAUAUGACAAUCAAGAUAAAAUGAUAACCUGCAUGUUUAGUGCGACCAUCUGUGCCCCAUGCAUCCAUCCAAUGAGGGGAUUGUAAUUAGAUGAGUCAAAACGUAUUCCCUUUGGGUAUACUCUCAACAAGUUCCUCUGAGUAAAACUGAAAGAGGAAUAUAGAAAAGCCUGGACAGCUUAUUAAUUGGAAAUGAUUACUUAAUUCAAGCGCAAGGUCAAGAAUUGAAGCCUAAAGAGAGGUAUUAUGGAUUAUGUUGUCGAUUGGAGCAUCAAUGCAGCAAGAUUCAAGGAUGAAACAGUACAUUUUACAGGGCCUAGAUGAUCGAACUACAUACCAUGACUAUAAAACCCCAUUAAUGAAGGCAAAAUAAGCUGAAUACAUGUGUAUCUGAGUAUCCAGCAAGAACAAUUGUUCUAACUAUGACGAUCUAUAGUAAUCAGGAUGACAUCUCUCAGGAUUACUUUUAUACCAUUUACAAUGCAGGGAAACCCCUAGAGAAGUCAAGCAAAAGCUACUGCACGAAGUAUGCACUGGUUGUAUGUUGUAGACAAAGUAACAUGAUCAACAUAGUACCUUAUAAUUUCUUUUGCAUGAGUUACAGCAGCCUUCUCAAGUUCUAGCUCACUUAAACUAAGGCGUCUCACUUUGUUAGGAUCGAGCCUCAGCCAAUCAUCCAGUCCACCCUUUCCCUUUCCAGCAUGGAUUGCAAUCAAACGUUUAUAUUCUGGGACUGCAAUUUGCUGAGACUUGCGAUCUACUUCAUCAUCGUCAUCGUCCUCAUGAGCUUCCUCUUCAUUGAGAUCAUCCUGCAACAAACAGCUUAUGUAGAAAAGUUUAAAUUGAAAACAACGCACGAAGCUGUAACUCAAAUUGUGAUUAUCAGUUAAGUAAUUGGAAUGUUCAGUCAGACCUCAUCAUUGGUCCUAGAUUUAUUAAUUGAGAUUUCUCUUCCCCAAGGUUCUGCUUCAGCUGAUUGUUUUCCUUCCUUCACUUCAUUCUGUUCUCCACUAAGGUCUUUUGCCUCUAAGUACUCCUUAGGUGGUUUAGUUGAUAUCAUAACCUUUCUUUUCAAGGAUUCUGGCGAGGGAAACUCUCUUAGACCGUCUGAUCCAGGUACGAACAGCAUAUCUCCAAAUGUUUCAUUAAUCAUCUAAGAUUUUUUAGACAUUGCAAAUGUUAGCAGUAGAGCAAUGAAAGUACUAGUUACUCUCUGUCCAAAGUGCAAUUUUACACACCUCAGCUACUUUAGCUUGAAGAUGCCGAGGAAGAUGGUCUUCAAGUGUGAUAACAACAGGAUACUCGGAUGCAGAGAAUGCAUGCUCUUUAAUAGACCUCAAGCAUUUGAUGAGUUGCACAGGAGUUGUCAGCGUCCUGUAUAAGAAAGUAGAUAUCUUGGCUAAUUACAACUUCAUUUCCAACUUGGAACCAAUUAAUGUCCGACUCAAAAAGAAUCCAUACACAAAUUGAGUUAAUUUCUUCGAUGAAGAUCAGUACCUUCCAUGCAGGACAUCAACAUCAUCUUUUGUGGAAUUAGGCCAUAUAUCCAAUUCGAUUACUCUCACACCAUUCUGGAGUGCAUUUAUUAUAGGGACAUCGCUGCAGUCACUACUUAGCUGAUUCCCAGUCAAAUAAGAAUUAUGCCCGGUAUAUAUAUAGUAAUGAGACAAUGGAUCAUGCAUAUCAUGAUGAACCUGUUUUGUUUGAAACAAAAAACCCACCUCAUAAUCAUUUAAAAAAAAAAUCAACUCUGAUGCUUAGAAAUUGAUAUAAAUGGAGAAGAAAUGGAAUUACCCCGCGACGAGGAUCAAUAGGAGGAUUAAUAUCUCCAAAAAGAUACUUGAAAAAUUGCUCAAGAUUAAGACCGCUGCGAUGGAAAAUGUUGAGGUGUUUAGGCUCAUGAAGGCUAUUUAUGAUGGCUCCAGCAUCCUCCACCGUGGCAUUCUCUUGCUUUUGAACUUCAACCAAGAAACGAUGGAGGUUAUCAACGCUUAUGGUCCCGUUUUCGGAGUAGCGGUCGAAUAUGGACUUGAUUUCAGCCGGGGCCUCUGCAGAAGCCAGCUUGAACCUUCGCCGGCAACAAAAGCAUACUCUGUAGGUCUGUUUAGACAUGCGAUUGGAUUUUGGAUUUACGUCAACUAAAAGUGAAAGAAGAGAAGAGGAGUAGAGUUGAUUAUGGAUGUUGAGGAUUGAGGAUCUUAGGUGUUUUUUUUUAUCAAGGAUGGGAUUUGAGGAUAGCUUUGCUUGUGAAGAUGGGAAGGCAUUUCCGGAGAUUGGACCGGGCAAAGUUCACUGUCGAACUCGGAACCAAAUCCAACCAACCGAACUUUUUCCUACAGGGAAAAAAAAAAAAAGAAAAGAAAAGAAAAAGAUAACGAUUCUGGUUUGGGAAACCUUUCAAUCGUUGGAUUUUGUUUGUGGAUAAAGGUCGGGUUCUGGUAAGGUUGCAAUAUCCUGCAAUUCUGGAACGUCCCCAACCUUUACGCUUUACUUCUUAUUGGUCCAGCUCUGGUGGUGAGCUGUGAGGUCAUUGUUGAUUGUUUCUCCUUUUUGUCUCCAUGCAUACAGCUGGUUGCCCCGCUGGGCCGGCCACCAUUGGAUCAAAGAAAAUUGUGUCUAAUUCAGUCAAUCAAUCAAUGAGGCCCUCCACCUCAUUAUCGAGUGGAGGAGUGUCACCAAUGAACAACCCCAAUUAAAUCCCAUUACUUGCAAAGAUAAUCACAUUUCAUUUCACGUAUUUUUUUGUCAUCUAAGGAGUAAUAAUUAAAGAGUAAAUUUCAUAUGCACUAUAAGUAUACACACUAUCACGAAUAAAUGGAUGACACGUAAUCAAAUUUUACACAUGUAUUAUAUAUUUAAUAGUGAUAGUGUAUAUAAGAUUAAUUCAUGAUUAAAUCCCAUUACUUACAAAGAAUAUCAUAUUCACGUACCCCUUUUGUCAUCUAAAGAGUAAUAAUUAAACAUUAAAGAGCCUUUUUUUGGGAUAAUUUCAGAAACCGUCCCUAAUAUUUUUGACAAUUUCACUAAGCACCUCUAAGGUUUAGAAAAUUACACAUACUCCCUUGUCAUUUAAAAUGACAAUACUACUCUUAAAUAUUUUAAUGAAAUUCUCUUGUUUGGUAUACUUAUACUUAGAAUGACUUUAAAAUUACUUUUUCAUUCUUUUUCCUUCUUAUCCUUUUUAUGUUAUUUUUUUGGCCAAUAAAAUUAUAAAAUUACCACUAUUAUCUUUAGUUUCUAUUGUAACCAAAUGUCAAACUAAUGUUUUUUUUGAUGAGUUAACUUUAUAUGUAAUCCUAUGUUUUUUGCUAAUCUUUGUUUUCUAUUUUUUGGUAUUAAAAUUAAUAAUAAAUAAAAAAGAAAUUACCCAAAAUCACUAUUAAACUAUAAUAAUCCCACUAUUCAAAAAAUUCAUAAACUAUGAAACAAUUAUUUCAAUAUUUUAUUUUCUAUCUUAUAAAUCUAAAUCCAUAGUAAAAUACCGUCAAAAGUAUCCUAUCAUAGUGAUAAAAUUAUUAUUAUUAUAGUUGUUUAUCAAAUAGUAGAUAUGGAUAUGAAAAAUUCGGCGCCUUUUCCUUAUAAUUACAUUAGAUAAUUUUAUAAUUCUAUAGGGAAGUAAAUUAAAACUCAUUACAUAAGGGCAUUUUUGGAUAUUCAUUUAAAAAUUUGACCAAGUCAAUAUUAUUUUAAGGUUUUGUUACUAAAACUAUCAAAUCAAGAGAGGUAUGUGCAAUUUUUUAAAUCUCGGGUGAGUUCAGUUUGUUUCUGAAAUUAUCCCUUUUUUUUUACUUGUAAACUUGCUCAUCUCUAUGUUUUGCUUGCAGGGAAUUGUCUCUAAUUAGUUGUUGCAAGAUACGAUAUUUGCGCAGUGAAGAAAUCUUCUGACUAUUUUGGCCUUUCAAUUAUGUUUAAAUUGUCUGCUCACUUCUCCUCUUUUUUUUUUAACUUAAAAUGCAACAAAAAAUUAAACUGACAAUAAGAUGAUAGAUAGUUAAAUGAAAAAAAAAAGGGGACAAUUUUCAUUCUUUGACUCUUUGAAUUAGAUAUGAAGCAGGAUAAAUUUGUGCCUCAACAGGAUGAUAUAAAUUUGUGGCGAACUGGUUAUAAAGUUACAACUCACUGAAAUUCGCAGAGAAUCCGGUUCCCUGGCAUUGCCACCCCACCAAUCAGAGAGCAAUGCCCUUUGUGUUUCGCUGAUGUCUACAAGAAAAUGUUUACUUGAACCAUUUUUUUUUCAAAAAAAAAAAAAGAAGUUGUAUCUUGUUACUGCAAUUGCAGCACUCCUCUGUACAAACGAUCUGGUCGCGCAAAUCCAACUCUACUACAACAUUAAGGAUGGAAAAGAAGCGCGUCGCGGGCGGGCUUGAAGGAUGCAGUAGGGUUCAUAUAAACUGGAACCGCAUCAGAAGCCUUACAGAUCUAAGUUUCUCUCCUUUCUUAUCGUAAAUUGGAACUGCUCGGAUCCCCGGUCUCAACUCCGAAACAGGCAAGCAUGUCUGUCCCCCAAAAUCAUCCUUCUCCGACAUGUCAUGCUCACGGAUUUCAAUCCGAAGCAAAGCUAACUCAGGAACUGUCAAUGGGAAUGUGAAAUCCUCAUCCCAUAUCGGUCCCCAGUCAUCCUCUAUUAUCCUCGUCUUUUUCUUGGCCUCAUCUGCAGGCACUCCUACCAUCUGAACCUGCAGUUCAUGAGGAAAUUAUCUUAGGCUCAACCUAUUGAACAAGAUUUAAUAUGUUAAGGAGGAAACAAAACAGAAGAAAUAGAUGAACGCGUCAACAGAAGCAGCAGAUUGCAACAAUAUAUCAGUUCAGCCACUCAUUACAUGGGUAUAAGCUCGCCAGAAGUUCCAUUUUCGAACGUCUUAAAAGUUACCAUCGCAUCAAAACAGGAAAUAUCAUAUCAUAUCUAUCAGGAUAACACUUUUAAACCAAUUUUAGUCGCUGACCUUUGUGUAGAAGUCUGGCGGUGAAUAUGAAUCAAAAUGUGUGUGACUGAAAUCUAAUCGCCAUCCAUCUCCCAAAUACACGCUUACCUGUGGAAAAAAUGAUUAAGCUGUAAUUAAUAUAAGUCAUCGGGCGGUUGGAGUUUGCAAUAGCCACUGUCAGAAAGGUGCUCACCUUUAAAGUUUUCUUAACUGGCAAUUUUACUUUAGGAUCAAAUAGCUCAUUCCGCGGUCCCCUUUUCAUGAGAAAGUCAGGCUUCUUAACGUAACCGCAACCUCCAUUAGAUCCGAACAACCCAUGCAUCAACCAAAGUGAUUUUCCAUACCCCUGUUUGUUUGGGUUAAGAAAGAAAAUGAUUUCACUAAAUCCGUUGGUGAAAAGAAUCCUCAACUAAGAUGAAUACAUGCCGACACAAAUGUGGUAAUCAUAAUCAAAUUAUGAAAGUCGAUUGCUUGCUUGUGUACUGUUUCUGUGAUGCAUGUUACCAUUGAUGCAACAGAAGUCAUUGAUGGUUUAUCCCUCGCACAAACUGCUUGUCCAUGCUGACAUGUGAGCAUGGAGCAGUGUAUAGAUGCUGUAUUAGCAGAUUUGCAUGACAUUCUACUUGGAUCACUAUUUACGACAAAGACAAUAAGGAUUUCUGGAAAUGCCAGAGAAGUUAAUUCAAUAAAACUUUUAAUGUAAUUAAACUGCCGGGAAGUGUUAUGUUUAAGAUAAGGACAGUGAAUGAGUGCAUGACCAAGCUCGGAUUGCCAUUCCAGGAGUUUAGGAACACAAGAUUUGAAAACUGACCUGCAUAUUGAAUGCAAGCAUUUGAGCUCCAUGCGUCCAGCCAACUAAAGGGUGAAAAUUGGACGAGGUUACUCUUGUUCCCUUUGGAAACACCCUCAGAAUAUUCUUCUGUGUAAACCUAGAAUUCAAAACUGAAUUCAGCUAAAACAAAAUGUUGGUAGAAGACCAGAUGGGACAGCUAUUGUGAACGUCAAAAGCAAUCUAGCAAUCUUCAACUUUUACUUCAAGUGAAUACCUCACAACAUCAGUUCCAUAUAAAGAUGCAGCCCUUUCAAGGUCUUGUUCAGUCAAACUAAGACGCUUAACUUUGUCCAGCCCAGUUACUAAUGCGUGCCUCAACCCCUGUUUUGCCUUCCCAGCAUGAAUAGCAAUGAGACGCUUGUACUCCGGUGCUGCUAGUUGGGAUGAUUUUUGGUUUUGGAUGUCUCCAUCUUCAUCAUCUGGAUCACUAUCGUACUGAAAUCAUAAACCAAUAAACAUUGCAGAUGAAAUUUUGAGUAAUAUUCAACGGAUGACAAGAAAGAUUCUAUGAAAUGUACCUUUGGGUCGCCCUCCAACGUAUCCUUCAUAAAAAAAUCAUCUUCAGAAGAAUCCUUUUCCGCAGGUGAAGAAGUUCCUUCUUUCUGAUUCUUUAUUUCAAGGUACUCUUUUGGUGGUUUGGUUGAAAGAAUUAUUCGAUGCUUCAAUGCUUCCGGAGAGGGAAAUUCUUCUAAGCAUCCCGACUCCGGGUAAUACAGCAUUUCUCCAAAAAUUUGAAUUACCAUCUAGAAGCAGAUAGGUUAUAUCAGUUGCAAUGUUGAUGUUUUCUCAGUCUUAAAAAAAAAGGAAGAACAAAUAGCGAGAAACUCCAACCUCUGCAACUUUAGCCUGAAGGUCCGGAGUGAGGUGAUCCUCCAAAGUAAUUAUUACAGGGUAGGGAGAUUUGACAAAAGCAUGCUCCCUAAUAGACUUCAAGCAUUUAAUGAGUGGCACUGGAGUGGUCAGCGUCCUGAAAAUGAUCAACAAGGUUAAAUUUUCUUACAUUGCCAUUUCCGGUAAGAGAAAAUUUAGAAGUGUCCCUAAAAAUAGACGCAGCAAAAUUGAAAUGUGAAUAUAUAUCAGACAAAUAGUUUCUGGCACAGAUUUCUAAAUGUGGACAACUAGAGCAAAGCAAAUGAUAGAGAAACCCAUGCUGGUCUCUUUGCAUUAAAAAUGAAGCGAUUCUACAAAGAAGAAACCAACUGGAAAUCUAAGCUCCCUCUCUUAUAGCCCUCGCUAUCAUCUCAUAUACACUGCAGAAUGAAAUUUGCUCAGCACAUUGACAUAGAUAAUAAGGAAAAGAAGCAAUGCUUUAAGAAACUAAAGAAAAGAAACAGCUUCAAGGAACUCAUUUUCUUUUUCUGUGUAGUGUCUUUUGUAUACGAUAUCCAAAGGAAAAUGACAAAAAAAAAAAAACUGAAAAUGAGUCUAGGAUCAUACCCUACCUUCCAUGAAGAACAUGCACAUUAUCUUUUGCAGAAUUGGGCCACAGAUCUAGUUCUAUUCCCCUAACACCUCUUUCUAGGGCUUUUAUGAUUGGGAUUUCACUACAGUCGCUGCUCAACUGGUUUCCAGUUAGGUAUGAAUUGUGACCUGUAUAUAUGAAAUAAUGUUGCAAUGGAGCUGUCAUAUCAUGAUGUACCUGGAAUCACAAAAUAAACAAAAUUGUAGGCAAUGUUGACAUAGAAAAUGCUUAAACUGCAGAAUUUCCACAAUAUAUAAACCAUGAUAACAUAAGCCAGCUACAGAAUGCAAAGAUGGAACCAAGCGUCCUUUUCUAGCAGGGCAUUCCGAAAUGCAUUUUACUCUUUUUGGCUACUAAAUUGGAAUGUCAGUUCCGCUAUUUUAAUACUAUCGGCCUCUCCUUAUUUCCUCUUAAAACCAUCAACCUCUUGAAAGAUUUGGGGCACGCUGACAGAAAAAAUGUUGUUGUGCCGCGAGACAUCAUUAGCUUUGCGGGAUACUCACAACUGAUGGCAAACAUAAAAUAUUAAUGGGUAGAAGAAAACAAUUUUCAACGUUCAAUCUUGUCCUGCCAUCAUCAUAAGGGUUCGGAGCAGACAACUACGAAAACAGUGCUGAAGUUUGACAUGUUAUGUCCCGUGGUAAGAGAAUCGCAACUAACAGAGUCCUCUCCAACUUUGAUCCUAUGUCUUACGGGUUAUACUUCUCUUCAAGGUAGUUUUGUUACAUGGCAGCAUUUCUCGUAGAGAUCCAUCUGCCAUCUAUCAGCAGUCAGUCUUGCAAUCAUUAGAGGUGAACUGUAACUAUCUAAUUACACCCUCUGAAACACAUAUAACAUAUUUGAUCACACUCCUUUCAAGAGUUACCUUUUAGAAAAUAUUAUUCCGCAUAAGUCAGAGUUGCAACUGUAACUCCAUUUACUUGAGUUCCAUAACUAUAGACUUUUCAUUGACCAUAGCCAACGCUCAUCCAAUCCUAGUUCCAGUUGUCAUAUAUGAAAUUUUCAUUCUUUUGUAGAUUUAUACAGUGAUUUGAGGAGAAUUGUCAAAGAUGACUCAAGCUAGUAGUCUUGACUAGCCAAGAACAUGCAGGUCUUCAACAAGAACAUGCAGGAUGAUCUUAAUGGCCCCAUUAAAGUAUAGUCACACCCUAUCCAACAACUGAAAAAGUACUUCGCAUUAAAUUAUAUCCUCAAUCAUAAUGACUUAAUUAUGCACCAAUCUAAGAAGGGAUCGUAAUUCCUACACAAACAGCAGAGAUAAUGCUUUAUACUGACAUGCUAAGAUCAUAAGUCAUAACACGUAAACCUCAUCCAAGUUUAGCUUUUUGCUUUUGUUGCAAGUCUCAUGCAUCUAAACACGUUCUUAAGAUUACGUUGUCGGUAUUUCAUCAUUUUUUUGGGGGUAGAAGGUAUUUCAUCUUAUAUUUGGCUUAAGCAUGCAUUCAUAGAAAACUGAUUCCCCUUCCCCCGCCACCCCCCUCCUCCCUCCCCCAAAAAAAAAUUAAUAAUAAAAACCCGAGAUUAGAAAAGGAAAUUAAAAUGGAAGAAGAAGACAAUGGUGUAGAGAAAAAUCUGGGAAGAUCAGGAAAUGACCUGAAUUUUAAUGGGGCCAUUAAGAUCAUCCUGGAACAAGAAAUAAAAGAAAUCUUCAAGGUCUAGUCCCCGGCGAGUAUACUUGGUCAAAUGGUGACGACGCUGGAUGACAAUGUGCAUCAGCCUCUCUGCAUCCGCCAGAGUGCAGCCUUCCUCGCCCUGGUAUUCCACCAGGAACCUGGCAAACUGGUCGGCCGUCAUGUGGGUCCCGCCCCCGGCGUACUUAUGGAAGGCACUCAUCACGUCCGGGGGUGGCUCCGUCUCGCUGAUCUUAAACUUCCGGUUAAAACAUCCAAACAUCCUGUAAUAAUUAUAACUCCCCAUUUUUUAAAAAAUUUUUUUUUUCCUGGACGACAAAAGGUUGUUGGCUUUGGAGGGGACGACUUUAUAACUCUACAAUCUACAUGUGUUUCCAAAUAUAUAGGAAUUAAGCAUUGAAGGAAACAUUGCAGAAACGUCUAUGAUCAGAUGAUGAUGAUGGUGAUGGGGUGCGAGUUGAAUGAUUCUUGGAUGGCUUUAGUUAAUGUUGUUGAAUUGGAUUGUUGUUUCCUCAACAAAUGACAGGGAAGAAGGAGAAAAAAGCAAUGAAAUUCCCAAUAAAUCCAAGGACUCCUAAAGAUUAGUAAGAGAGAGAGAGAGAAAAGGAAAGGGGAAAAAGAAGAAGAAAGAUUAAUAAAAAAAAAAAAGGAAAAACUUCGCGGAGGUUGGUCGAAGAGAGGGCUAAAUAUGAGGAGUAUUUAAAGCUGGAUCCGUUGUGGGACGCGUUCCUUACAUGAGGCUUUAGAGUUACGACGACGACGACGACGACGACUUUCUACAACUACAACUAAACAAAACAUCAAUGAUUUGCAGAUUCACCCGACUUGAUGUUUCAGAAUAUUUCAGUCGUCGCAGGUAUUUGUCCCUUUGUCAUUUUUUUCCCUAAUUUUACCGAUUGGAUGAUCUUUUCUAGUAGUCCUAAUUUUUAAUCUUCCGAUCGUUCCCGCCGUUUUCUUGCCCCCACCACCCUUCAAGAAAAACAAAAAGAAUUUCUUCUUAAGAAAAUUAGUAGCAUAACAACUAAAAACUACCCUAUUGUUGUCCUCUCCAGUGGUUUUUGGCUUUUUCGUACAUGUUCUGUUUGGGUAUAAAAUUUUCUCCGUCCCUUAUCUUCUGUUCUUUUCUUUCUUUAUUAGCCACUAGCAACCAGGGAUUGCGAUAUCUUCCGUAAAAACUUACUGCAAUUCUCCCGUAAAAACAAUCCAUGAGCAUAUCUAACACCAAAAAAUCCCUGAGCUCAUGGCCACCAAACAUUAUGGAAUCACACUGCAAAUGUAAUUCUUCGAGAUAUUGUAAGAACCAGCGCCGAAGUCAAUUUGCAUGAAGGUGAAGCGAGCAGGGCAAGAACCGGCCCUAGUAGAAAGUUAGAACGAAGAUCCAGAUGAAAGAGAUUUUGGAAUAGGAACUUGGUCCGUCACUCAACCAGAAAUUCGUGGGAGAAAUUCAGGUGGUACCAAUUUUCAGUCCACUUGAACCAUUUAUCAUUCGAAAUUUUGCAGUAUACCUAAGAAUGUUGUAAGAAGGAUCGAGCCUAUCUAGACUAUUGGCUGCUUUCAACAAGUCAACUGUUGUCACAAAUCUCUUAAGCCACGAGAGGACAAGAACUAUAGGGUCUGUUUGGCAAAUAAGUUUUUUUAUCAAGUUGAUCUGUUAUAAGUUUUUAAACAACUUUAACUACAGUAAUUUCAAAAAAUUUAUCAAAAUUUUUAAACUAUAUAUUUCAAAAUAUCAAAAAAUUUAUACAUUUCAAAAAUUUUUGCUAUAACUUCUAUAGGAAAUUACAGUAAAGUUUUAGACAUACAUCAAUAAAUUCAUUUGCCAAACAGGGACUAUGAGCAAGGUUGAGUUGGGUCGAGUUACCUACAUCAACAUUCACGACAAUGUAUUUGCCAGAAUGAAAUUACCAAAAAGUUAGUUCAAGUUUGGAAAACCUGCUUGCCUCUAGAACAAACAAUAGGUUGUUGAAGAGAUUGCCGCUCUGUUUGGCAAAUAAGUUUUUGACCAAGUUUAUUUGGUAAUUUUACAUACAGCUUUCUUAAAAAAUUUCUCAAAAUUUUUAAACUCUACACUUCAAAAUAUCCAAAAAUUUACACACUUCAAAAAUUUUUCCUACAAUUUUUACAAUAAGUUACAAUAAAAUUUUAGACAAACAUCCAAAAAACUUAUUUGUCAAAUGAAGCCUGCAUUACUUGAGAAAUAUCAAGGACAGUGAGGUUCACAAAUUGAUUUUGGAAUUGGGCUCUGCAGCUCAUUGUCAUUGAGAUCAAGUGUUGAGGUGACUGAUACCGGAAUUUGUAGACACGGCCCAUUGAACAAGUAGUCUCCAAGAGCUCGAGACUCGGCUCCGAAAUUAACACGGAACGUGGAAUUCUAGGUUCAGGAACUUGCCGUCCGCAUCAAUGAAACUGUCCAAAAUGCCGUUUUUGGUUCUUAUUCAGUUUUCCUAUUAUUAACUAUAAUUGUAUUGAAGGAAGAAAAAAGGGAAAAUCACGCAAGAUUUGUUUCUAAAGGCGAUUUGCGAGUGGAUUCGGGUCACCACACCCGCGGAUCUGGCAGUGCAUGAGUAUUGAGUUGAUACUUGCCUUUUGGAUCCACUCUGUGGACCCACGACGGGUAGCAUCGUUAUCUUCGUUUGAAUUAAUCUAUUUUUUAAAAAUAAAUUUUUUAAAUACAAUAUUACAUUAAUAUAUAAAUAAAAAUAAUUUAAAAAAUAUUUCAUCCAUAUGAUAUAUCAAAUAUUUUUAAAAAUAUUUUUAGUAAAAAUUUUUCAUAUACAAUAUUACAGUAAAAUAUUGCAAAAACACCAUCAAAUACAGCUAAUUCAAACGGAGCAUUUUAAGUAUUUUUUUUUUUUUCAAUUUAAAGCACAUGUAGUCUAAAAAUAGGCAUUCCUAUGAUUAUUUUUUUUUGGCUCUUGACAUUAUUAUUGAAAUUUUAAUAUAGUUGUGUCAAAUUUAUUCAUGUUCUCAAGUUAUUAGAAUCUUGUGAAUUUUUGUCGAAUCUUGUUAUUUUAGGAGUUCAAUCAUGUAUGGAUUCUUGAUUCUUUUUUAUGGAAUUAGUUUGUGACACUAUUCCCGCUAAGUUGCUUCCACCGCCGCGUCAGCAAUCCAGUAACGGUGGAGGGCAUUUGGACCUGCAAGUGUAAGCGCAUUGGUCAAAAAUCUCAAAAAGAUGCGUCACAUUGAUGAUUGAGAAGGGGGAAUUAACGAAUAGAUUCAGGAUGAGAGAGAUCCAAGUGCUUAGAAAGUCAAUUUCGAGCCUUCAGGAUACCUGAUUGAUUGGAGUUUUAUACGAUUAGCUACAAUUGAUUUUACUCACAUUUGAGCCCUUGUUUCGGAGCAUGUUAACACGGUAGCUUAUACGCACGCACAAUCAAAGUGGCGUCCAAUUCCAAACAUCAAUUAAUUUAUAGUUGUCUGCUAUUGAUUUCAAAAAACAAAUACAGGGGGAUCCUUUCUUUAGGUAUUGACCAAAGAUUCUUUAUUUAGCCAGUCCACCGAGAAUGUCCUUCCACUGGGGAGAAGGCUUGAAUUAUUCAUGGUCAACGUAUAAUAAAGCAAUCCAACAACUCUACUUGAGAAACGACAUUAUCCUCAACCAGCAUGGUUUGUCAAGAAUGCUACUCCAUGCUUGAUACUUCAAGGUACAAGGUUGAUAACAUUUGGUCGGAAUGUUAUGUCAUGUUAUGGAUGAUAGGUACCUCCGCAUGUCUUCUUCCUUCUUCGGCAUAAGACGUCACAAGUUUGCCCAAGACUCGAGAGGAUGGAGCCUCUCGUAGAUUCUAAUACGCAGAUUCAGCAAUUGAGAGGCUACCCUUUACACCCCUUUUCUCUUGCAAUAAAAUGUUUUUGAGACCUUUUUUUGGAAACGUCUAGGCCCAACAAACAAGGGUAGGGCAACAAAGUUGGUGCACCCCCCCUCCCCUCUCUCCUCCUCUGAUUGACGAACUCAGCGACAGUCAAGGGUGAUAAUAUUUAGUGGCUACCCAUGACAAACUCAAUCAUCAAAAUGUAAUCGUUUUCCCUUGCACUUGGCAUAUAUCUCUACACAAUGAUUCCCAUACGAGUUAUUAGCUCAAGGAAGCUAGGAACUCGGUUCAAUCGAGUUUUUCCCUCCUCUUCCAAACCUUAAACUUUCUGCUCAGCUUGAAAUCAAAUUCCUGAGCGCAAUUGUGCUACAAAACAUUCUGCAAAGUUCAUCAUUUAGCAGGCAGCCACAUCCACUCCAACUAAGAUUACUUUUGUAGCAGCACAACAUCACCAUCAGUCACUCUUCUAUAAAUUUUGACAAUCUUUACUCUGCAAUGUCUCCUAAAUCCAUCUUUCCUUACCCACAACUUCGGAUAAUUUGCACUCAACAUACUCUAAUCUGUGUUAAUUCACUUCAUUGCAACAGCAGAUAAAAAGCACUGAAGAGCUUCUCUUCAGUUUGGCUCCAUGACAACUAUCUUGUGACCAAUGUAUCACGUAGACCAACAUUUGACUAGCAUAUUCCAAAGUUCCUGCCAAUGCUAUGGUUAAAACAUGAAACAACCAUGACAGAAAUGCAGAAUGGUGAUUAGUGGAGUAAUAAUUGCACUACUUAGCUUUGAAAUCCGCCACUAUCUCCUAACAACUAGAGUGAGAAGAUGAACUGAGCUUCUUGAAAUCCAGAGAGAGCCAUAUAGAUUAUAUGUAUAACCAGUACAAUCUUACAGUAGUAUAAGAAGCGCCGCUUUACACAAAUUAGAUCAAUCUCUAUACAAAAUUCCGGCAUAUUCCUUUCCUUGAGAAAGGAGAGUCAGGGGCCGCACUAUUACCUGAAAUUUCUGAAAAUUAGAUUGCAACCCUAACUUACCAGAAUCCUCCUACCCAGUUGUUACAGUCACAAUACCUGCAAAGUAAAACUUGAUGUCAAUUUCAAUGCGAUUAUAACAUGCUGAAACUAUUCCACUACAGCGAAAGAAAUUAUUUAUUUAUUUAUUUAUUAUACUGCUAAUGUAGGCAGAAUAAACAACAUCUUAUCCAACUGAAAUCCAAGGCAAAACCUGUCCUGGUAACAGUUCUUCAUCCUCACCUUCUCAUAUCACCAGCACAAACUUCAUUUAGUUGCUUCUGAGUCUCUUCCAAAUCUCUGUACAAGAAGUAAAACAAACCAAAGCCCUCCUUAGUUACAACAAAAAUCAAGACAUAGCACACAUUCUAACACCAAUGUGCAAAACAAUGACAGCCUUCCAAUACAUCCAAUCAUGUAUAUUGACAGCUUAAACAUGAGAAAAAGUUAAUCCAUAGAACAAAGCCCGCGUUUCACUAGUACUACCAUAAACAACAUUCCAGCCCAAUUCCAUCUAAUUUCAUAUAUGAAAUCUAAGUCCAUUAGAGCAUACAGCGAUAAGAGGAAGAAUAAAUAAUCUAACAUCAUGAAAUGACAGAAAAAGAACAUCUAUAUUGACAGUCUGAAACCCGAAGUUGUCCCACUAAAUGUAAACAGGAAUUGGUUAAAUGGCUUGUAAGUGUGUGGCUAAGUGCUCAAAAGAGCGACAUGGCUUAUCCAUGUUGGCAGGCAGUACAAAUGCAAAAUUAAGUUCAGAUUCAGGAAGUGCCAGGCCAAAGGUGAGAUAUGGACAAUCCAAGAAUUUCACACUCACAUAAGCAGACAAGAAGUAUAUCGGCAGAAGUAAAUGAACAAACUAAUCCAAGAAUGAUCAAACUAAGAAACUGAAACUCAUAAAUCAAACGAACAACCAGAAGCAAAUAAAAGACAGAGAGAUGAAAUGCUCCAUGGCAUAAUAAAUCCAACAAUAACAUAUAUUGUUUGCAUGUCAGGUUCAUUUAAGCUAAGAACCUUGUAUGCCAUCAACCCAAGUUAAACAGAAGAUACAUCUCAGUGACGGAACAGCAUAAAACAAUUUCACUUCGCCAAUUCUGUUACCUUUUGACUUUAGAAAGUUCCUCCCUCAGUAGCUCCACCUCUUUAGCACAGGGACACCCAGCGGAGCAGGCACCCUGCUUCCAACCGGGUGGUGGGAUCCAGAACGGAUCAGCAACACCAGCCUUCUUCCGAACAUCAACUAGGUCAGCACUUUCCAGCCAGUACAUUAUCACCCCAUCAGCAUUGUAACAGCGUUGGAAACGAGAAGUUCCAUCAGGCGCGAUCUUUCCUGGUAUAUCCUUGAGAAGGUGAUCCAACAGCCCUGUGUUACCAAUUUCCUUCUGAGCCUCCUUCCUUAAAGCAGCUCUGUAUAUUGGGUUUUCAGCUGCAGCUUCCUUCUCCUUCAGAAUGUUUAAAAUAACUCUCUUUCCAGCCUCGAAGCUUCAGAUAUCCUCUCCAAUCAGUGUCAGAGUUAAUAAAUACAUAAAAAGGAACCAUAAAGAUUGAUGCUUGCAUACAUAAAAAAGAACACUGCAUAUGGAUGUAACAUAAAAUUUAUAACUAAGUUUUGCUCCUUCACCUUUCAUUGGACCACCAUUUGUACUUCUUUGCUUUGUGAAGAUCUUCAGUAGUGGCUUCUUCGCUCACAAUCUCUGCUUUAACCACAUUCUCCACUUUAAUCACCUGCUUUUCCACUUCCUCAACCUUUUCUUCCAAUCUCCCACCGCCAAACUUCAUAGUAGUAGUAGACGAAGAGCAAGGAGACUUCACCGAAACCUCUUCGAGUUCAAGCUUAGGAAUUAAAGGAGCCCUUACCAACCAGAAGUCCUUGACCUCUUCCAGAUUGCCGAAGUGAGGGAUUUUAACCUCCCUAAAAAGCACCCUUUGGGCAAGCUUCAGUCCCAUAAUAAAGCACAUAUCAAGCUUAGGGUUAGAGCCAGGUCUCUCUUGAUCGAGGCAACUCUCGAUAGACUCCUUGCUUGGGAACGAAAUUGUGACCUUCAGUUUACUCUUCUCACUCACCUGAUGGGAUGCCAAAAAUCACUAAUAUACUAUACAUAUCUUCUCCAAUUUUAGGAUCAGCCAAAAACAAAUUAAGGGGUGAAAGAAAAAAAAAUAAAAGAAAAGCCCUAAAACUGGAAAGGGGACAGAACGGUCUUACCAUGGCAAUUGAAACGGACCUCAACCAAGGAGGAGUUCUAGGAGGUAAAUUAGCAUGUAAAAUUUUGUAAAAACCCCCGACAGCAACAUUCAGUUUAGUUGCUCUUCCUCUAGUUGUUGGAACCAUCGAAAACGGCUGUGAAGACACGGAAUUUAUAUUUCCCUUCAGCAAGAAACCCAAAAUAACAGACUAUUUAUAUAACUUUGGAGAAGGCAUAAUUUACCCUCAAACCAAAAAUUAAUGGUGAAGAAAAAAAGAAGGGCCGGGAGAAAAGAGUAGCAACUUGCCUUUGUGGGUAGUUGAGUGUUGAGAAGGAAGAAAAUAGAGGCGUUUAGGAGUUAGGACUUGGGAGGUGAGUUAAAGCGGCACCGAGUCGGGGGAACCAAAGUGAUGUAGUAGUACUAGUGUUACUAGUGCCAAGUUGUUGAACUAAGGUCACCCGACCGUCCUACGUAGGAAGGAAUGAUUUUGUGGGUGUUCCAGGAUAAGCCGCAAUAGAGAGAGAGAGAGAGGGGAAGCCGCUGCUGAAGCCGCUGCUGCUGCUGCUGCUGCUGCCGCCGCAACUGAAAGAGGAGAGAGAGGGUUUUGAGAAAAUCGAGAUGGCGAACCAACCCAACUCAACUGCCGAACCGAUGCGGGUCGGACUCCACAGCACGGUGGGCCCCACGCUUAGUUUUGUUCUGUUUUUAAGCGUUUACCUUUAUAUAUUUUCCGCGGAAAUUUUUGGGUAAAAAAAAAGAAAGGAUUUCUGCCAUCUGUCAUGUAAUAAUGAAGUUCUAAUUAUAAUUGUCUCUCUCUUCUUCUGCAAAUAAAUAAAUUAAUUAAUUAAUUAAUUAAAAUUUGAAUUAUAUUUUUUGAACUCCAGGAUUGCUCUAAUAUAAAUCCUUUAAUCUGCACGAUCAGAUUAAUUUUACAUUACAGCUGGAAAAGCAAAUUUUUUUAAACAAAGUCCAACAUCUAAGAAAAUUUGCUGGACGGCAGUGAAAUCAUUUGUCGAGGUUGCAAAUUAACUAAACCAAGAAGAAAAACUAUAACCAGAAUAAAUUUAAAUGAGCAGCAUUUCUGGUAAUUAACAAAACUUUGACAACAGUGACAAGAUAGAUCAAGACUUAUUUCAAGCUAAUUUAUGUGUAAAUAUAGAAAGCCAAAUCAUAAUUGACAGCAAAUGUUCACAUCAGGAAGCCAAAACCAAAAAACAAAACACAUAGCGAGAUUCAAGCUUUUGACCAAACAUAUUAAUUAUAUUAUAAGCAAGAAGGUGUGCGAUAGCAUAUCAAACCUUUGACUCAGUAAUCAAUUCUCAACUUUAAUUCCUCAAGAAAAUACUCGCUUUUACACUUGAUUCAAUUUGUUCAUCAUAUUCGUGUAUAGUUCAUGGCAACAUUAAUUGUAAAAUCUUACUGCCCCUUGUUAACUUCACAAACUAAUUUAGAAGUAUGUAACCCCUUUAUAACUAAAAGUUUUUUUUUUUUUAGGGUCUGAAAUCUAAAGUUUAAAUCCAUUAAAUUAUUGAGUUGCUAUGUAUUAAAUCUAAUACAUUGGAGUACAUAUCACAUUCAGUGAUAAGUGAAUAGUUUAUCAUAUAAUUUUGGGAGCAAAUUUUGCCUAAGAAAUUCAGUGCCGCUUAAUUAAUUCAAACGUUCAAUCUUUUGUUAUCAAACGGUUUGAAUAUGUUAAAAUCUGAAUCCAUUAAAUUUAAGUGUUGAAUUGAGUUAUCAAACACGAUUUAGCUCUAUUUAUAUAUAAAAAAAAAAACAGAUAAAAAGCAUGACCAUCAAUAUCAUGUAUACAUCACAUCACAAAAAAUAUUACAUUGUUAUCCUAAAUAUUUUUUUAUAAAUAAUCUCAUAUCCAAACACACUAGUGGUAAAAGGUUGAUGUCCUAAACAAGACUUUUGGGUUCAAAUUUUGCUGAAUGUGAGUCGAUCCAGAUGUGAUGUGUAAUUAAAUCAUAAGUGUCCAACAAUAGGUAUUGGUGUUAAUCGAAGUUGCAAGGUCAAAUUAGUUUUGCCUUACAGCGGCAGGAAAAGCUUUUUUUUUUUUUUUAAUCCAAAUUCCACCAUCUAAAGUAAUUUUGCAAUUCGAUACUUAAAGAACUUCAGGACAAAAGUUUGUCUAAGUUGAAGGACUAAAUUGAAAAUUUGAACAUUAAAAGGAUUUUGAUCAAUUUUGUACUCAUUCCAAAUCUCCAGGGCUCAAAGUCUCUCGGUUGGCAUUUCAGGAAGGGGAAGGAAAAAGAUCGAUUAGACGGCCAUGAAGCUGCUCCCCGCUGUACUUCUCUGGGCUCUGGUUCUGUUGGGAAGCCUAGCUCUCAUUCUGGUUUGUACUCCUCCACCACGCUGUCGUGUCGUCCCUUACGCUAGUCAGUAAAACCGCGAUUUAAUUUUUGGCUUUUUUUCCGUUUCUCCAAGAACCGAUUAGGCGACCCAGGAGCCACUUCAGAGCAUCCUGAAGAACUUGCAAGCAGUCGGAUUACCGAAAAGGUCAGCUAACUCUAGCCCACUUCACAGUUAUUGAAUAUCGCAGGCAUUCACUUUUAAUUAUUGACCUUUUCUUUCUUCUGAAUUUUUACGUAGAAUUAUUUCUCUGCUAAAGCCUGAAAUGUUUGAUUUCCCGAUUGAAAAUCUUAUUAGGCGAAAAAUUUAGAGGAUGAAGAAGAAGUGACUCACAAGGUCUACUUUGACGUACAAAUUAAUGGAAAACCAGCUGGUAUGCGCUAAUACAAUAAUCUUUUUUCAGUUUUUAUUUUCAUUAUUGAAAUUUAUUUGUUUUACUGUCAAAAUUUCCGGCAUCAUUUGAAAUGGCUAAUAAAAUUGGAAGAAAGGAUAGUACCGAAUAUAUUCGUACAGUAGCAUGUCAUGAUACAAACUUGAAAUAAGUUAUAGAAGCUUAUAAGCACUCAUCGAUACUUGAAUUAACUGUUAAAAAGGUUUCUAAACAUCUUUGCCUUUCUAUUUUAGAAUUCAUUUUUCUGGUUAUAAUGUUAUCCUUGAUAUGUUAGUGUUUUCUCAUUCUUUAAGUUAUGUCUCCUUCAACGUGCUCUAGUGGAACCCAAAAAAAGGAAAAGAAAAAAUGAGAGAAAGAGAAAAGAGAGUCAUUUAGAGCCCUAAUCCAAACAUGAGGAGCAUUACUUCAGUGAAGAAUCAAAUUCUCAGUUGAGAUAGGCACGUUUGAAGCCUGUUGCGUUGAGAAAGCUAAUUAGUCUUACUCUUGUUCUAGGAGGCGGACAAGUUACUGUCAACCGUUUCUUUUGUAUUGACACAUAAAACUUUGAUAACUGAAUAGCAUGCGAAUGUAUAAGCAACCACCAUGUGUAAGUAUCACAUCAUCACAGUUGUAUACAUGAUAUUGGAGAAAGAGCUUAUUCAAGAUCACUUUGGAUGGGGCCUAUCUUUAUCUGUUAUAUGAAUGAGAACAUGGUUGUUUAAUGUUCUGCUCUCUCCUGUUGCAAUACCAUUUCAUGUAUAGGAUCAUCAAAUUCUAUAUGCCUGAAACUCAUACACCCUGUAAGAGAGUCAUGGUGAUUAAGCAUUAAAUUUAUCUAAUCAUGGUGGAACAUUGACAAAUGUAUACUUAUUAUGAGAAAUUGUUAUUACUCACCAACCAGUCUGGUUUUUCCCCUUCCAUCUUGUACUAUAAUAAGUAAGCUGCUUUAAAAACUUGUCCAUGUGUGAUUUGCCACCCCCUUUUUGGGUAUUCGAAAUGGAGAUCAGGCUUACAUAGACCUUUAUUUUGAAAUUUGACGAUUUAAAAUGUUAUGUCAAUAUAUUCAUUACUGUUUCCUUUCAGGUCGUAUUGUCAUGGGUCUUUUCGGAAAAGUUGUUCCAAAAACAGCAGGUAGUACUUGCUUGUAUAAGUGUUAUAGCUUAACUUUCCUUUUUGGUUUGUUUUAUUGCUUUUGUUCACCUGACAGCCACUUAUUUAUUUGUUUAUCCUGCAGAAAACUUUCGGGCUCUUUGCACUGGUAGCCAAGUAACUCGUGUUCCUUUUUCAUUUUUUAUUUCUUAAGAUGAGGAUUUAACUGAUUCUGCACAUCUGCUUGUCAGUUCAAUAACCCCCCCCCCCCCCGGAUUUGUAUGUAUUACUAACAAGGACUAUGAUAUGAUGAAUGUAUUGGUGAAAGACAUCUGGCUAAAUUGAAGGGGAAGUAAACUGUCCUUUAACCAAGAAGUUAAAUGAUCUAAAAUGCUUUAUGAAAAAAAAUAUUGAGAAUUUGUGUUGGAAAGGAAGAUGCUUAAUCUUAUUCUUGCAUUUGUUAAUCGUCUUGGAGGAACAGAAGCAUUUUGUACUAAUAACUUCUGCAGGUGAAAAAGGGGUUGGACGGAGUGGGAAGCCUCUGCAUUAUAAAGGAAGCUCAUUCCAUAGGAUCAUACCAAGCUUUAUGAUUCAGGGUGGUGACUUUACCCGUGGUGAUGGGCGCGGUGGAGAAUCAAUCUAUGGUGAUAACUUUGUUGAUGAGAACUUUCAACUGAAGCACACUGGCCCAGGUAAACUUUCUUAGUGCAUUACGUGGCAACAUUCUUUGGCAUGUGUGAAAGCAGAAGCUGAUUUUAUUGAGAAUUGGAACAAACUCCAAAUAAAUGAGGCUGGCAGCACCAGGCUUAUUAAUGUUUGAUAUCAUUGUUGUGGAACAGGACUUCUCUCCAUGGCAAAUGCUGGACCAGAUACAAAUGGAUCACAAUUUUUCAUCACAACAGUCAUAACUAGCUGGUAAACUGUUCUUGCUAAUUGUCAGUUACUCAGUAGAGCAUUAGUGAAAAUUUGCACGGAACUCAUUUGAUCUUUAUACUGUGUCUAACACGUCACUAAAUGCUGCCUUAAAAAAAAUGUAACUACAUGUUUAAGCAUAUCCAAAGUACAUAAUGGUUAUAGCAUCUGACCUUUGUGGGAGAACUAUAACGUGGUAUCCUGGAAUGUGGUUUGCCAUUUUAUAUCCUCUUUAAUAUCCCCAAAUGUGCUUUUCAGUUCAGGAGCUAUUGAAGUUUAACAAAGUAUUCUUUUGAAUUCUUCUUAAAGGUUGGAUGGGCGUCAUGUUGUGUUUGGGAAAGUGCUUUCUGGUAUGGAUGUUGUCUACAAGGUCGAAGCAGAAGGGAGGCAGAGCGGAACACCCAAGAGCAAAGUGAUCAUCACAGACAGCGGCGAGCUAACAUUAUGAGGACCUGCGAUAGCAGUAUGAAACUUGAUGCUGGACAAUCGUACACAGAAUUUAGGCACUUAUGCCAUGUGAAGCUUACAUUUGAUCUUCAAAAGAACCGUUCCAACUUCACCAAGUCUCUGCGAAUUUUCACUGGCAAACGCCCUAUGUAAUACAACUGCGCUUGAAUUUCCAAAGACAGUGUGUGAAGUUUGUCAUUAGGAACCUUCUUGGUGAUACCGUUGGAAGCUUGCUCGAAGCAUGCUUUGUUGUAGUUUUUAACAUUUCAAAUGCGGAUGCUAGCUUCUACCACUAACUGAAAAAGCUUUGAAGCCGACUCAACGUUAAGCUUUUGUAUAAGCGACUAAAACAAUUCUUGUUCCUCUCCUUAGCAGCGCACAAUCACUGACAGCAUAUUUAAAAGGCAAGUCAGUGAGAAAUUUUUACUGGUGUAACGUAUAACAUGAUGAGAGUUGCUUGACACAUGAUACCGGCAGCAAAUCCAUCUCAAACAGGCCGGAAGCAUGUCAAAUCGGCUAAGUGGAAAUAGGGGUAGCGAAUUGUGACAAAACUGAUGAUUUUUAUUGAUGGUUUCGACAUGGAAAUCGGCUUAGUCUUCAAUUUCUACCAUGCAAAAUCUGCUUCUAAAUCCUUUUUCUCCAUUGAUUAAACCUGGGUUUAUGGCAAUUCUUUUACUGCAACAAUUUGUUACUAAAUCGGCCUUUUUUUUUUUGGGGUCACGCAUUCAAUCACGCAUAGGACAUCACUUCUAAUACUGAACUCUGAAUUCAAUCGCGCAUUCAAAGUUUUUUUGAAAAAAAAAAAAAAAGAACUGGUACGCUGUGCUGUGUUUUCAAACAUUAACUCCUUAGGUUAUUGAAAACUACAAACAUAAAAAUACAUAUUAGCUUCUGAAAAACAUUCACACACCUUUUUACUGCCAAAUUUCUCGACAAGACAAUGAUACGAUUAGCACAAAGAACAAAAAUAAAACAUUUGCGUAGUAUAAUAAAACUGUGUGAUUCCCUUGCAAAGUUGAUGGACUCAAUUUUGUUCCAAAAAAAUUCUUCAGCUAUCAGAUUUUCCGGCUUCUUCUUUGCCACUAAUCUGCUGCUGACACAUGUUCGAAAAGUUAACGGAGAGAGCAGAAUAGAGGGAAACGACUUUAUUAAUAUUACCAUUAAUUUCCUGAAUGAGAGAAACGUUUUUAACCAAAUUGUCGUGAAUUUUGGACCGAUGGUUGUCGUUCACUUGCUGAAUCAGAACUCGGUUCCGAUCCAAAACCGACUGCACCUGUUGGAAGCUGUCAGUGAAAGUGGUCCACAUCCGGGAGCUGCCGCCGUCGAAGGAUUCGUCGCCGGCGCCUUCGUUCUCUUCCAUAUAGGAGUGGUUGACGAGAUUGGCCGUGGUGGUGGUGUUGCAGUCAUUAGUUGUGAGAGCAUGAGCUCUGGUUAGGGUUUGAGUGGUGCGGCGGUGGAGAUUGUUAUGGUGGUCGGCGUGAGAGCCGUCGUCCAUGGCGGCUUCGGCGGAAUAGAACCUUACACAGAUAAAUAUCUAUGCAUAAUUUAUAAUGUGCCACUGGUGAUGCAUGAGUGGCGCUGAAUGCUUCUACUAAACUUGGGUAUUCGUUUCCUCAGAACGAAAAAAAAACACUUACGUAUGCGUAAUGUUAUGAGAGCGAGACGCGAUGCGGAUUGGGCGAAAUGUUUUUGAAGUCGUACUGGCCAGUAAAUAUCAUUUACGUAUCGUAUCGUAUUUUGUGUUACUGAAUACAGUUAUUGUAUACGAAUAAAUUUUUAACUUACAAUUAUAUUAUAAUAUAUUUUUAUAAAUAUAACAAUAUAAUGCGAAUAUCUACAAAUAAUAUGUAAUAAUUAUAAUAAAUCCAAUUGAAUCGCACGCACAUUGACCUGUUCGGAUAUGUAUAAGUGGUAAGAGUAAACCCAUGGCGUAACGUGUUAGUGAUUUGACUUCGUAGGUGAUCUUUGUAACAUCAAAUCAUCAAUUAUAGUUUGGCUUGUAUAUAUGUACGUGACUGUAUACGUGAUAUUUGAACAUAUUUUUUAAUUAAUUUUUUAUUUUUUACAUAUCAAAUUAUUAAAUAUAUAUAUAUAUAUAUAUAUUUUUUUUUUUUUUUACAAAAAACCCCUGCUUAUCAAGUUUGAACGACUUCUAUUAAUUCUUUUUCACAUCAUAGGAGCAAGUGGGAGUGUGAGGGAACUUUAGCCUUGGUGACUUUUGAGCCAGAUUAAUCUGCACUGCACCCUAGUGGUAGCACACUAGUAGAUAUUUAUUUAAUUUGUUUUUGGAAGAGGAAAAGUUGAGCUACUUCUAAAAAAUAAAUAAAAAUUGGUCACAAAGGAAGAAAGACCUGACUUGGCAGCAUAGAAAUGAACUUAAAACUCACUCAAGAGCAUGCCACGAUAUUUGCUGUUUCGUGUCUCAAAGUCUUUAACCGCGUGAAGUGAAGCAUCUAUCAAUCAGCAACCGGCAGGCAAGUGUUGCUAGAAAAGGCUCUUAUUCGAAUUAGUAAUGUGAAUGGAAACAACUGGUAAAGAGCAGAAACAUGUCAAAAUUAACAACAUCCAAACCUCCAACUGGUUAGAUUUGGAUUGCUAUUAUCUAAAAUUUCUGUAAAUAAUAAUAUAUAUAUAUAUAUAUAUAUAUAUAUAUAUAUAAUAUAGCGAUUUGAUUUGACGUAGGAGGAGGAGUAAAAAGGAGAAAUACAAGCACUGAUCUCACGGAAAUCCCUAAUAUCUAGUUGUUUCAUUUUAGAGGAAUAUGAUGGACAUGUAAAAUCAACAGCAAGAAAAGCAUGUUCAUGUACCAAGAAAACAGAAACUAGCAGGAACUUUAUGCAUACAAGAAGACACACAACACAUAUAGCUUUGUCCACAUAUCUUACUAACAGCUUUGUUCACAGAGAGCUAAACCCAACCCUUUCGCUGCUGCUCUUAAUUAGGAUAGGAAUAUCUUCGAAGUAAUUUUGCGUGGAGAUCUUUCUACUACUUUAAAGUAGUAGCAGUAGUGUGUUCUAGACAAAUCAAGUGGAUUUAACUCUGGGGGAGACGUUCGCCCGCAGUGGAUUUUUCAUGACGACCGUAAAUUCUUGCUUUUCCGAGAGAUCAACAUCGUCACCGUCAACAGCUCUCCACUCGAAAUGCCAAAUCAAAUUAGCCACGAAGUACUCCAAAUGCAACAGAGCCAGGUUCGAGCCAGGACACACUCUCCUUCCAGCGCCAAAUGGCAUCAUCUUUAUCUCUUUACUCCCAGUAACAUCGAACAGCUGACCUUCGCUAUUGUCCCCAGCCAUUUUUUCCUCUAAAAAUCUCUCAGGCCUGAAUUCCAUAGGACUUUCCCACACUUUCGGGUCCCAGCCCAUCUCUGCCACCAUGAAAUUCACAGUAGCGUUCUUGGGAACUACAUAACCCUCCAACUCCACAGCUUCAGUGACCGAAUGGGGCAGCACAAAGUGCCCAGGAGGGUGACGCCUGAGCCCCUCCAGCACCACUGCUUUCAGGUAAGGUAUUUUCUGUAAGUCCUCUUCCUUCACCUCCUCCGUCUCCUUCAAACCGUCCCCGGACGACGACGAUGACGAUGACAAAGACAAAGACAAAGGUGGUGGCGGGCCGACAACCUCCACUAUCUCUCUGUAAAGCUUGUUCUGAACGGCAGGGUACUUCACCAAGUUGGCCAUAAUCCACUGCAGCGCAGUUGACGUAGUAUCAGUGCCCGCAUUCAGAAAUUCGGAACACAGCGUCACCAUCUCCCCCUCACUAAGUUCCCUUUUCUCGUCCGGCAAUUUCAAGCCCGCCAGGGUAUCCACAUAUGCCACCACUUCUUCCUCCUCCUCUUCUUUAUCAUCAUCGUUACGCCGCUGUCGUUUUGCUUCAAUUCGGGCUCUAAUCAAAGGAACCAGCAAUUUUUCUUGAUCUUCCCGUAAUUUCAGAAGCUCCUUCCAUUGGCUGCGAAACAGAAUCUUCCCCAAUCUAGGCAAGAAAUUGAGAAUAUUGUAGCGGCCAAAACUCAGCAGCGCCCGACGCAUCAAACUCUCAACCUCCUGAAUUUUUGUCUCUGUGAGCUUGUCCCCGAAGCACAUGAGCAGCAGCAGACAGAACAUGGCGUAGCGGAAGUGACCGACCACCGUCCUGUCCAUAUUGGCGGGCUCAUCAGCAGCAUGAUUUUGGUGGAGAAAUCGUUGGAAGAGGAUGCCUAAGACCCAGCGGCGGGCCCGGGUGUAUGACUGGACCCGAGACGGGUGGAGAAUCUCGGAAGUGAGGUUUCGGCGGAGAAGGCGCCAGGUGGGGCCGUAACGGGCGGAGCUGAUGUUAUGCUGGUUGCUGUUGAAGAUUUUGGCGGUGGGAAGAGAUUUUGGGCGGUCGGAGAAGACAGCGCCGUUCUGGACAAGGGCUCUGUGGGCCAAGGAGUGACUUGCGACGAAUAUGGAGGGGCGAGACCCGAUUCUGAGAGAGAUGAGGGGGCCGUACUUGGCUUUCAAUCUUUGAAGGACGGGUUCUAUAUCGGCGAAGGACAUGCGGAGCCAUAAGAAGGUGCCGAUGACUGGGAUGGUGUAGGGUCCCGGAGGGAGCUUGUCUUGGGUGUUGUUAGAGGAGGAGAGCAGGCUAAGGAGGGAUUUAAGGAUUGCAGAGAUGCAGAGGGAGACGACGAUGAUGAACCAAUACGUCUCCAUUGUUUUGUUUUCCGGUUUUCCCAGUACCCCAGUUUCAAGAUUAAAUAAAAGAUUGGGACUGGGAGAGCUUCCCUUUCCUUUCCUUUUCUUUCCUUCCCGGUGGUCUAUUUUAUUUUAUUGGUCUUGUGGUCUAGUCGUCGACUCGUGGUUGAGUGGAGGACAAGACAAAUGGAAACAGACACCGGCGGGUAAAUCAUAAAUGUCGACAAGACAAAUGGAAACAGACACCAGCGGGUAGCGUCCAUACUCCAUAGUCCAUACCACACUUGACACUCCGGAGGAGGAGGAGGAGGAGGAGGAGGAUAAUAUAUAUACUACUAUUAUAUGUGAUACUAAAAUGAAAGAGAAAGUAGUAGUGAUAUAAUAGGAAAGACGACGUGAUUAUUAUGCUGAAUCAAACUAUAAUAUAUUGUGUUUGGAUUGCAUUUUUCGUCAUUUUUCAUGGAAUAAUUUCUAUAGCGAUUUGAUAUAUGUGAGGAAAAAAGGUGAUAGAAAAUGUGAUUACGAAAAACGACAAUAUUUUCCGACGGAAACAAGCAAUUCAAGCAUGACCUUAGUUUAGAUGCGAUACUCAAAAUCUGGGAUUAUUGAUUGAUUGCGUCAAAAUUUGUGGUACUAUUUCUUUUUAUGUUUUGUUAGUUUGGUUUAGUGUUUACGUUUAUUUCAUGGGAAGAUAUGUUUUGUUGGUUUCGUACACCGCACCAGCCCUUGAUCCCCUACGCGCACAUAAUACAGAAUGUUUGAGUAAAACUACGGAUUUCAAAGCGUAGAUAGUUGCAUACUACCAAGUACGUACAUUUGAAAAAUACACUAAAUUAAUAAUACGUACAAUAACAAUAUAUAAUUUUGACAUCCCCUGUCACGCUGUAAACUUAGUUUUAAUUUCUAUAAUUGUGUACGAAAUGUGAAAUUAGAGAUCUUAAGUUUAAAUUCCUUCUCGCCUUCUCUCUUCCUACUUUUUAAAUUCUACAAUUUUCUUAUUAAAAAAACUAAACUAAUUAAAUUGCUGUCAUAUUAUUGACAUUAUAUGUAUAUAUAUAUACACACAUACGUAUAAACUAUGCUAUAAGUCUCUCUCUCUCUCUCUGGGUGAUAUAAGCGUGUCUUAUUUCGUAGAAAACUCAGAAAAUGUAUGUUUAUAUCUAAAUAUAAGAGUGUUUUUUCACAAACACCGGACGGUUGGAAAAGUUAGUUGCAAAGUAUGACAUGCUUCUCGAGGUAAUCCCAAAGAAUAGUCUAGACACGCAAAUAGAUCUUCCAUUCUCUAUAUUUUGAAUUUACAUCCAUUUUUGUUGUUUGACUUGACAAACAUUCUGAAAAAAACAAAAAAACAAAAAAACAAGAACGUUCAAAAGGCAUGUAAAUGUCAUCAUCAGCACUCUCACCAUCGAUCCACGCCACGCCAUCUUUCAUGGUAAUUUUGACUAUUCGUGCUGUUUAUCUUUUCAGUUUGCUUUUGUUUACUUUUUAAGGGAAAAUCGUCAAAUUGGUCCCUAAAUAUUUUCACUAACACCAAUUUGGUCCCUUAAAGUUUUUUACUAUGAAAUUAGUCUUCAAAGUAAAAUAUAUACGCCAAUUAAGGACCUGCGUCGUAGCGCUGCCCCAAACUUGUCUCUUAUUGAAGUAGACGGCAGUCCAUUCAGGGGCUUUUUGGGCAUUUCAUGCACUCUCUCAUAAGCUUUCCUAAUUUCGGCAUAUGUUGGACGCAAACCAAUUUUCUAUCUUGAAUUGCGCUCAUGAUCUCCUUCUGUCCUUUGACAGCAUUUUCAUAGCUCUGCAGAAGAGAAUCAAUCCACUUCCCCAUUGAUCCCAGAGGGAUGGAAGUAGUAGCAGCAAGGGCGGCCGCAACAGGAGGAGCAGCCAUAGCAGCAGCCAUGACUGAACAUAUAAGAACAACAGCAAAUGCUGCAACAAAGAUAAUGCUCGCCAGUUUUCUCCAAGCAUGGAUGUACUUAAGCUUUUUAUCAAGCUUAGUCUUUCGCAUUUGCAGCUUCUCAAGCAUCAGAAUUUGGGCAUGGGAAAUUUCACCAGGCUUGACAACUGGAUUAGAGGCCAUGGCUUCUAAUUUUUGGGCAACUGGGCAUAUCCAGUUGGGCAAACUUCCCCAUAUUUAGGCAACUGGGCAACUAGAUUAGUCACCAAAUUUGAAAGACUAAGCUUCUAAUCUAGUUGUUUCUCUUGAAAAAAUAGAAACUGAAAUUUUUCUGGGAGAAACAGCAUAUGAAGAAGAUUUUUUUACCUUUCAUAACAGGGUAAGUUCAUUGGAACAAAUCUCUGAGUAAUUCAAUUGGAUUGUAAAGAUAAAAUGCGGGGAAACAUCCCAAAAGAAAAAAAAAAAGGCUUCCAUCUGAAAACUCAUAUCAACAACCGAGAAUCAACAAUGGUUCUGAUCGUCUUUAGUCCUCAUAACUAGGAACUGUUUCAAGUAAAUCAGAGCUUUAAUCCUCUGUCUGAAUUCCAAAUCCACUCGCUUCAAUUGAUAGAGUAGCUACAAAAGACCCACGGGCGGAGAGAGACAGAUGAGGAAUUCCGGCAAAAGCUCCAAGACAAAUGUGAAGGCCGGCAACGGUUAGGAGAUCAGGAGAGAUAGGAAAUCGGGUACAGGCAUGAAUGGAUCGCCAAAGAAAGGUGGCCAUGGCGGCAAGUUCACGUGGUCCGGUGACGGUUACUCCGAUGCUGAGCUAGGACGGAUCCACAAAGAAGCUGUCUACAUAAAUGAUCCCAACUAUGAAGAUCCUAUUAAGAACGAAGACUGAAGAUCAUAAAUAUCAUCGUCAUCGGCUAUGAUUAUCAAAUGUUGAUCUUCUGAUUUCUUUGUUUUUUAAGAACUUGGAGAUGUAAAUACGCCUUUGAUUAUACCUAGAUAUAUGAAUCUAUGGUGAUCUAUGAUUUACCAUGUUAAACAAAACAAAAAAAAAAGAAUUCCAAAUCUGAUCUUCACCAACCCAGAAACUGAUCUUCCGACUUAAAAAUUCCUGCAAUCUCCCCUGUCGAACAAAAUUCAGCAAAAAAUGACAAGCUUAAAUUGCCAAAGAUUCAUACAAGAAAAUCCACGAAAAUCAAAUUUCCAAUACCAUCACUAACCUCCAAAGCUUCAGGAUUAGACAGAAAAAUCAGAUUUCUAAGCAAACUCAAAUCCCAGUCCAAAGAAUUCUUCUGAAAACAACUCCAAUUCCUCUUGAAUAUCCAGUUGCCCAAAUUUCACCAGGCUUCUCAAGCCCAAAUUUCGCAAUUUCACCGGGCUUCUUACUCAUAUGACUUCCCAUGGCUUCUUCUCAAGCUUCUAAGAAUUCAUGGCAUGAAGUGUCCAAAAAACCCCUGAAUGGACCACCGUCUACUUCAAUAAGAGACAAGUUUGCGACGGCGCUACGACGCAAGUCCUUAAUUGGCAUAUAUAUUUUACUUUGAAGGCUAAUUUCAUAGUAAAAAACUUUAAGGGACCAAAUUGGUGUUAGUGAAAAUGUUUAGGGACUAAAUUGGCGAUUUUUCCUACUUUUAAAACUAAUUUUAAAUGAUAGUAUAGUAUAGAUAUCUGGACAAGAAAACAGAUUGAAGGUCUUAACAACCCAAAUUUUACCCCAAAGAUCAAAGAAAGAAAAUCACCUGUCAAAAUACAAAAACUCGCCUUUUACAUAAUCCACACCCAAAAUUUUCCCACAGUUCCGUGCAUUUAUUGAUUAAAAAAAAAAAAAAGACAACAACAUGAACUGAGACAACCAGCAAAACUUCCAAAGUAAAACAAAACAUUUUAGCGACAAAAUAGCACUUCGCAACUGCAAAAGAAGUUUUCCAGUUUCCCUGCUUUGAGUUCUUAACUGAAGCAUACAUCUUGCUUAGCAACUCCAGCGGGACGACAGCUAACGCACAAUCUACUCCCAUUGACCUUCCCAGUGGUUCCACUCAGAUGCAUUUAUCGUGGAUUUUCCGUCAGCGGCCACGAGGUCAUAUGGUGAGUCCUCUGAAAACUCAGUGGGCAUGGAUUUCCAGUGGAGAGAUGGCACCCAAUCAGCUUCCCUCAACACCUUCAGUAUCUCUUCCACCACUAUGUUACUCCCUUCUGCGGAAAAGUGAACCCCAUCCCUGUGGGAGGCAAAAAUGUGCAUUGAAUACAAUUGUGGAAUAAAAUAUACUAGCGUUUCGGUAGCAUAUUAUACUUCCGGAUGAUUAUAUUGCCGUUCUUUUCCUGGAUUAUUAUCAUUGCAAAACUGCAUAUCGACUAGUGCUAAUUCCUAGCCUGGAUUCCUGCAUUGUACCGGAUGCAGUACCUAUUUGUUCAUGUCUCCAGGAAAGAGAAUGUAAAGAAUGGGUAAAAAUCAAACUUACGUGAAGCAAGCAGUAAGCCAAUCAUCUCGUUUCUGAAUCGCAUUGAAAAGAUCAAUAACCUUUAUGCCCAUCUCUUUGCAUAACUCAAUUAAGGCUUCUGAAUACAUCUGGCACAACUCAUUUGUUCGAACUAUCUCACUAAGCAUAGGACUGUUCGGAAAGAAGAAAAGGCUUAAAUGACUAGUCAUGAAAUUUGGAAACGAAAUCAAUGACAAGGAACAAAACCUAAGAGAUUGGCAUCAAAUUACUUGUAGGUUGCUUGAAGUACGGCCUCAUUGACUGGUGGACAACUGAGGAAGAUUAAGCGGGUUGAGUCGGAAAGGCUCUGACAUUUAGAUACCAUAUUAGCAAGGAGAUGUACACAAAUUUUUUAACAGAUUAACCAAAAAGGAUGGCAAAAAGAAAAUACACAUCAGGCAUCAUGCUACUGCACCCACUGACAUUAAGACCUUCGAUGGAAAUUUAUAUUGCGGUUUUUCCAAUUAUUAAUCUGAUCGUAACAGCAUAAUAGGAGUGAGGAAUUUUUCUCAUUUUCUUAGUUUUUCUUUUUUUCUUUUUUUUUUUGGGGAGAGAGAGGGGGGGGAGGGGUUGUUGGAGACAAUAACAAGAACCUUAAAAUCAAAAGGAAAUUGAGGAACUUUAAGCUUCUAUAUGUUCAUUCACGUUCCUCUGAGAGUGGAAAAAAUCACUGGUAUCUUCAUGAAGCUAUGUCAUCAAGUUUGCUCUCCUAUGGCAGAAAUGGGAAUUUAGGCCUGCUUAAGUAAUCUUUGUCUUCUCAUAAGAACCAUAGAACAUCGAAAUACAAACAUUUUAAGGGUCAUCUAUCUAUUGACAGAAAAUCAUAGUAAUUGUUUUCCUCACACACUGGCAUAGCAAAUGGAGUGUACUGGCUCACCAUAAUCCCCAUGGAAAAGGACUGAUUCAUUAACAGAAGCAAGGAAUAUUGCCAAAAUGAAGAAUCCAUUUAGCGCUUGUUCCUAAAAAUAGCUUUUUUAUGUUAAGUCUGUGUCUGAAUAUUUUGUAUCCCGAUAGACCUUUAUUAGGUUCAGCCCAUGGAAACUUGCCAAUAAGUAGCAAAACUUGAAGCGUAAAUCUUUAGUGACUCUUUACAUAUCUAAAUUGUCCUCAUUCUUAAAGAUGCAUUGCUCAAUCAAGUUACCUUGAGAUGAAUCGCAAUUUUUCUCAUAUUCUCAACGUAUUCUGCAAGUGGCACAUGGGGACCCAGUCCAGAUGGGUGAGGCCCGAUUGAAUCAUUGCCACCAAAGUAGACAAUCACCAAAGCAGGCUGAAUAGCAGCAUCCUGCAACAGCCAAACAUAAACCAACUGUCAAAGCCCUGAUACUGAUAGACAUCACAUUCACUUAACAAACAAAGUCACCAACCAUGUAACAUUAACAAUUGCUAUCAGAAUUAAGCACAGCACUAGAAGAGGAAGUUGAAGAAGACAUCUGAAUCAAUGACUUAAAAAAAGGAAAAUCCUACAAAGCUCUAAUUCUGCCAAAGCAUCCAAGGGAGUAGAGUGACUAGCAUAUUGUUUCAAAACAGUGGUUCUGAUACUGUCUCAGAUGCAUCUUUAAUAAUAAGUUUUUUCACCCCAUCAAAAUUCUUAACCGGAAGACACAAAAAUGGUGCGAACAAAGUAGUAGUAGCAUGGACUGCGUUCAACAUUAUAAUCUUCAGAAACUUUGAACCCCAGCACAACAUGGAAUACCUUUGGAAAAACUUGAUCAAGGACCUGGAGAGCACGUCGUGAGUUCCACCCGUAGUAUCCACGCAUUAUAAUGUCUGCCUACAAGUGACCACAUGGUAGACGAGGAGAUUGCAUUAGACUGUAGUAGAAUUUUCAAAAUACUGCAUCAUGACUCCAAUCAAAGCCCCAAAUGCGUCAGCGAAAUGGGCCUUUCAUUUGACAAUGCAGCAGUACACGGCAGGGAUACAUAUGGGCAUGGAUGUAGAAUAUGUAUGUAAGCCUUUGGACAAAGUUGAUCGAGUUGAAAAAUUACACCGUAUUUAGCGUAACUUCCAAUAUAUGCGACCAAAAAAGUGAAAAAGAUGAAAUCAAACUCGCAAUAGAAUAUUAGCAAAAAUCGAAUAAUGCAAAGUGCACCAGGAAUAUAGUGCGCUUAGACAUGCCAAAUUUGCAUUUACAUAUAGUCAAUCGAACUUUUAUCAUCUUAAAUCAUAAGCUGAAAAUAUAAAAACCUGAUCAGCAAAGUAUCAAAAGCAUCCCCAACUAUUUUAAAAAAACGGAUAAAACAUGACAAGGUUGAAUUGAAUGAAAACUCAAGUGUGUUUGUGAAGCGCACACUCCGCAAUUUGAAGAUCCCCAUUUUAUCAUUAUGUAAAUUAUUAAUAUUAGAUGAGCUUUACUUUGGAGAAGAAUAAUAUUUCACUUUGGGGAAAAAAUUAAUAAUAAUAGUAGUAAUUACUUUGCGAGGGUAAAUAUCAGUGAGAGUGGCGCCCCAACCCUCAUUGGAGAAGCUGAGCUGCACAAUCGACGAUCCAAAGAGAACAAACUGCGGCCUCAGUGGUCCCACCAUCUCCGCCUCUUCUUCCUUUUAGCAAUUGAGUGUUGCCUGACAAUUUCGCCAGAAAUCAGCCCAAAAACAAGAAGAGGGGUAUCUUUGGGGUCUGCCUCUGUUGGAAACUCAAGAAAAAAGGAGACCCAGUAGUUAAAUAAAAACGCACGACUGGCAACAGCAAGGGGAUGCUAUUCAAUGAAAUAAAUUUGAGAGUCAUAAUAGCAGACGGUGUGAUGACGCAGGCAGAGGGCCUUCAAUUCAAUUCAAUUCAAUGUCCACCGUGUUUUGGGCCUUCACUAUACCUACCUACGUUUAUGAUAGCUAAGGGCCUUCAAUUCUAUGUCCACCGUGUUUGCUUCUCCCUACCGUAGCCACAUUUAUCAUGUGUAAGAACCAAUAAUGUCCACCGUGUUUUGGUUAUCCCUAUUCCCUACCGUAGUCACAUUUGUGAUUGUGAUGAUGACCUUCAAUUCAAUGUCCACCCACGUCUGUCUACGAUUAAUCAUAUUCGAACCCAACAUUGUUUUUUUUCAUUUCCAUAGGUUUCGAACUCGAAACCUCAUAAUUAAGAGAUGCAAAUCCCUUCUGUUUGCACCAACAUCCAUUGGUGCCUGCCUACCCACAUUUAUGAUAUGAGGUCGCAAGGGAAUAAACACGAAACAAACAACCUCGUUUCAAUUAAUGAGACUCAAAAAAAAAAAAAACGAAUGUGUUACUUCAACAAAUUCCGUCACAAGGCGUCGGGACUCCAUUCCACAAAGUGCCGCCAAAAUGAACAACAAAGUGCACUUUUCAGUUCAAAUUACCCCUACACAUCUCUUUCCAACACAUUCCUCCUCCCUCCCAAAACUUUAAUGUAUGCAAGAUUAUCUCUUUACUGAUUUUUGUCUUUCCUAGCUAGAUAGAGAAUGGUGUUUUGUUCAAUAUUAUGGUAAGUAUUUUUUCCCCGAGUUUCAUUUUAAAGUCACAAACCAAAUAACAAUUUCAUUUCAAAAAUUUUAAUUUUGAAGAACCCGUUUGGCUCUAAUGGAGUCUGUUGGGGUAAGCAAUCACUUUUAUUUUUUUUUAUUAUCCUAACUAAUUGAAACGAGAUCGCUUUAGCUUUGGUUAUUCCUUGGCUACGUGGUUGUUGCUGGACCUCUUGUUUAGUAAUGUGAGAGGACUACUCCUGAACGAUUCUUCUAAUGACCGUUUGUGCCCCCAUAUUACAUUUAUGAUGGUUAGUCACUAGGGAUGGCAACGGGGCCGGCGCCCGUGGGGGGUCAUUGGGGCAGGGUUUGGGAUGGGAGCGGGAGGGAAUUUUUUACCCCCGUUUAGAAACGGGGCUGUCCCGCCACCCGUUUGGAAUAUAUAUAUGUACAUAAUUAUAUAUAUAAUGAUUUUAUCAAUUAUACUACUAAUUACACAUGUCUAUUAAUAAAAAUUAUUAAUUGUUUAUACUAAAUUUAUUAAUAUAUUUAUAUUAAAUUCCUAACUACACUUAAUACAAUAACACUUUUUCUAAAAAAACACAAUAAUAAUUUAGUAAUUGUAGUUGUAUCAAAAGUGAAAACUUGAUUAUUUUAGUUAUAUUUGUUUUAUUAUAUUAGAUUGUAUUCAAAUAAUUUUUGUUUAAUCAUUUUUAUGAGUUUCAAUUGUGAAGUUACAAUGAAUAAUAAUUUGGUGUUGCGUUGAUAUUUUAGUACUUGAUUAUUUGUUCAAAUUUAAUUAUAAUUAAAUUAUAUAAUAAAACUUUUUUAACCCCACGAAGGAAGCGGGGCGGGGUGGGGGAGCAAGGAGCGGGGGUUGGGGGAAGGUGUCCCCCGCCCCAUUGCCAUCCCUAUUAGUCACAACAGUUACCUAUCCCCAUUUCGCUUCUGGCUAAUUCCUUUGUUCAUUGUUGGAAAAAAAAAUAGCAAGAAUAAUGCUUUAACAUGAUUCUGGUAUAAAACUAUGCCUACUGAGCCAAAAAUUUUUUUUAAAAAAAUACCUGGCUACCGGGCUCAGCCCGAAAGGCAACUAAACAUUUUUCUAAAAAGUUGCCAGGUUGACAAUAGAAUAUAUUUUUUUUAAUGUUGGCCUGCUGGGAACUUUUCAACAAAGCUGCCAUAGCCCAGCAGCUCGCUGGGAACUUUUCAAGAAUGCUGUCGAUCUGUAAGCCUAACAGCCUGCUGUUUUUUUUUUUUUUUUUUUUAACUCGAAGUAAACCAGCAACCUUUUUCGUAAAUCAUUUUUUAUUUUAUGUUCAAGUGUAAGAAAAAUGUUUAGAUCUGUUUGCUAAAUCAAUUAUUUUUAUUUUAUGUUCAAUCCUAAGAAAAAAUUUUAGAUAAAAAAAGUCACAUCUCAUUCAAUUUAUAAGAAGAUGCAUUCCCAAAUAAAAGUGCUUAAUGUGCAACAGUAAAUGAAUAUUUAAAAAUCUUUGAAAGAUAUUUGCUAAAAUUAUUAUGUAUGGGAUUUGAUUUUAUAUUUUUAUAAAACAUAUAGAAAUUUGACAUUUACAUAAAUAAAAUGUACAAAUAAUUUAUUAUUUGAUAGUGGGUAGUUAUAAGAAUGGAGGUAGAAAUAAAUAUGAUAGUAACUAGUCAUGCAUGAAAGGUAAUUAUUAAUCUAAUCUAUAGUUUGACAAAUAUAACAUUAUUGUGCAUUAUAAAAAUAGAAAGGCAAAAAAUAGAAAAGAAGGAAAAUUUGAUAACGUGAAAUGGUAAAAUGGUGAAAUUUAAAGGCUUUUGUAUAAGUGACGGAAUUGGAGAUGCGGAGGAAGAGGGACAAAAAAGAACCAAGACAAUGACAGGAGGAAAUAAGGAGAGGGGCGGAGUAACCUUUGCUCAACGCCUACUUAUAUUGGCGAGGAUUAAACCUUGGUGAAGAUCUAGCCGUUAAUCUCAAUGGCUAGAUUCCAAUGCCAUUAAAAAAAACAAAGUAUCACUACGGAGCUGACACAACCCGACAGGGGCAAAAUUCUGCAAAAACAAAUUGCUGCACAAUUGCUCACAAAUUUUGCAAAAAUCUGCCCCAUCACACGAGUUUGUUUGGAUAAGAGUUUAUUUGGAUGAUUUAUUUGAGAUAAUUACUGUAGCACUUUUUAUGAUGUGAUGUAUAUGAGAUAAAAUGAUGAUUGGGAAGAUAAAAAGGUGGUUGAAAUUUGUAAAGUAAAUUUUUUUAUUUGAAAUCAAAGUUGUCCAAACAAACCCGACGAGAGUAUCCCUCCGUUCUUGACCUUUUUUUUUUGUAAUAAUGACUACUAACAUGACACAGCCCGGUAGCCAUCAUAUUUUUUUUAAUGAAAAAAGAUCUAGCUAGUUGUCGGGCUUAGUUAGCCACCACUGAUCUGGCUAUAUUAUGGGAAGGGGAAUCUAAAGAAAUUAAAGGAGAAUCCCGUGAGUCACCACUGAUUCAGAUAGAUACCUAUACAUCCACGGGUGAAAUUUUCAAGAAAACCUGAAUAUUAAUAGAGUUUUUAAAACUCUCUUGGUAGCCAAUUACUCUAGGAAUGUUUAGUUUAUUCUCAUUGGACUUGCUUAGUCCUUUCUUCUUUUACUCCAUUAAAAUUUCUUAUUUCCAUUUUAAAGUAUUGACUUGUCAAAAUGAAAUUUCGUAAAUCAAGAAGUAAAUUCAAGAUCCAACCAGGCAAGGAAGUGUCAAGUUCGAAUGCCUAACCAGUUCAGAUCUAGAGGUAAGGUACUGCUGAGAGGACAUGGACAAGGGCCUGAAGAUGGCAUGGGGACGCAACCAGUUUAGGUGGCAUGGAUUUGGUCACGGCACCACAUUUCUUUCUCACCUAAUUGAUCCCACGGACUGUCCCUCGCAUUUUGAAUCCAAAUAUUUCUUUUUAAAUUCCAAAUUUAAAAUGAAGCAUUUUAGUCCUUAUAUUUUAAAAGUCAUAGCUUCAUUCGUUACCGAUCUUUUUCUCCCCCUUCUCAAAACUGCGUGGACGCAUCAUAUUAUUAGCAUUUGGAUCAUUGAUUAAAAAGGACGAUUGGCAGCUUUCCUUCAAUGACUUCGUAUUGGAACUUCAUGUCAUCUUCUCAACUGUUGCUCGCUUCUUUUCGAGUAAAGAAGAUGGCUAACUAACAGCAUGCAAUCGAGCCUUUCAUUUUAAUCAUGCUUCAGAAAAGUGAAAACAAGAAGAACAACCACAUUCUAUUUUAAAUUACCAGGAUAAGUACAAGCUGGCACCGGUAUACAUUGAGAUUGAAUUUUGUUGAAAACAAUAAAGUUUUAAAAUACUAUAUUGAUAUUGCUGACUCAGCGAGCAAAAAAUAUGCGACCCCUUUCAAGGAACCUUACAACAAAACCGAAUGCCCACUAAUACAAUGAUGUAUGGAAUAAUCAGCCAACUUAAGAAGAAAAAUUAAGUCGAGUCAAAAACCGAAAAAACAAAUUCAUCUAGGUAUUGACCAAAAUCCUAAUUUAAGUGAGAGAACUAUGAAGCGGACUAGACAAAACAGAGGUACCGUGAUAAGCCCUGAAGAUAUUUCUCCCAAAUUCCAUAUUACAAUUUAAUAUCUUUCACAAAGUCAAAGCUCUCCGCAAUAGCAAAAGCCACAAUGCCACAUGCAUUCCGAAGAGCCGAGCUUCUAAGAGAAUCCUUUCCAACCAGACAUCAAUUCGAGACAUAAUUGACCUCUUUUGCCACAACUUAGAUUCAAUAACUGCUUCAGAGGAAACUCUUCCAAUAAUUAGAAAUGAUUCCAGGGAAGAUCCUUGCAUCUGUCCAAGAGCCAUUUUGAAUGGAAAAGCAUAAUCAGGCCCAAAUAUAGAUGUCAGAGAGGAGUUCACUGUCAAAAAGAGUCUAAUUCGAAGUAAAGGUGCUUCAUGCCAAACGUAGAAAAGAACUAAAAAGAGAGAAACUGGAUUUUUUUUUUUUUAACUGGGUAGAUGGGGCAAAUUGAGGUGUUGUCAAAACAAUAAACCGGCCAAGCAUGCGGAACAAAGGACGUUGGAAACCACAAAGCUACCGCUCAUCAAUCCUCCUAACUAAGGCCUUGUAAUUAAUGAUGCCAAUAUCUACCUCUUAAUAGAUCAUCCUUCCAAAGGAAAGAACGUUGACAAACCCCUUGAAUAAUCUACAAAAAUUCCAACACUCUCUUCCCUUUUGUGGGAUAACCAAGUUCCUUGAAGCUAAUUAUUUAAUCUAUACAUCCACCAUGGCGAAAAACCCACAGGGAUACAGGCCAGGCCUUUGACAAGUUUCAUUUAACAGCCAUGUGAAAGCCAAAAAAGCCAGAUAUUGGGAUACACAGAUAAAAAGCUGACAUAACUAGAUGACAUAAAAAAUUUAGUCAACACUUAGCAUGUCAGUAAAUUCUGAAGUUGAAAAUUGGCAGUCAUAAAUCGAAUUUGAACAAUUGUUUUACAAUUCACAGCACAUGUGAAGUAACGAGAAACACUUUGUCUGAAGAUAUAAAUACUCAAUGCCAAGAUUAAGUCCAUAAGCAAUGCAAGGAAUAGCCAAUAAGCGGAAAAUGAAAGCAUAAAGAAAUAAGAAGUCCAGAACUCACACUACAUGAUUGAAAAUAUAUAAGAGCUGACAUUAUCAUUCUUUGCACAUGUUAUAGUUGGCUUCACAGUGCUUGGAUUUUCCCGUUGCUAAAACUUCUUUCAUUAUUAAAAUCUUUUCCAGAUCACUAAAGUUCUCCAAAGUGGCACUAUUUUAACCAUACGAGUAUAUGCAGCAUAAGCUGAGUGAGAAACUAGAGAUGAAAUAUACACAAACUUUUAAGACUUCAAACAGAAUCUCUGUAAACUUAACAGCAGAUUUGCAUAGCUCAUCAUGAAGUAUUCCUCUUGAGAAAAUUUAAAGAUAUUGUAAACUAAAAGUCGUAACUUCAAACUAAUCACAACAUGCAGUGUUCAUAGCAGAGAUUCAUUUAAAAAUAUAUGAGACUUUUGAAUUUGAACAGUUAAAAGUUCUCAUACCAGCUCAUUACUAACUGCUCGUAAGCAGUCGUUUGUUUUCAGCAUCAAAAGAAUAACACGAGGCAACCUCCUGAGGAGUUCUGUGAUUUGAGGAAAAUAUUGUGAAGCAUACAUCUGCAAGAGAAAUAGCUAUGUUUAUAAACUGCAGCGAGAAUAUGGCAUCCUUGUCUGGAUUAAAAAUUAGGAAUGCCAAUAUAAACCCAAGACAAUGCACUCUUAUUCUCUUUUAAAAUGCUUGCUGUUAAUCUUUUCCCGUGAUUCCCAUAAUAAAAUUUGCCUCAAUGUGUAUUGAACAGUACAUGUUGUGUGUGUGUGUGAAAGAGAGAGAGAGAGAGAGAGAGCCUGCUACAUCUUUGAGACAGCUAGUUACCUGAGGUAUAUAGAUCUUAAGUAGCUAGUUAAAAAUAUAAAAGUUGAACUAUUCACCAUGCUUACCAUUUUUCCUUUUUCCAGAAGCUGGAGGGGAGAACGUGAAUGCUAAGGAUCAAACCAAGUUCACAGAUGAAGAAAAUAUAACUUUAAAAGCAUAACCGACUGGGUAAUUUCGAGUCCUCACUAAGGAUAGAAGGUAUCAUCUUGAAUCGAACAAAAACAAUUAUAAACAGGACAUGUUGUUCAGGACUCCAGCUGAAGUAUUUCAAACUUCCAGGCUUUGGCAAAAUUAUAUAGAUUUAAGAACACAAGAAAAAAAUUUAAUUAAACUUCAUGAAAAUCAACAACUUUAAAUGUUGCAAAAUAAAAAUGCAUAAAUAACCCCGUAAUUGGCAAACUACGUAAAUAGCAUAUAAUCCCGAUUAUCACCAAGUAUUCUCACCUGCAGUUCAGAAUGGUCGGUGCCGUGUACUACCAGAUGAUCAACAGCAGGGUCGAUCACUCUGUUCCAAGGUCUCAUUGUAAGUAUCCCAGCAAAUAAUGCAUAAAGGUCCUCUCCAGCACCCAAUUUCACACUAUUUUCCCUUAUUGCUUUAGGAUCAGAAAAAAUCAACCCCUGUAAUCACAUUACCAGGUUCAAGUAAAUGACAAAUCAAACCAGCACAACCAGGACUACUAUUAAAGUAGUUUGGAACUGCAACAAACCUUCCAGAGGGCAGCAUAAUUGAUUCUUAUAGAAUCAUCAAGAUCCUUGUAGAGACCAUGAUCCAGCAACACCAACUGUGGCUUUUUCCUGCCUGCAAAGGAAAAUUCAGGAGAAUGGGAAGGAUUAUUAAUGUAGUUGCAAAAGUCAAUAUACUACAUAUACAUCUCAAGUACAUUCGAAUUUUGACAGCACGGAAAAACUUGAAAGCACAAUAGGAAUGUCUCUACACACAAUCUGACCAGUGAGACAGACGUGAAAAAGAAUGUAUACAGUUUUAAAUGUUGCAUCCAAUUCCCAUUUACAGGAUUGUUGAUAAUAGUAGAAUGAUAAAGUUAAAAAACUUUCAGAAGGCACACUUAGCUUCCAGCAAUGUUACACUGCUACAUUACAAAAUAAAAUGAACUCACAGAUAAUCCACCAUGAUAACAGUAAAAGAUUCAAAUACGAUCCCAAAAUAGUAGAAUGAUAAUAUGCUCACAGAAAGGAAAAUGAUUUAAGGCACUUAUAAGUCGGGAAGGAGAAAAGCAAGUAAAGUCCCUGCACAAGUGGCUCACCAAAUAUGCUCCCAUUGCCAGAUGGUAAAGGGCGAACUAGUACAUUGGCAGCAUGUGGAUCACAAUGUACAAAGCCAUGCUUAAACAUCAUUUCAGCAAAAGCUUGACUAACCUGCAAAGGGUGAAAUAAAGGUCUCGUGAUGACAGCUCAAAUGAAAUAGCAUCUUCUGUUCAAAAGUAAUUAGAUAUCAAGAACUUCUCAAAACAGUGACAUUUUUAGCUUUUAGAAGAAGUCAACUUUUUAACUUCUCAAAACAGUGUCAUUUUUAACUUUUAGAAGAUGCCAACGAAAUUAGUUAGGGCACAUACUUAGAUAAAACUAGUAAUAUGAAGAAAAAAGAAGAGCCUGAACUUCAUAUAACUGUAGGCAAAAGGCAGCUAAACUCAUAAAUUGUCAUAAGCAUUUGAUGCUAACAACUGAUGUACUAGCAUAUUUGAGCAUCCACUGGAAGGUGUUAAGAUGCCAAAAGUGGCAGGAGAUACACAUGAAUGGUUGCGUGAAGGAGCAUGCAGAGACGCAGAUAGAGUUGUUUAAAUACCCCAACUUGUUAGUUGUUGUUGAUGCUACAGAAUCCAGACGAAUGUUCCGUAAUAUCAUAUUCCUUUGCCUUUCUUUUGCAAAAAAUAAAAUGAAAUGUGAAGACCAAGUGCUUACUAGCUUUGCAACAUCCCUUGGCUGAAUUCCAAGUCUUUGAAUAGUCUUCAAAUCAUUUACUUGUGCACCAUCAAUGUAUUCCAUAGUUAAUAAUCUUGAGGUACUGAGAUUCCAAUCAACUCGAGGAGCAUAGAUAUAGCGUGCAACUUGAGGCGAUAGCUUCCUGAAGUUGUCCAUACACUUUACACUGUUUUUGGCCUCAACCAAGAAAUCCAGUUCCUGAGAGCCACCAACAUAACUUGUCACGGAGAUACAGAAAUCUAAAGCUCAUGUAGAAAUUAGACUGAGAAUUGCAGACAUUAAUAAUGAGGAAGAACAUUAUACUCUUAUCAGAUUUAAAGAGGCCAACAGUCAAGCAGAAUGAUGAGGCAGAAACCAAAUGCAGACCCUGAUUACGAGAGAAUGACAGAGGACAGGUGAAAGAUUUAACACUAGCCCAAACAAGAGAACCAAAUUAAGGCACACUGAUCCUUUCCUUUUUCUUCUGAGAGAAGUUCACAUGAACUGAACUAAAUGACCAGAUAUUUUGAUUGCUUGAAUCUUAUCUACGAUUUCCAUGAGGGAAAAAGGAAUUAAUGGCUAUUUAAUUUUGCAAAAGUUCUGCACAUCACACCCAAUAAAUGCUAAAUCUAACACCUCCAGGCAUCCUCAAAUGCAUCUCUGCUCUAUAAAAAAUGGCAAGCAGAUCAGCUUAAAGUCUUCCAUGAAAAACAUAUAAGUUAAUUACCAUAUUGUCCACAACUAAAUCUACUCCUGGCUGAGAAAUACUCAAAGAUUAGAAUAUCCAUCCUUUUUUGAGGCAUACAAAACCAAUAUAUAGCAUAAGUUUGACGCAUUUCUUCUCUACAUAAACAUUUUAUUCAGCCUCUAAGUAAAAGGUCAGCUUCAGGAAAGACCAUAUGUGCAACGGAAUCUUUAGAUUUUAUUGCAUGCUUCCUCGACAUCAAACAUGAUAAAAGGAGCCUCUAAACAAGAUAGGUUCAUUGAUGAUGGCACCAAGGUUUUACAACAGACAGCCAUACACCUAACCAACCAGGGCUCCAUGAUUACAUAUUUAGCACUGCUUGAGGCUUUCGAACUGCUAAAGAAACACCAGAAAUCAACUUUAUCCAUAAUAACAGCUGUAAUUUGAAAACGUAUUGAUUUCAACAAAAAAAAGUUGAACCAAGUUGCUAUAACUGGGCCCAACCCACAGUCAAGAGGCAGGUACUUGGUGGCCAAAAGAGACACUUGUAAUGUAUGCUAAAAUCUGCAAUUUAAUGAAUACCUUUUUAAACAGUGCCUAACACUGAUCAAAGCAGAGACACUAACAAGAAUGAGAAAAUGGGGAAAGGGUAGCAAUAAUAGCAUAUAGAUUUGACAAAAUGUUAGCAACUAGCCUUUGGUAAAGAUUCGCGUAUUUCGUCGACCAACCACCUACAUAAAAGUUGAGAAAUUUUUCAUAAGAAACAAGUAUUGUUUCAAAAUAUCAUUAAAGGUUUUAAAAACUUUAAAUUUCACUUCAAUUUAGUUGGUAUGUAAAACACAUACUGCCAUGUUUAUGGUAACGCAUAUGUGCCAACGUAAGAUGUGUAUGAGAAGAGACACAGAGAAGCAACCAUGCACAUUUCAUGGUUUAUAUAUGCCAAGCAUCAUUACUUGUUAGAGAAUUAACUUUCCAUUUCUCAUGAAACCAAGGUAAAAGUGAGCUUGGAGAAAUUUUUUGAACCUGUAAUCAAAAGAAGGAAACAACUGAUGCAAUGUGUUCACUAUUAAGUCCACAGUUGCAGUGUCUGCCGCAGCAGUAUCUGUCAUGUGAGUAUGCUGAACCUGGAUCACAUGUCUAAUAGGUCAAUGAGAGGAAUGCUUAGUCAUAACGUGUACGAGCAACUUUUUGUAAGAUCAUAUGUCACAGACCUUGACAGCAACUUUUUGUCCAUCACGUGUACGAGCAAUAUGAACUUGUGCAAGAGAAGCACUCGCUAUAGGGACAGGAUCAAAUUCCUCAAAAAUCUGUAUACAAGAGUCUUCAACUCAGUUUUGAAGGUGAGGCAAUUAAGCUCUUGAUAGCUUAACUUACACUAAUAAUCUGUUUCAUCCUUAUAGAGGUUAAACUAUAAAUUUUAUGAUGUUGGAGAUACUAGAAAGGACAAGGACAUACUUCUUCAGGAGUACCUCCAAGCUCUUUCUUGACAACCUCGCACACUUGAUCAUAUGUAGAAACUGGGCAUUUAUUUAACAUGGACUCCCUCAUUAUAUGAACAUACUCUUCAGGUACUAAAUACUCCUAAAUAAGGGAAAAAAUUUAGGUCCUGAAGAAAGAACAUAAACGGACACUAAAAUUAUAUAAAAAGGUACAAACUGAUUCCCCACAAUCUCCUAAAAGGAACUCAUCAGAGUGACAUACCAAUUGACUAAUAUGUUGUCCAAGCUUGAUAUAUACUCCACCAUUCCUAAAACAAAGUUCUUGAAGUCUACGAGCACCCCUGAUGUGAACUUCAUGUUUAACUCUUGUCCAUUCAGGGCUACCCUCUGGUAAUCCCCAGAGCGAAUAUUUGUAAUCUAAAACAAAGAUAACAAAAUGGAACUCCAUUCAUUACAUAGAAAACUUUUCAAAUUUACAACACACUGUAGUCAACUUAAGAGUCACUACAAAUUGGACAUUACUUAUGAAAUGUGACAACAUAGCUUACGACUUCAAGGCAAUGCAUUAUGCAUCAAUAACUAAUUUGUUCACCUUAAAAAGAAAUAGAUUCUAUAAAUGAAGUCCAAAGCGAAGCAAGCCAUACAGGAUUCUGAGUCAUCUAUCCACAUAAAGGUAAAAGUAAUCAUCAUAUAAAGGUAAAAUUAACUAAAUACUUUAAAAAACCAAGAAAUUCCAAAAAAAUCAUGCUAACUGGUUCAAGUGAUUUCUUUUCCAUCGCAAACAGAAUUGUUUCACCAAAAGUUACUUAUACCAUGGUCCUGGAGGCAGUGAAAUAAAAGAAGAUUCCGCAUGUUUUUCCCUUAUCACGAUGCAUUGGUAAUUAGCCAUCCACCCAGGACUAUUCAUCUCCCUAACCUGGAGUAAAUAGCUUUUUGUAAAAAAGCUGAACCCUAGAAAUCUUCACCAACCACUAGUUUCCAUAAUGCCAAAUCCAUAUCUCCAUCCCAACCGUUUUAUAUUUCAUCUGCAUUACUAUUAACAUCAAGGGGUUCAUUCAUACAACAGUUCCCCGAGUUAAGGCUUAGGAAUUGAGACAAAUUUAGUACCGCACAAAAUCACAAAUUCACCUCACCUCUAGAUAUUCAUAGCAUCUAGCUUCAUUUUAAAGCAAUGACUCGGAGGAAUGCACAGAAAUAAGCUUAAAAUGCGAGCAAAAAGUUAAGGCGGUGCUUAUGAUAUAAGAAAGGUACAUACCAAAAGCUACAGUGGCGGCGGAGACGGAAUCGCGUAAUAAGCGGAUGGGGACGGCGGUGGAGAGCUUGAAUGCGCUCGCUGGAUCAUCGGAGCUCAUAAUCAAAGCCGCACCGGCUCCGCCUCCCGCGGCUGUGGCCGCCAGCAACAGUUUCGCUCUGGCGCGCCACACCGAUCUCGCCGCCAUGUUUUGGCCUUCCUUUUUAAUUUUUUCCCCCUUGUCCCCGCCUUUUGAUUGGCUUCGGGUUUCUAUUUAGAACUCCGAGACAACGGGGUGGACAGAAGCGAAACUUCCUCUAUUAUCCACAUAUCUUCCGACCGCCCCGCUAUUUUUAUGCAUUUUUACCUUGUGGAAAUGUUUUUCUUUUUCUUGAUCUUGGUUCAUCUUAAAAAUAAGAGAGGGGGGGAGGGAUUUCACAAAAAUUGGCUAUAGAGAGACGCAUAAACGACCCUUGGAAUUAUAGCCACUGUUGCUUAUCCAGACAAUGCCUAUGCGCUACUAAUCACUCUUCUUUUUUUUUUUUCCGCAUUAACCGUUCUAAAUCUGUUUUAUUUUGUCUUUGUUUUCUUCAACUUUUUAAAUCACAAUUACGUAUGGAAGUUCACAACAAACAACUCAAAACUUUUUUGUCUCAUGCGGAGUGAGCUGAGAGGCUUCUAUUGUCAUCACCGAAAUGUGGAACUCAAGGUAAGGAACCUAAAAGGGAUGAUUUAAAAAACUUUUAAAUAAGUGGAGAGAACAUAUUUUAAUUCCAAAUUUAUCUUCUUUUUUUUCAUGUCUCGCGUAUUAAUUCAAUACCAAAAUCCAUAAUAAAAUAAGUAAAAGGCCUGAAAACCAAAGAAAAUUUUGUGUGGGGAUUGGUAAAUUUCAAUGUUGAUUAGUGGAUUUUCAAAGUAAAAAAAUUGCACAAGAAUGGCCUAAUUCAAAUUUAAAAGAUAAGUUAUACAAGUCAGCAAUCUCUUCCAGCAGUCGAGAACAAAAUUAUGUCUGUAAUCACAAGGCCAUAGUAAAAGAGCUGAAGCUUGUUUGGAUUGUGUUUUAUUUGGAAUAUUUUUACUGUAGCACUUUUUUGUGAUGUGAUGUGUGUGAGAUAAAAAGGUAAUUGAGAAGAUAAAAAGGUGUAUUGAAAAUUAUAAUGAUGAUGUAAGCAGAUAAAAUUGGGGAAAUAAAACACAAUCCAAACAAACUUUUGGGAGUGGGAAAAAAAAAAAGGUAACCCAAAAAAAGCUAUACUUAUGCUAAAGAAAAUGUAAUAUUCUUCUAGUAAUGUAAAGGCAAUAGAGUAAUAAAGGUGAAGAACAUCAAUCAAUGUGGUAGGUAAAUUGGCAUUUUUAAAAAAAACCUACACUUCCAUUACACUAGCUCCUAAACUACUUAAUACGUUGUUGAGAAAUUUCUAGCACAGCAUUCAAGAAUUAAAACUCCAUAUGAUGUUAAUUCAUCGUUUGUUUCUAGAUUUAAAAAGACACGACGGUAAUUCCUUAAUUUUGUUUGAUAAAAUGGAGCAACACUAUAUACAACGCCAAAGCAGGAGUAGUAGUUAGCUACAUGAACUUCACUUCCAAGUUCCAUGGAUGGCAUCGCCAUGUGUUAGCUUGGUUCGCUGUAGAACACCUCCGCAAUACGUCCUGUCUUUGCACUCCGAAGUCAGUUCAGAAUUCGGAUAUCUAACUCUGAGAGGCGAUUCAGGCGAACGAUACUGUAAUUCGAGACGUAAAAACUUAUGAUCAAGAAGAUAAUCAAUUCCACUAGACACACAUAUCUAACCUCCCUUUUUUUAAUUUAAAUAUAUGUAAAUUUAUUAAGAAUUCCAAUUGAUUGUUCCUAAGGUUUUUUAAUUGAGAGAAAAGAGAUCUUUCUGAUCAUGAUUUUUGUCCAUUAUUAUAGUACCGAUAGCUCUUUAGUGAUUAAAGUUGAGGUAUCAGAACGUAGUGGAUUUUGAAUUCAAAUUCCCCUUCUCCCUACUUACUUUUUAAAUCCCAACAUUCUUUUUUUUUUUUUUUUUAAAAAGCCAUGGUUUCCGAAUAAUUAGCUGCCUUAAUCAAUCACCUUUUGGUCUAUCAUUACAGUAAUGAUAGCUCGCCAUUGAAGGAAAAUUUUGCCUUGUUUGCAAAGCUAUUUUACUCUAAAUAAAUUUUUUUUUUUUUUGCGUUUUCUAUGAACAAAUUUCUCAAUUAUUGUUUUAUCUCACAUAUAUCAAAUCGUUAUAAUAUUUUUUUUUACGAGAAACUCUGAAAAAUAGCAAUACAAAUGGGACCAAUUAUUUUGUAGAUAUGAUAAUCAUGCUAUAUUUACGUCGAGAAGACCUUGAUCCUGUGACUAAAGUUAAGACACUAGAGUGUAGCGAUUUUAGAUUCAAAUUUCCAUUCUACCAACUUCUUAAAUCCCAACUUUUUCUUAUUGGAAAAAAAAAAAACGACGCCAUGCUUUUCAGGUUACUGAAGAAUUAGCUGCCUCAAUCAGUCAUUUGUCAUUUUGGGGCUUGCUCGAUAGGAAAGACAAGCUUCUGAAAAGUCGUAAUCGCAUCCACACGGACAAAUCCUCACCACAUAUAAGUUAAGCAGAACAGGAACACUUUUGACAGUUAACGGUCGGUCUAAUGAGCUGGGAACAUCUAAAAUUAUCGAUCUGGUGUGGGAACCCAAGUUACCGAAUGUCGGCUGGGAUGUGGGGGGGGGCAAGAACUCAAAAGAUUUUAAAGAGACCGAAUCUUAUCUUUAAUUUCUCGAAGCUCAAGAAAACGUAAAAAGUAGCAGCAGUAGUGGUACAUCCGAUUGGGAUGAUGGCCUAUAUUAAUGUUAAUGUUUCGCGUAAUCGCCGUGGCCUGGGCCUGCUCCGUGGGAGAAGCGUGUACGUGGAUGAAGCAAGCCACAAAAGCCACUAGGCUAUAGGUCCCUCCCUUGCCUGACAAGAAAAGGAUCGCAUAAAUAAAUCAAUAGCAUUUCCUUUCCAAUCCUGAUGGUGAAAUGGGAUAAACGUAAUCUUGAUUUUUAAUUCAUUUGAUAGUCAAUCGUGUAAAGAACAUUUAUUGAUUAGCGUGGUACGUGGUAUGUUCGUGCGAUUCAUGAUUAAUAAUACCUCAAUCAAUUCCAAAGAAGGAGGCCCCCCGGAUUACUUGUCUAAUGGACAGAAAUGCUGCAGUGUGACGAGAUCAGAUACAUGUAGGCGGGUGUAAAAUGGGCAACUUCCAACGAUGUCCCAACACUUUUUUUCUUUUUUGUCAACACAAAGGUGUCCGGAUCAAUUCUUACGGGGCUCGACUAAUCCCCUGCGGUUCGGGAGAGGAGGCCCCACUCCACACCAAACACGUUAACAGCGGGAUUCGAACCUGGACAACGAUGUCCGAACGCAAUUGAUUGCUUUUUCUAGUUUUUUGAUCGCUAGCAUGAUACGCCAAUUUAGGUUCCAGCUGGGAUUGCCAGACUUGAGAAUUCGCCAUAUACUCAACACUUGGCUGUGUGGCUCUCAUCAAUAACAGGAAAUAUUUGGCUCACAAUAAUAAUAAUAAAAAAAUGUAACACUAAGUGAUAUCAAUCUAUAUUAAUUUGCUUGGGUAGGGAUGGAUUGGAAGAUUCAGAGAAACGAUUAGGUAGUGUAAGUGAGAGGUUUUAAAUUCAAACCCUUCCACUUAUAUUAAUUUGCCUAAUUGGAUAAAUCAACAUGUUGCUGUUUUGUCAAUAGCAAAGCUUAGACAACGGUGGAGAGCGCCUCGGGUUAUACUUGACGAUUUAGACUUGCUACUAACCGCAAGUCAUGGUGAAAAGGUUCGAAAUGCUCCGUCAAAUCAUUACAACACUAUAUUUUCACGUUUGGAUGGCAGUUUCUAAGAUAAAAUAUUUAUGUCUGUCGUAAACAUAUUUUUCAGUUAUCUUUAUAUCUCAUAUAUAUAUUAAAUCGUUAUAAUAUAUUUUUUAAAAAGUUUUGGGCAUGCCAAGAACGUGUGAAGUAUUUGCAAAGUAAAUACUCAUGUCACUAGUGGGAAUACCCGUGCUAUGCACGGUGUUGGCAUUAUUAGAAAAAAAAUAAAAUAAUGAACAAAUAAAGGUGAAAAAAUUUUACCAAUAAAAUUAAAAUAUAAUAUCUGUUUAACAAUAGUUUGAAAUAUAAUAUAAUGUAUAUAUCAUUCAAGAACCGUUUUUUUCGGUUGUAUGAAAAUUUUUUUUAUCAUUGUAUGAGAAUUGUUAACAAAAAAAAUACAAUAGUUAAUAUAGAAUAGUAUCAAUAGAAUUUAAUACAAUUGUAUUGUAAUCAAACGAAAAAUACGCACCAAUUGAAUUGUUAUUAGCACCCAUAGUUAAUGAAGUAAUCCCUAUAUAAAUAUAUUUUGGUACAUGUAGUAAUUGGUAAUCUAUAAAAUAAAAUAAAUUGCUAUUCUAACAAAUUGCUAAGUUGUCUAUAAAUAGCAUCAAUAGAAUAUAAUACAAUUGUAUUGUAAUCGAACAAUUGUAUUGUAUUGUAUCUAUAGUUGAUUUAGCAAGAUAGUGCAACCAAAAAGUGUGUAUGUAAGAUGAGUAUGACGAUAUAAGAAACUGUAUAUUUACCAUGAUCACGUAAAAUCAUUGGUGAUGUAGAUACCUGGCGAUCUUGAGGACAGUUAGAUUUUUCAUUUAUUUGAUCUAGAAAUAAAAUAUAUAUUAAAUUAAAAAUCAAUAGUUUAUGUAUUUAUUUUAUGUGUAAAUAGUGAUACAUUGUAUGAGAACUGUUAACCAAAAAAAUAUAAUAAUUAAUAUAGAAAUAGCAUCAAUAGAAUUUAAUAGAAUUGCAUUGUAAUCAAAUGAAAACAAUUACAGAUAAGUGGUUACCUGAACUAAAGAAUGCAAUUUUAAAUGCUCAAAAGUGCCUUGACGAUUGCACAUAUGUCAGGGGCUUGGUGAGUUUUUUGCUCCUCUUGAAUCAAUUUUUUUUUUCUAAUUGUAAUAUAUUACUUGCAGGUGUUAAGUAGGAUUUGACUCUAACCUUUCGUUUAAGUACUUUAAUCAAUGAACUAUUUAUUCCAUGAGUUGAAUUGUGCUGUUGCUAGAUAGAUGAAUCACGUAGUUGUAAUUGUUAUUGUUGAUAAAGAAAAGAAAGGCUAGAAUGCAAUUUUGCCAAAAGGAUUUCUGACGAAAUUAAAAAUUAAUCCAAUUUUAAUAAUGGGCGUAUAGUGCCUUAGUUAUUAGUAGUAUCUGAAUUAUUUUUCUCUAAUUAUAAAUUAUUUUUAAUUAUCAAAAAUCUUUUUUUUUAUUUCAUGCACGAUCAUUUUUGGAAUAAAAUUAUGAAAAUAACUAUCGUAACACCUAUUUUAUGUGAUAAAUGUGCAAUAAAAAAUAAUUAAAAAAAUUUCAGUAAUACAAACAAAUAAAUUUUAUAAUAUACAAUUUAUGUUAGAAAUAGUAGAACCCUUAAUCAUGAACCUAUAUCAUCCACAAUUAUAUAAGCAAACAAUAUCUUUUUAUCUUUGUUUUACAGUGUAACAAUAAGCAAACAACCGUUCAUAAGAUUUUGUAAAAAAUUUUCAGAAAUAAUGGAUGAUCAGAAAAUCAAUGCAAUAUCAUUCAUGACAAAAAGCAGAGCAAAAGCAAAACAUACUUAAAAGGCAGAGGGGACUGACCUGGAAAAUUAAGCCGGCCGCAAGAAGGUUGAUUUCUGCUAGAGUCUCUGCACAUAAUAUCUUUCACUACUGCUCACAAAAGAAACAAAAUCAAUACAUUUACAAAAUCAAUAGAGAACCCAAAACAAAUAAGAAACUGAGAGAGAGGGUGAGGGAAUUAACUCAAUAAGUUAAUUAAGUCGAUCAGUAAAAGGGUUGCAAAAAAAUGAUAGACAUAUUAUAUUAUUGGAAAUAAUCGAAAAUAAAAAAAAUUUACAAUAUGGGGAAUAAUAUUUAAAGAAAACACGGUACUGGAAUUUUUAAUUUGAUGCGAACGACGUUUUAAUCAGUGUAGCCUGGAUUUUGUCCUUCGGAUUUGAUUUGAGAUUUUUCUUUCGUCAGCGCAAACUUGUUGAAGCUUUUCCAACUGGUGUGUGGAAUCGUUGUUGUGUAUGUUUCGUUUUCUAAGCAAAUAUUUCCUCCUUUGCAAUUUUGUGAGUUUGAAAUCUAGUUGUUGUUGAAAUGCUUGUAGGCGGGCAUAUUCCAUGGUGAGGAAACUUUAGAUGAGUUCCCUACAAAUUUUGAGUGAAAAAUUUUAAUAUCUAUAUCUAUAUAAAUUUGAGAAGGGAUUUUUAGGAACAAGCCUCCACAACCCUUCCCACUCUCAAUUCUAUUUUCCUAGCAUUUCAUAUUUAUCUUAUUUCGUAAAAAAUAUCAUGGGCACAUUACAUCCCCACGUUUCCCUCAAAUAAGGAGUUAACUUCAACUAACACUCCCACGUCCCCUCAAACAAAAUUUAACUUCCACUUACGUUAAAACUCUAACACUCCCACGUUCCCUCAAACAAAAAUUUAACUUCCACUUACAUUAAAACUGUUUCCACUUACCCGUGCGUCAGUUGGUUGUAGUACCACUACUGAUUCCCAUUUUCCAGUGAGUUGAAGAGCAUUGACCAGAAUAAAGAUAGCCCAUAAUUCAACGGAAUUGAAGAUAGCACAUGAUCUUUUCCAACUGCCACGAAGCAACAAUAUACUUGGUACUACUUUUGGGAAUUACUCUUAAAACCCUUCCAAUCAACUUCCUUCUCGAACCUCUCAAAUUAACUUCAUAAUGGAACAUGGGCGUUUACAGGCAUGUCAACAAUGCCUGAAUUUCAAACUCGCAAGAUUGCAAUAGAGGAAACAUCUGCUAACAAAACGAAAAGGACGCAACAACGGUCCUGCACAAGAAUUGGAAUAGUUCCAACAACUUUGCGUCGACGAAAAAGAAAUCUCACAUCAACUACGAUGGAUAAAAUCUCGACUACACCGACUCAAACGCCGCGCCAAUCAAAUUAGAAGUUUCGAUACUAUUUAUUCUUUUAAUAUUGAUAUUUUCAUUGUAUUUUCAAUUAUAAAUAAUAUUCUCAAUAUUGUAAUAUUAUUGUUGUUUCCAUACUAAUCCUUGCUGGCUCAAUCAACAAAGUAUGGUACUAUGGCUUUUAUGUGAGUUUACGCAUUUAGACAUAUAGUUCUCAUUGUAUUAGUAAUUAAUCAGAUUAGUCCCAGAACAUGGUCAUAGCUUUGAUUAGGGAAAACGUUAUUUUUUCAUUAAAUGUCUACCUAAAUGUCUUCCCAUUAAUGCUAUUAUUUCUACGCACAAAGCGCUAAAAGUUUAGAACAAAAAUGGAGAUUAAGAUAUUUUCUCCAGUCACCUCGAGUGACUAUCCAGACUUAGAGACAAAUAGCUUGGGAAACUGAUGAGGGACUAAUGUAACAUUCUUUUUUUUUCUUUUGAAAAAAAUAUAAAAGUAAGGUAAUGUGAAUAACUGAAACAUUAUACUGAACAAGGAAUGCAGUUUGCAUUUAUUGCAGAAGUUUUUGGUGGAAGAUCAUGCUUAAAGUGCUUCACUAUAGCCCUUUAAAUUUGACAAAGAUAAUGAGUAAUUCCCAAAAGUAUACUACAUCCCACAUUAUGGCUGAAAAACUGAUCAUAUCAUGAGUUGUGCUCAUGAUGUGACUUAUGUAGGUUUUCCCCC